ACAAUUUCUGCACCUGACGAUAGAUAAAUCCCUUAAGUUGGUUAACGACAUGAACCAAUUUAUGGGGACAACAUUCCUCCUCCCUCUGUAUUGAUAUAUCUCUAACCUCUUUAAAUUAGGAGGUGAUCCCAAGGCUUCAAGAAGCCGUUCAUCUUCAUCCUCUUCAUUCUCCCUCCUCCAAACUUGUUCUUCAUCUCCAUCUCGUUCUUCAUCUCCAUCUCUUAAAUGAUCAAAAUCAAGUUCCAAAUCAAAGAGAUUUUUCUUUUUCUCAAGUUCAGCCCUCGCAGCCUCACCCGCAUCUGACACACCACCCAGCCCACGUAUACCACAUUGUUGAAGGAAGUUAAGCUUUUUAAGAGACCCAAGGCUACAUGCUCUGUCAUACCCUCCACCCACAACAAACUCUCUCACCCUCCGAAGCCUGAUUAAUUCCCCAAUCCCUGCCGGCAAGUAUCUUAAAGAAUCAGUCCCCACAUUGUCUAAAUACAUCAGCUUUCUUAACUUCCCAAUCCCUCGAGGUAAUUCUCUAAGAUUUUCACAAUCAUCAACGUUUAAACGUUCUAAAUUAUAUAACUCACACAACGUCUCGGGUAAUUUUUCUAUCUUCUUUUGACCUUUCAAAUUAAGGUAUUUCAAAUGUAACAAUUUUUCUAUAUUUGUUGGAAUUUCCUUGAUGUCAUUCACACUUGACAACCUAUCACACACCUUUAAUUUUAAUGCCCUUAAACAAGUUAAUUUAUCAAAUAAUUGAGGUAGGACUUCACUAGACCAUGAAUAUUCAUCACUUUUAACUAAGAGGCUACGCAAUCCUCGCAAUCCUUUAACAUUACCCCAAAUGGAGAUCGGAACCGAAGCCCCCGUACGUAGAGUUAAUAGUAAAUGAAGGAUUUUUUUCUCCCCAAAAGAGCUAAUAGCUAACUCUUCACCACUAUGAAUUUCUACUGUUAAACAUUCAUUCCUACAUAAAUAUUGGGCAAAGUCGUGGACGAUAUCGUGCAUUUUGCACUUAUAGAUUUCACCAUCAUCAUCUUUUUUAAAAUCCUGAAAGAAUGAACGGGUAGCUAAGAUGUUGAAAUACUCUUUACCAAUAUCCUCCAUCUCUUUGGCCCCUUUCUCACUAAGAUAACCUUGUGCCAUCCAUAGUUCAAUUAACUUAUGCUUCCGUAUUUCAUAGUCUUUCGGAAAGAUGGCACAAUAUGAGAAACAACGCUUUACCUUGGAGGGUAAUUCUUUGUAACUCAACAAUAGAGGGGCUAAAAGGCCUUUCUCAAUUGCUUCUAGUUCCCAUAUCUCACUCUCUAAGAUAUUUUGCCAUUCUUUUUCAGUGUUUUUAGACCGCAAGAGACUAGCAAUUGUCUUUGCAGCUAAAGGUAAGCCCUUGCACUUUUUUACAAUUUCUCUACCAAUUUUUUCUAAAUUUUCACGUUUUCCUAUGGUCUUACCAGAAAUUGCCAACGACUGAAACACCGACCAGCAUUCCAUUUCAGACAAUACAUUGACAGAGAUAACAUGAGUUGAUCCCAUAAUACGGGCAACUGUUUCUUUACGUGUGGUAAUUAAAAUUUUACUUCCAUGGAAACCACUCUUUAAACAGUUGUAGAAUGGUUCCCAUUUAGAGUAAUCUUCGUUCCACACGUCGUCUAAGACAAGAAGAACUUUCUUCCCGGCAACAUGUUUUCCAACAUUUUGCAUGAGAGAUUGAAACUCACCAACAUUAGGGGCAGAAUCUGUUAGAGCCUCAAUGAUUGCUCUAGCGAUUCUAAACUCAUCAAAAGGAUCUGACACACAGACCCAUAUUCUUUUUUCAAAAUUCUUUUCAACAUCACCGUUGUUGUAGGCAAAUUGAGCAAGAGUAGUUUUGCCUAUUCCCCCCAUCCCAACAAGUGAGAUGAUAGAGGGGCCUUUCUGUUCUUUACUACUUUCACAUAACAACCUAUUAACGAGUUCCUUCUUCUCUUUUUGUCUACCAAAUAUCUCGGACUCAUCAAUUGAGGAGAUACUUGGCACUCGUUGAUCGGCUCUCUCCGUUCUCUUAAUAACAUUCACAGCAAAACCAAACAUGUCUUUCUGUUUGGCAAUAUCAUCAAGAGUUUCAUUGAUUUCUUUUAUCUUCAGAGCAAUGUCACGACGUAAGACAAGUGGUUUGCAGGCAAAGCAAGAGGCAGCAGGAAAGAAGGAACAUACCUUCUUCUUAGGAACGAGAGCAUCAUUCUCGUGAUCAUCGACUCCAUCGAUUUGCAGUUUGAGCCUUGCAGUGUUCCACUCACCCAACACAUCUUCCAUGUCGUAACAUGCGUCUCUGAGUUGAUCGAGCCAGAGUCUGACAGUUUCCUCCUUUAUUUGCCUUUUCUCAGCAUCAUUGAGCACAGCUUGAAUGACGCGGAGAUUGCUGGUCAGCUUCUUCACUUCCUUUCCGACACCCGUUACUAGCCUCACUUGUUCCUUCGCCUCUUCAACAGCCAUUGAAGUCAGCUGCUCCAAGAUAGGGGAAAGGAUCGCAUCAACCAUGGUGAAAAAUAAAAAGAGAGAGAGAAGAAAUUGAUGGUGAAUUGUUGCAAAAGUAAGUAAUGAUGAAAGAAAUGAAGGAGCUGAUAAUGUGGUGAAGAUGUUGCCGUAUUCUUUCAAUUCUUAUAGUACUGCAAGCAAAAUUCUAAUUUAGAAAUAUUUUAUUUCAUUUCAGCCCCUUGUGAAAGAACCUACUGUUAUUAUUAUUACUUUUUUUUUUUUGAAAGAAAAAAGCCUUCAUUUCACAGAAGAGUGAAAAUGACGUAAAGUUGUGGACAGGAAACAAUAUAUUGUUAGGUCCCACAUCGGCGAUUCACGCGGUAUAUGAAACUGACAAAGUUUUCUGUGAUCUCUUUUUAAAUAAUUGAACAAGUUGUUAGAUAAAUAUAUAUGAUCGUGUCGUCAUAUUGAGAUUUGGAAGCAUUUGCUUUACAAUCACCCAUGAACUUGAUAAUUUUUAGAUUGUUUGAUCUGAAUUAUACGUAUGUUAUUAGCUUAAAAAUACCUUGACCAUCUCUUUCUUAUUUUUUUCUUUUUUUUUUCAAAAUUUGACUUGUUUGCAUAAUUAGUUGAAAGGAAAGAAUGAACAUACUAAUAAACUAUGAAAACGCUGCCACAUAAUAUUUUAAGAUUCAUAUCGAACCACUUUAUUUAGAUUUUGUCAUUUUGGCAGAUGUCUGAUUGUGGGAGUUUAGAGUUUAAUCUCUAACUUUGCUUGUGAAGUGUGAAAAAUCAAAUAAUCUUUUCAACUUGUUUUUCAACAAAAAUAGAUAACAAUUCAUCAUCAGUUAUUUCUCAUUAUGUAUAAAAUGAUCAGUCUAGAGCUGGAUAUUCACAUAUUUUUCUAUUUCUAAUCAUUUCAAAAUAUAAUAUGAACUUUUAAAAAAAAUCAAAUUGUAAUAAAGUGACAUAAAUGUUAAAAAAUGAAAAUAAAAAGUUAAAAAUGUAAUGCGGAAAAAAAAAAAACCUUUUGUUUGCUCUAUUCAUGGCAUCUAAAUAUGAGAACAUUGUCAUUGUGAACUACCAUAUAAUUGCAAGUGAAUACUAUCAAAGACAUAAUAAUUCAUGGGCCCAUACAUCCUCUGUAUUUCUAAUUAUUCCGCGUAGAAGGCUAAAGUUUAAUUAAGCUAAACAAUUUGAUUAUUAACUCUCUAGUCUCUCUUGCAACAUUCCACUAGUCCUCGGAUCGAUCACACAAUCUAAUGCAUAAUCUAUUCAUUUAAUUAAUCAAUUUGGAUAUAUAUUUAUUAAAGUCAAAUUUUUAGUAAUUUUAUUUGCUUUCCAGAGUAUGAUAUUUUUAGCGCGCGGCUUUGGACAUAGCUGUUAUAAAUUUGGUUAGUUUAACAAAUAUAAUGUAACCUAUGAUAUUAUAUAAAUAUUCAAUUAUUCUCUUGGAGAGACGUAAAUUCACUGAAAUUUAAAAAGAGUCGGUAAAGAUAAAAAUAUUUUAUAUUUUAUUACGUAAUAAUAUUAGAAUCUUAAGACGUGUUUGGUAUUAUAAAUGAUAGAAGAAAGAGGGGUUGAACGUGUGAACACUUCAUUGCAUGAAGAUUCCUGGAAGUAGCCGGCAGUUCAAAUUAAUAUUUUUCUUUUGGACAAAACCAACAAUAAUUUUAUUAUUAUUGUCGUUGUCAUUGUUAUCAAUUUAUUAAUUAUAACCAUUAUUUAUUUAUUCAUUAAUUAUUUAAUUAUCAUCAUCAUCAUCAUCAAAUGACAAUAAUUAUCAAAGGGUAUUUUGAUAAAUUAUUAAUGAUAUUACUUUUAAUAAUAUUAUUAUUAAUCAUUUUUAUUAUAAUAAUAAUAGUCAUUAUUAUAAUUAACUAAGGGCAUUUUAGUAAAUUAAAACAAUUCAGCUUAUUCUGAUUCCUCGAUUCUAAGAUAAAAUAAACAAAUCAAUGGGAUUUCAACCCAUUCCUAUUCCAAUUCUUGUAGUUCAAGUAAAUAAUUUAUUAUAAUUCUCAUUCUUUAUUCUCAUUCAACCCAUAAAUAUUUUAUAAUUCAUAUACAACAUAUAUAAUACGGUAUAUGAACUUGACAAAAGUUGUUGUAUAGGUAUAAUAUAUUAUCUCUCUUUUCAACAAUUGAACAAGUUGUUACAUAAUAUAUAUUAUCGUGUCAGAAGAUAAUAACAUUCACGCGGUUUAUGAAACUGAUUUGUUGGGUUUUUAGACUCGAAAAAUAAUAUUGUUUUAAAAAUUCUCAAUAACUAAAAGCCCAACGAACCAGUUUCACAUGACAGAUUUAAAAAAAAAGAGGAUAGAGCAACAAAGUAAUUUUUGUGAUGACGACUUUCUUGAAAUUGAAACAUUAUUCGGAAAUUAUUAGCAAUGAGAAAGCGCAAUUAGACUAAACAAUUUGAUCAUUAACUUUCUAUGCAUAAUCGAUUCAUUUAAUUAAUCAUUUUGAAUAUAUAUAUUUGUUAGUGUCGAAUUUUUAGCAAUUUUAUUUGCUUUCCAAAGUAUGAUAUCUGUUAGAAGACAGUAUGCAACAUUGAUCUCUGUGACAUACUCUGAGUGCCACGUUGGCGGUCGUCUUUCACGAGUUGACCGACGAACUUCUGGAGCCUCAGACUCGACUGGUUCUUGUUCCUCGUGCUCUGGUGCUGCUUCAGAAGAAUCUGAAUCUUCUGGAUUAUUUUCCACAUAUACCGGUAUAGUCUCUGACUUUUCUUUUACACUGCUAUCAUCCUCAUAUCUCAUUUGCAGUUGAUCUUCUAUAAAGAUAACAUCUCUGCUGAUGACGAUCUUGUGGGCAGUGGGGUCCCACAGACGAUACCCCUUUACUCCAUUAGCAUACCCCAAGAAGAUACAUCUUCUAGAUUUUGAAUCCAGUUUUGUUCUUUCUUGGGCAUUGUACAUCACGUACACAGGAUAUUCAAAUGCAUGUAGGUAGGAAUAAUCAGCUGGCUUUCCAGUCCACAUCUCCAUCGCUGUCUUCAGCCCAAUAGCUGUAGAUGGCGAUCGAUUUACUAUAUAACAAGCAGUUUUGGCUGCUUCUGCCCAGAAUGAAUUAGGUAGACCAGCAGUCCUCAACAUAGCUCUUAUUCUUUCUGUAAGAGUUCUGUUCAUCCGCUCUGCCACUCCAUUUUGUUGAGGAGUGUAUGCUACCGUGAACUGCCUCUGAAUACCUUCUUGCUUACAGAAUUCAAGAAACUCUCCGUCUGUAUAUUCUCCACCAUUAUCCGUCCUCAAGCACUUGAUCUUUUUACCAGAUUCAAGUUCCACCCGCGCUUUGUAUUCUUUAAACACUAGAAAUACAUCUGACUUUUUCUUAAUUGGAUACACCCAACAUCUUCUGGAAUAAUCAUCAAUGAAAGUCACCAUGUACUUUGCACCUCCCAUGGAUAUAUCCGGUGAUUCCCAAACAUCAGAAUGAAUCAAGUCUAGAAUGAAUUUACUUCUAGCAAUAGAUCUACUGAAUUUUAAUCUAUGCUGCUUACUUGUAACACAAUGCUCGCAAAAUGGUAAACUUACCAAUUUGAGCCCUGGAAGCAAUUUUUGCUCAGAGAGAAUCUUCAAACCUUGUUCUGACAUGUGGCCAAGUUUGAGAUGCCACAUCAUCAUUGACUCUUCUCCAUUUGACGCGACACACGCAUCAGCCUCCUGUAGUGUUUCUCCUUUAAGCAUGAAUAGAUUAGCACCGAUCUUUUCUGCCUUCAUCAAUACAAACGCUCCUUUAACAAUCUUCAUAAUUCCAUUCUCCACAUGAGUUUUGUACCCAUGACUAUCCAUUUGUCCCAAAGACAAUAGAUUUUUAUUCAGGCCGUUGACAUGUCGUACCUCCCCAAUUGUGCGAAUUAUACCAUCAAACAUUUUUAUUUUGAUAGUACCAAUACCAGCGAUCUCCAAGGCAUGAUCAUUACCCAUAUAUACAGAUCCUCCUGAGAUAGGUUCAUAUGUGUGAAACCAUUCUCUCCUAGAGGUCAUGUGCCAGGUAGCUCCUGAGUCUAUAAGCCAGACAUCAUAUAGUCGUUUUCUGCCUUCUGAAACAGUUGUUGCCUCGCUGUAGAGUAUUUCGCCAUCAUCUGAGGUACUUGCUACACACCCCUGAGCAUUUGAUGACUCAGGUUCUUUACCUUCUCUUCUCUUCUGGUUACUCCAACACUCUUUCUUGACGUGCCCUUUCUUGUCACAGUUGUAGCAUUUAAUAUUCUUCUUACUUUUGGAUUUUGAUCUACCAUGAUUGUGACUCCCACUAGGGCCACGUUCUGUUGAUCUCCCUCUCGUCACCGAUAGCACCUCCGCUUGCUGUGAACUUGCUUGUCUGUUUUCCUUAUUUUUCCGUCUGCUCUCCUCAUUUAAUACGGAGGCGGCAACAUCGUCGAAAACUAGACUGUCCACUGGAUUGUUGUUCGUCAGGUUGAUGAUGAGUUGAUCAUACGAAUCUGGUAGACUUUGAAGUAGAAGCUCUGCACGUUCAUUUUCCUCUAUAUUAUGACCCAACGUUGUGAGUUGUGAAAAUAGAGUCUUCAAGGUGUUGAUGUGGUCAAUCACCAUUGUAGAUUCCGCCAUUCGAAGAGUAUAGAGUUUUCUUUUCAAGAAGAUUUUGUUGUGUAGUGACUUGGCCUCGUACAAUUUUGUGAGAGUAUCCCAUAUUUCCUUCGCUGUGUUUUUCUCUGCCACACUAGAUAAUACUCCAUCUGCAAGUGCCAAGUGUAGAUCAGAAAUGGCGUUGCCGUCUACCUCGUUCCACUUGUCAUCAGUUAUCUCCAUGGGCCUUUCUCCAAUUGCUGCUAAGCAAUUAUUUUUCCUCAAUACAGCUUUCAUCUUCAUUUUCCACAACGAAAAAUUAUUUCCGUUAAAUUUCUUAAUUUCAUACUUUGCCCCCAUUUUGUUGAUAAUACUGCACACAAGCUAGUAUACCACCUUGAAUAGUUGUGAGUAUGUGUGAGAAUGCACACCAGGAAAGUUCCCAGGAAAGACUGGAGGGGUCACAAUGGUCCCACUUAAAACCCAGACUCCUUAAGCUCUUAUCGCCUUUGUGACAGAACUUUCCUAGACAUGUACAAAACCACACAGUUGCUUUACUCACACCACUAUUCCCUGUUUUGCACCGCAAAAUUCUUGGAUCGCUUACACCGUUUCACGUGAAUAGUACCGUAUACGUGAACAGUACCAUAUAUGUUGAUUGUUUUUCAAUCUAAUCUCCAAGUGGGAGAAAUGUCAAAGUCGGUGGUGGCCUAGCCAAAUCUUCCUAGUUUUGGCAGCCGCCCAAAGAAAUAAACGUGGGUUUGGCAGCUGCCCAAGGAAAGAAACAAAAGAGAAAGAAGAAAAAGAAGAAAGAGAGAAGACAAAGAGAUGUCGGGCCGAAGAAGGAAAAGAAAAGAAAAAUUAAUAAAAUAAUAAUAAUAAUUAAAUAUUAAAUAUUAAAUGAACAUUAGCUAAUUUUGGCUAUAAAAACGUUGUCUCCCUUCAUUUGUAAAUCAUCGAGUUCUGCAGUUCUUUUCUUUAUUUAGAGAGUGUUUUUAAGAGUUAUAGUGAUUUGAGAGUUUGGGUGUAUUGAGAUUUUGGGAAGUGAGCUAAAAUACUACAAUACUUGUAACUCCUUUUCACUAGUAAAAUAUUUUCUUCUGUCUUCGCCCGUGGAUGUAGGCUAAAAGCCGAACCACGUAAUUUCUGGUGUCCUCUAGUGUGCUUGUUCUUUAUUUUCUUCUAAUUUUAUUUUAGCUGCGUGUCUGCUUCACCCACCAAUUUCCUAACAAUAUCUUUAGCGCGUGGCUUUGGACAUAGCUGCUAUAAACUCGGUCAGUUUAACAAAUAUAACGUAAACUAUGAUAUUAUUUUAAAUAUUCAACUAUUCUGUUGGAGAGAAGUAAAUUCACUAAAAUUAAAAAAAAAAGUUUGUGAAUGUAAACAUAUUUUAUAUUUUAUUACGUAAUAAUAUUAGAAUCUUAACGCGCCUUUGGUAUAGCUUUUGUUUGGUGGUUUUUUUGUUCUUUAAUAAUGAAGCAAUCUUAACGAGCCUUUCUUUCUUUUUUUCUUUUUUUAAUUUUUAAUUUUUUUUUACCAGUGUGAACUGCAAAUACUGUCAUGUCCUCAAUCCGCGAUUCACGCGGUAUACGAACUCGACAAAGCUGUUAUAUAAUAUAUGGGAGCCCCUAACUUACAGCCGGCUGUAAGUUACAGCACACACAAAAAUUAUACCAUUUAUUACUGUUCAUGCAUAUUUUUAUGUGUGCUGUAACUUACAGCAGCUGUAAGUUAGCAUUUGCAAUAAUAUAAGGAUCCUUUGCUAUAAUAUAAGGAUCCGCCUAACUUAUGAAUAACAGUUCAUUACGUAAACUGUUUUCAAUAAAGGUCUGGAUAUAUUGGAAGCACUAUAAGGUAGAGCAUUUUUUUUAUAAUUAUACAAUUAAAAUUAUAAUUAAUUUUUUAUUAUUUAUCACUUAGCGUGUGUGGUUGAAAUUCAUACUCCAUUAUAAAUCCACUCCUACAUAAUCAUAAUCUUCCAAGAAUUGAACAAGUUGUUGUAUAAUAAUAUACGGUAACAACUUGUCUCUUUUCAACAAUUGAACAAGUUGUUAUACAAUAUACGGGUAACAGUUCAUGACGUGACAAAUAAUUUAUUAGGAGCGUGCCAUGCCAUGUGUAAAAAUUUGAUAACUAUCUCGUUGGAUCCAAUUUGGUAACAAGAUUCUUUUCAACCGUCAUUAACUGGUUGCAGAUGACAUACUGAAAUAAAAACUUAUCAUUAAUUACUUCUUAUUAUGUAUAAAUUGAUACUGAAAUUACAAUUGCAUUAAACAACUUUUGACUGUGAAGUGUGAAAAAUCAAAUAAUCUUUAUUAUUAGUUUUGUAACAAUAAUAAAUAAAAAAUUAUUAUUAAUUAUUUCUUACUAUGUAUAAAUUGAUCCAUCUAUUUCUAAUCAUUUCGAAAUUUAAUAUAAAUUUUUUUAAAAAAUCAAGUUGUAAUAAAAGUGUUAUAAAUAUAAAAAAAUGAAAAUGGAGAGUCAAAAUUGUAAUACCCAAAAAAGACAAAAACUUUUAUUUUCUUUUUUUCCUCGGCAUAUAAAUAUAUUGUUACAGGUAAUGGAAUUCAUAGCCCCAAAGGGAAGAUUCUUCCAUAAAUGAUAGGAGAACGACGGGUUGAACAUGUGAACACUUUUAUUGCGAAAUUACCUUACAAUUGCAACAUUUGAACACUUUAUUUUCUUUUUGACAAAGCACAAUAAUAAGUUACAGGUACUGCAAUAUUGCAUGAAGAUUCCUGGGGGUAAGCCUUCAGUUCAAAUUAAUAUUUUUCUUUUGGACAAAACCAACCAACAAUAAUUUUCGAACCUGAAAGAUACUCAUUAAAAGAUAGAUCUUCGUAGUUUUCUUAGAAGAUACUUAGAACUGCCAAUAUCUUCUAAUUAUUGUUUUAAAAAUCUCAGCUGCCCAUUUAACAAAUCAGUAGUUUUUGUUCGACAUAUUUAAAACAUAAAAAAAAAGCACACAUUGGUUUGAUGACUUUGUAAUUGAUACAUCAGGAAAUGAAGAGAAAAAGGAACACACUAAUGACCAUCAUUGUAGAUGAUAUAAUAGAUGUACGUAUUUAGUUGCAAUUAAUUAACUAAUAGUCUUAUGGAGUAAUUGUUUUAGACUCGAAUUAAGAAGCUCUGCACUGCCCUUAGGUAAUUCCCCCGCUUAAAAAAUAUUGUUUUAAAAAUCUCAAUAACUACAAGCCUAUGCCCAGCAAAUCAGUUUGACACGCCAUAUUUUCUUUUUUUUUUAAAAAAAAAAAAAAGGAUCGACCCGCACAGUAAUUUUGGUAUAAUGACUUUGAUGUAAUUGAACAUUAUUAGACAAUUAAUAAAGUGUAGAGAGCAACAAUAUCGAGUAUCGAAACUUCGGAAGAGUGGAAUGUAUGGAAGGCAAACUUUGCUCAACAGAUUUAUAAUUAGUGGAGAACAAGAUAGAUGACAUGGAAAAUGGAUGUAAUACUUAUUUUUAUUUUUCUGAAAUUUUGUUGUAUUUUAGUAUCUAUUGAGACUUUUGAAACUAUAUUGACAAUAUUAUUUUGAAUGUGACAAGUAGGAUUUAUUUUAUUACCACCUGUAAUUUAAUCUGAGUUUAAUUUGUCUGAUAUUGGUGCAAUUUUUAUGUAUAUGCAUUGAGUUUUAUAUGUCUAUGCAAGUGCAUAAGUUGGUUACUUAAUGCUCUGGUUGUGCAAAUUAAAAAUUUUGUUUGAUGUUGCUUUACACCUAAUUGACUAUAUUUUUACUGUUUAGUUUUUGUUUUAAUAGGUAAAUGGCAUCACAGCCUCCAAAAUCAAGAUUUUGGACCUUAGAAGAAGAUAUUAAGCUCGUGGAGUCUCUUUUAGACUUGUAUCAUGAUGGGAAAUUUUGUGCGGACAAUAACUUUAAAAGUGACUACUUAAGGGCUCUUGAGACUACUUCGAAAGCAAAACUACUUGGAUGUGGUAUACAAGCAAAACCACACAUUGAAUCCGUAUAAAAGACUUUAAAAUUGCAAUUCUGAACUAUACAUGAGAUGUUAACUGGACUGGAUUGCAGUGGCUUUGGUUGGGAUCCAAAAAAGAAAAUUAUAACUGCAAAGAAAGUUGUGUGGGAUGCUUAUGUUCUGGUAUGUGAGAUGUUAUUGUUUUAUUUGCUAUUUUUUUUUUCUAUUGUUGUUAUAGAUCAUUGAUAUUUUCAGCCAUUGUUUCACUCGCUAUUUUGCUAUUAUACUUGUUGGUUGCUGUCGUUUUACUUUCUGUUGUUGCUGUUAUAUUUGUUGGUUACUAUAUUUUUUACUAUUUUUGCUAUUUUGCUUGUCGUUUUACUUGCUAUUUGCCACUAUUAUACUUGCUGCUUACUAUUCUUUUUGCUGUUAUACUUGCUUGUUACUACUUUUUUUGUUGUUUUUUCUGUUUCAUUUGUUGUUUUUGCUGUUUCAUUUGUUGUUUUUGCUAUUUCAUUUGUUGUUUUUACUGUUAUACUUGCUGGUUACUACCUUUUUGUUGUUUUACUUUCUGUCUUUACAGUUAUACUUGCUGGUUAGUACUUUUUUUUGCCUUUUUUACUAUUUUAUUUGCUGUUUUUGCUUUUUUUGCUGUUUCAGCCAUUGUUUCACUUGCCAUUUGCAUUAUUUUUGUAUAAAGCUGCAGGAAUUAGAUAUUUAAUCAGUACUCGAGAUAUUACAAAUUAAAAAGUUGCAUACUCCUGACAUUAACAUAACAUAAAAUUUGAUCCACAAUUUACUCAAUUUCUGAGUAAGCUCACCAAAAGCACCGUAGCAGAAAUAACCAGACCUACCCAGGUCCUGAUAUGGAGCCACUCGGCGUGGUUCUCUUUGGAGUUAAUUAAGGUAAAAGCUUGAUCCUCUGUUAACCAAAAUGGUCGAACAAAGAUUAAACCAAAAUGUUGAAAUCUUUUCCUUUUGUAAUUCUAGCUCUAAACAUUAAAAAUCCAUCAUUAGGAAAUAGAGAGUUAAAUAGAGUUCCCAGUAAAGCGGACCAGUGUCUGUCACUGUCACCACAUAAAUAUAUCAGACUAGCUAUCCAAUGCAAUAUAUACAUUUUUUGUCCUUUUUUUUUUUAACCCUUUUUUCAUUCAACACGUCCAGAAAUCAAUAACAAAGCUUAGGCUCCUACGAUGCUUAGGCCUCAUCAUGAUCUAGUACUUGUACAGUAGCAACAUUCAAUGCAUAAACUUGUACUUGUGGCCUGCUAAACAAAUAUUAGUUUUUUCGAUUUCUCAAUUGGAUUAAAAAUAUAUAACAACAAAGUAAAAGGGGGCAGGAUGAAUAAAUUACCACAGUGUUGAUGCAGGGAGAGUGGGAGUGUGGCAUAUUUUGGGCCAGUUCUCUCCUGUCUCCUUUCUUUAACAUUCUUCUAGAAGAGAAAAGUCGCUAAUAUUCAAAAUUUGCACAGUGUUUGUCUUCUGAACAAAGGUGAGGGGGCAGUGCUUUUAAGAGAUAUAUACCUUGUCCACAUUUCACUAAUAUGUGGCAUGAUUUCUCCCUUUGCUGCAGUCUCGUAAUCCCACUCUUCCAGUACAUUGCAAAUAUGAGCUCUUUCAAUUUGGGAAAGGUUGAGGAGCCAAUGGAAUCAUCCGCAUCACUCUCUCUGUUCCCAAACAUUCAUUGUCCACCCUUUUCGCACUUUCCAGUCUGUAAAUAUAGAGAUAUUCAAGGGAUGGCAAUUUUUGCAAAGACUCAAAAAGAAUUUGAAAGAUAAAAAAGAACAAAACAAAAAACGAAUACAGAUUAAAAUUCACAAAUAUAUGUACAUAUAAAUAAUUGAACAUGCAUCGGCAAAUAAAUGAAGAGUAGAGAGCAAAUGAGAGGGAAAGCAUAUAGAAUUACUAACCAGAGUUAAUUCGAUCCUUAUUUGCACCACUAUUAUAUUUUAAUUCCUGCUGUAUCCUCUCCUCUGCACAGUGUUGGAUUUGUUUCAUCUCAGUCUCACGUCUGUCUGUUUUGGAUCCGCUCUUAAUUGAUUUUUCUCAUUAUUGUUGUUGAUCAAUUGGCUGAAAAGGGAAAGUCUCUUUAAUUUCAGUGCAGAAAGCAGAGGAAUUGACGACAUACUUAUAAUAAUUAAUUUCCAAAAUGGAUAAAAAAAAAUAACAACCAAUUAAUUUUUAAGUAAAAUAGAUUGAGCGUGCUGCAGGAGAUCUAGAAAGAAAUUACCGGUCGCGCUGGACGUGGGUGAUUGUAAUUUGAAAUUGCAGCCGCGCGCUUUGGGAAUUCCUCACUCAAUCUCGAUGUCGAGAAUGUGGCGUAUCUUAGGCCAGUCCUCUCCUGUCCCCUUUCUGCAACGUUCUUCUAAAAUAGGACAUCCAUAAAUCUCUAAUCUCUGGAGCGUUGUCUUCUGAAGAAGGUGAUCGGGCAGUGCUUUUAAUUUAGGGCAAUCAUCAAUUGACAAGAAAGAAAGACGUGGCAUGAUUAUGAUUCCUCCCUUUAUUGCAGUCCCGAAAUCGCACUCUUCCAGUUUUUCCAUAAAACGAAAUGUCAGCUCUUUCAAUUUGGGAAAGACAGUAACUGAGGAGCCAUCCGUAUCACUUUCUACUCCCAGAAAUUCGUUACCCACUCUUUUCACACUUUCCAUUCCUAAAAUAUGAAGAUCUUCAAGGGAUGGCAAUUUUCCCAAAGGAGGCAAAUGCUCGCAAUUUCUGCAGUAGGAGAGAUAUAAAACCCUUAAAUUGGUUAACGACAUGACCCAAUUUUUUAGAACAACAUUCCUCCUGCCUCUGUAUUCAUGUAUAUGUAAUUCCUUUAAAUCGGGAGGUGGUCCCAAGGCUUCAAGAAGCAGUUCAUCUUCAUCCUCCUCAUGCUCCCUCCUCCCAGCUUGUUCUUCAUCUCCAUCUCUUAAAUGAUCGAAAUCAAGAAGUAAAAAAACCAGAUUUUUCUUUUUCUCAAGUUCAGCCCUUCGAGCCUCACCCGCAUUUGACACAUCACCCAGCCCACAUAUCCUGCAGUCUCGAAGGAGGUUAAGCUUUUUAAGAGACCCAAGGCUACAUGCUCUGCCAUAUCCUCCACCCACAACAAGCUUUGUCACUUCCGAAGACCGAUUAAUUCCCCAAUCCCGACCGGCAAGAAUCUGAAAGAAUUAGUCCCCUCAUUGUCUAAAUACAUCAGCUUUCUUAGCUUCCCAAUCCCUUGAAGUAAUUCUCUAAGAUUUACGCAAAAACGAACGUCUAAACGUUCUAAAUUGUAUAACUCACACAACACCUCAGGUAAUCUUUUUAUCUCGCUUUGACCGAACAAACUAAGGUAUUUCAAAUGUAACAACUUUUUUAUAUUUGUUGGAAUUUCUUUGAUUGGAUUAUAAUCCCAGCCAUACGUCUCUAAUGUUAAUGCCCUUAAACAAGUUAGUUUAUCAAAUAAUUGAGGUAAAACUUUGCUAGACCAUGAAUAUUCACCACCUUCAACCGAGAAGCUACACAAUCGUCUCAUUCUCUUAACAUUAUUCCAAAUGGAGAUUGGAACUGAAGUUUUUUCUGCUCAAAGGAACUCAUAAUUGACUCUUCACCACCAGGAAUUUUCACUGUUAAACAUUCAUUCCUCCAUAUAAAUUGGGCAAGGUCGUGCACUAAAUCGUGCAUUUUGCACAUAUAGACUUCACCAUCACCAUCUGCAUUGAACUCUUGAAAGAAUGAACUACUAGCUAAAAUGUUGAAAUACUCUUCACCUAUGUCCUCCAUCUCUUUGUUUCCUUUCUCAUUAAGGUAACCUUGAGCCAUCCAUAGUUCAAUUAACUCAUACUUCCGUAUUUCAAGGUCUUUUUGGAAAAUUGCCAUUCCAUAUUUCAUAUUUCACUAAUAUGUGGCAUGAUUUCUCCCUUUACUACGGUCUCGUAAUCCCACUUAUCCAGUACAUUGCAAAUAUGAGCUCUUUCAAUUUGGGAAAUGCUGAGGAGCCAAUGGAGUCAUCCGUAUCACUUUCUCUGUUACCAAACAUUCAUUGUCCAAAGACUCAAAAAGAAUUUAAAAAAAAAAAAAAAAAAAAAAAAUCAAGGGAUGGCAAUUUUUCCAAAGACUAAAAAAAAAUCUAAAAAAAAAAACAGAACAAAAUAAAAAAAGAAUACAGAUUAAAAUUCACAAUGCAUGCAGGCGCCUAUCCGAAUUCCUGCUUUGCAACGCCAUUUACGUAAUUCCUUUUUGGCUGGAAAUAUUGCUUUUUUAAAAAUUCCGGUAACAUGCCCAACAAAUUAAUCAGUUAGACGAAUAUAAUUAUAACGGCUUGAUGACUUUAGAUGUAUGUAUAAAUAAUUAAAAAUGCAUUAUCAAAUUAAUGAACAGAAGAGAGCAAAUGAGAAGGAAAGCAUAUGUAAUUACUAACCAGAGUUAAUUUGAUUCCUUAUUGGCACCCCUAUUAUAUAUUAACUUGUGCUGAAUCCUCUCCUGUGUUCACUGUUGGAUUAAGCGUUUCAUCUCAUGCAUUCUCACAUCUGUACGUUUUCGAUCUGCUCUUAAUUAAUUUCGUCUCAUUUUUAUGUAAAUUUUAUAGCCCCACUGAUUCACCAUUGUUAUGUUAUGACCAUUGUAGGUUUGUUAUUUUCAAAUUAUGUCCCCAGGUAAAACCAAAAUUAUAAUUUGACCAUCUUUUAUAGAGUUUAGUUAUAAUAAUCAAAUAAUACAAUGAACACACAAGAUAAAAAAAUUUACAUGGUUAGACAUAUUAAUUAAUAUGCCUUCAUCCGUGGGUGGUGAUACUAAUAAUCCACUAUAAAGCAUACACACAAUAAGCUCCCAGAUGCAAAUAAAACGAAAAGAAACACCAAUCUCAACACUCAAAAUCAAUCAACCCCCCAGCAGUUUGGCCUCACAAGAGCCCAUUCUGUGUUGUGCUUUCCCUCAUUCAUUCUCUUCACAAAUACAAGGCUUACAAAAAACAAAACAAACAAAUUACUGAAAACAUAUACAACAGAUUGAAAAAGCAUGCGGCUAUAUAUCCCAAUUCCUGCUCUGCUACGCCAUUUACGUAAUUCCUUUUUGGCCGAAAAACAUUGCUUUCCCCAACAAAACAAAUCAAUCAGUUAGACAAUUAUAUCUAAUUAUAAUGGUUUGUGACAUAAUUAUAUAUAUAUAUAUAUAAAACUAAUUGGGCAUGCAUCAGCAAAUUAAUGAAGAAGAGUAGAGAGCAAACGAGAAGGAAAGCAUAUACAAAUUAUAAUUACUAACCAGAGUCAAUUUGACUCGUUUCCUUGUUGGCUCAGUUCACUGUUGGACUAGACGUUUCAUCUCAUACACUCUCGUCUCUGUCUGUUUUGGAUCCGCUCUUAAUUAAUUUGUUGUUAAUCAAUUGGCUGAAAAUGAAAAGUUUCUUUAAUUUCAGUACGCAGAAAGCAGAGCAAUUGACGACACUUAUAAUAAUUAAUUUCUGAAUUGGAUCGAAAAAAUAACAACUAAUUAAUUAAUUUUUAAGUAAUAUAGGAGAUCUGGAAAGAAGUUACCCGUGGCCGUGGGUGAUUGUAAUUGACUAAUUGCAGCCGCGCGGUUUGAGAAUUCUUCACUCAAUCUCGAUGUUGGGAAUGUGGCGUAUCUUAGGCCAGUCCUCUCCUGUCUCCUCUCUGUAACGUUCUCGAAAAAUAGGACAUCCCCCCCAAAUGUGCAAUUUCUGGAGCGUUGUCUUCUGAAGAAGGAGAUCGGGCAGUGCUUUUAAUUUAAAGCAUCCAAAAAUGAUCAAGCAAGAAAGACGUGGCAUGAUUAUGAUUUCUCCCUUUGUUGCAGUCCCAAAAUCCCACUCUUCCAGUUCUUCCAUGUAACUAAAUUUAAGCUCUCUCAAUUUCGGAAAGGCAAUAACUGAGGAGCCAUUCGUAUCACUUUCUAUUCCCAGAAAUUCAUUACCCACUCUUUUCACACCAUGCAUUCCUCCAAUUUGAAGAUAUUCAAGGGAUUGCAAUUUUCCCAAAGGAAGCAAUUGCUCACAAUUUUUGAACAAGCUGAGAGAUAAAUACCUUAAAUUGGUUAAUGACAUGAUCCAAUUUUUGGGGACAACAUUGCCUCUGUAUUUAGAUAUCCAUAAUUUCUUUAAAUUAGGUGGGGGCUGUAAGGCUUCAAGAAGCUGUUCAUCCUCCUCAUCGUCCCUCCUUUCUUGUUCUUCAUUAAUUGUACGAUCAAAACGAAGUUCCAAAUCAAAGAGAUUUUUCUUUUUCUCAAGUUCAGCCCUCCUAGCCUCACCCACAUCUGACACAUCACCCAGCCCAUGUAUCCUACAUUCUCGAAGGAGGAUAAGCCUUUUAAGAGACUCAAGGCUACAUGCUCUGUCAUACCCUCCACCCACAACAAAUUUUCUCACUCUCCGAAGCCUGAUUAAUUCCCCAAUCCCAACCGGCAAGUAUCUCAAAGAAUUAGUGUAAUCAUUGUCUAAAUACAUCAGCUUUCUUAACUUCCCAAUCCCUUGAGGUAAUUGUCUAAGAUUUGUGCAAAAACUAAUGGCUAAACACUCUAGAUUAUAUAAUUCACACAAUGUCUCGGGUAAUCUUUUUAUCUUUUUUUGAGAGGACAAAUUAAGAUAUUUCAAAUGUAUUAAUUUUUCCAUAUUUGUUGGAAUUUCUUUGAUGUAAUUAUCACACCUCCAUCCGCGACACUUUAUUAAUUUUAAUGCCCUUAAAUUAGUUAAUUUAUCAAAUAAUUGAGGUAGGACUUCGCUAGACCAUGAAUAUUCAGCACUUUCAAUUAAGAGGCUACGCAGUCCUCGCAAUUCUUUAGCAUUAUCCCAAAUGGAGAUCGGAACCCAAGCCCCCGUCUCUAUAGUUAAACUUAAAUGAAGGAUUUUGUUCUCCCAAAAAGAGCUCGUAACUGACUCUUCGCCACAAAGAAUUUCCACCAUAAGACAUUCUUUCCUACACAAAAAUUGGGCAAAGUCGUGCACUAUAUCGUGCACUUUGCACUGAUAGAUUUUGCCAUCAUAUCCUCUUUCAAAAUCCUGAAAGAAUGAACGGCUAGCUAAGAUAUUAAAAUACUCUUCACCAAUUUCCUCCAUCUCUUUGUUCUUUUUAUUGUUAAGGAAACCUUGAGCCAUCCAUAGUUCAAUUAACUUAUCUUUCCAUAUUUUAGAGUUUUUUGGAAAGAUGGCACAAUAAGUGAAACAUUGUUUUACCUUGGAGGGUAAUUCAUUAUAACUCAACAAUAGAGGGGCUAAAAGGUUUUUCUCAACCUCUUCUAUCUCCCAUAUCUCACUCUCUAAGAUAUUUUGCCAUUCUUUUUCAGUGUUUUUAGACCGCAAGAGACUAGCAAUUGUCUUAGCAGCUAAAGGUAAGCCCUUGCACUUUCUUAUAAUUUCUCGACCAAUUUUUUCUAAAUUUUCACGUUCCUCCAUGGACUUACCAGAAAAUCCUAACGACUCAAACACCAACCAGCAUUCUAUUUCAGACAAUACAUUCACAGAGAUAAUGUCAGCUGAUCCCAUAAUACGGGCAACUGUUUCUUUACGUGUGGUAAUUAAAAUUUUGCUUCCAUGGAGACAAGUCUUUAAACAGUUGUAGAAUUGUUCCCAUUUAUAGAAAUCUUCAUUCCACACGUCGUCUAAGACAAGAAGAAGUUUCUUUCCUGCAACAUGUUUUUGAAUAUGUUGCAUGAGAGAUUGAAACUCAACAAAAUUAGAGGAAGAAUCUGUGAGAGCUUCAAUGAUUGCCCUAGCGAUUCUGAACACAUCAAAUGGCUCUGACACACAAACCCAUAUUCUUUUUUCAAAAUUCUUUUCAACAUCACCGUUGUUGUAGGCAAAUUGAGCAAGAGUAGUUUUGCCUAUGCCCCCCAUCCCAACAAGUGAGAUAACACAGGGGCCUUUCUGUUCUUCACUACUUUCACAUAACAACCUAUUAACGAGUUCGCUCUUCUCUUUUUCUCUACCAAAUAUCUCGGACUCAUCAAUUGAGGAGAUACUUGGUACUCGCUCAUCCGCUCUCUCAUUACUCUUAAUAACAUUCACAGCAAAACCAAACUGGUCUUUUUGUUUGGCAAUAUCAUCAAGAGUUUCAUUGAUUUCUCUGAUCUUGAGAGCAAUGUCCCGACGUAGAACAAGUGGUUUGCAACCAAAGCAAGGGGCAGCAGGAAAGAAGGAACAUACCUUCUUCUUAUGAACGAGAGCAUCAACUCCAUCGAUUUGCAGUUUGAGCCUUGCAGUGCUCCACUCAUCCAACACGUCUUCCAUGUUGUAAGAUGCGUCUCUGAGUUGAUCGAGCCAGAGUCUGACAGUUUCCUCCUUCACUUGCCUUUUCUCUGCAUCAUGGAGCACAGCUUGAAUGGCCCGGAGAUUGCUGGUCAGCUUCUUCACUUCCUUUCCGACACCCGUUACUAGCCUCACUUGUUCCUUCGCCUCUUCAACAGCCAUUGAAGUCAGCUGCUCCAAGAUAGGGGAAAUGAUCGCAUCAACCAUGGUGAAAAAGAAAAAAGAGAGAGAGAAGAAAUUGAUGGCUAGUUGUUGCAAAAGUAAGUAAUGCUGACAGAAAUGAAGGAGCUGAUAAUGUGGUGAAAAUGUUGCCGUAUUCUUUCAAUUCUUAUAGUGCUGCAAGCAAAAUUCCAAUUGUCUUUUUCUUUUUUUUUAAUAAUUUUUUUACCAGUGUGGACUGGAAAUAUUGUCACGUCCUCCGUCCGCGAUUCACGCGGUAUAUGAACUUGACAAAGUUGUUAUAUAUAUUUUUUUGGCUUAAGCACGGGUAUCUUGGGGAGAGCCCAACUGUGGGAGGCACCUUUAAACCCGUACCACAACUCAGAUUAGAAGUUCCCGCUCGAGCCGGGAGGCACAGGUUCUCCCAACAAAGGCGACUUCCCUGCGACUCGAACUGAGGAGCAAACACAGUCAAGCCUCUUAAGGGGACUCCAUUAUCAGUAGAGCCAACACUUUGUUGGACAAAGUUGUUAUAUAAUAGAUUAUCUCUUUUCAAUAAUUGAACAAGUUGUUAUAUAAUUUACGGGUCUUACUAUGUUACAGUUAUGUAUGUAACAGCCCAUGACGUGAUAAAUAAUUUAUUAAGAGUGUACAAUGUCUAAAAAUUUAAUGAUUUGGUAACUGCCCCCGGCUCCAAUUUAGUAACAAAAUUCUUUUCACCUGUUAUUAACCGGUUCCAGAUGACUUACUCAAAUUACAAUUACGUUUGUUAAGAUAUUUGAAUUGAUUAAUUACGUUUAGCUUUCUGUUUUAGCUAGUUAAGUGAGUUUGUUACUAGUGCUGAUGUGGCAGCUGAGUCAGCUAAAUCUGUUAUGAUCGUUAGUUUAAACAAACACAUCACUCGCAUGCAGAGUGUAGAAUAUUCCAUACAGCCGUAUGUAUAAAUACUUGUAAUCCUGCUCAUUUGGGCAUGUGAUCAAUACAAUAUUCUCUCUCUGUUUUCUCAUUCAUUUUCUCUACAGCCAAACAACUCUCUUUUCUUUAACAACGUUAAACAGUGUUUGACUGUGAAGUGUGAAAAAUCGAAUAAUCUUUUUUAAAAAAUUAGUUUUGGAACAAUAAUAAACAAUAACUCAUCAUUAAUUAUUUCUUAUUAUGUAUAAAUUGAUCGAUCUAGAACUGAAUAUUUACAUAUUCUUCUAUUUCUAAUCAUUUCAAAAUUUAAUAUAACUUUUUUUUAAAAAAAGAAUCAAUUUGUAUAAAAUGAUGAGAAUAACGGGUUGAACAUGCGAACACUUUAUUUUCCUUUUGACAAGGCAUAAUAAUAACUUAUAGGUACUGCAAUAUCGCAUGAAGAUUCCUGGAAGUAGCCUGCAGCUCAAAUACUUUUCUUUUGGACAAAAAUCAACAAUAAUUUUCAAACUUAGAAGAUACUCCUUGAAAGAUGGAUAACCCACCCACCAAACACUUUUUUCAUUUAGUGUAACUUUGUCGUUUUCUCGGAAAAUACUUAGAACUGCCAAUAUCUUCUAUAAUUAUUGUUUUAAAAAUCUCAGUUGCAUGCCCAAUUAACAAAUCAGUAGUCUUUGUUCAACAUAUUUAAAACACAAAAAAAAAAAAAAAAUCACACAUUGGUUUGAUGACUUUGUAAUUGAUACAUCAGGAAAUGAAGAGAAAAAGGAACACACUUACGACCAUCAUUGCAGAUGAUAUAAUAGAUGUAAGUAUUUAGCUCUGCACUGCCCCUUGGUAAUUCCCCUGCUUAAAAAAUAUUGUUUUAAAAUCUCAAUAACCAGUAACCACAUGCCCAAGCCCAGCAAAUCAGUUUGACAAGCCAUAUUUUUUUUCAAAAAAAAAAAAAAAAGGAUCGACCAGCACACUAAUUUGGUAAAAUGACUUUGUUCUAAUUGAACAUCAUUAGAAAAAUAAUAAAGAUUAGAGACCAACGAGAAAGCGUAAUUAAACUAAACAAUCUGAUUAUUAAAUCUCUAGUCUCGAGCACCAUUCCAUUGAUCCUCUGAUCGAUCGCACAGGCCUGUCUUGUCGUGUUCCCUUCUACGCAUAAUCGAUUCAUUUACUACAUGAAAUUAAUAAAUUUGAAUAUAUAUUUAUUAAUGUUGAAUUUUUUAGUAAUUUUGUUGCUUUCCAGAGUAUGAUAUCUUUACCGCCUGGAUUUGGACAUAGUUGUUAUAAAAAAUUUGAUUAUUAACUCUCUAGUCUCUCUCGCACCAUUCCAGUAAUCCUCUGAUCGAUCACACAAUCUAUGCAUAAUCGAUUCAUUUACGAAAUGAAAUUAAUCAAUUUGAAUGUAUAUAUUUAUUAAUGUUGAUUUUUUAGUGAUUUUGUUGCUUUUCAGAGUAUGAUAUCUUUACCGCGUGGCUUUGGAUAUAGCUUGGUUAGUUUAACAAAUAUAACGUAACCUAUGAUAUUAUAUAAAUAUUCAAUUAUUCUCUUGGACAGAAGUAAAUUAACUAAAAUUUUAAAAAAAAUGUAAAGAUUAAAAUAUUUUAUAUUUUAUUACGUAAUAAUAUUAGAAUCUUAAACUGCGUUUGGUAUUGUUUUUGUUUUGGUGUUUCUUGUUUUUUUAAUAAUGAAGCAACCUAAAAUUGUUUGGAUAACUUGUUUUUUAAUAGUAUUUAAUUCUAAUAGAGACUGAUUUGUUCUAAUUUUCCAAUAGAAGAAAAGUGGAGAAUAGAAAAAUGAUGUUUUUUUAAUUUUUAUUCUUCAAAUGGAUCCCAUAAUGCUACUUGCACAAUAAUAAAAUAAAAAACCUAUUUACUUUAUAAUACAAUUUUUUAUUUGUUUAAUCUUUUGAAUUUUUUUCUAUGAUGGUAAUGUAUUAUUUUAGUAAUUUUUAAAGGACUUUGAUAUUCUCUAAAAAUAUAUAUAUAUUAUCUCAUGUUUAAAAAAUAAAAAACUGCAAUAACAAAAAAAAUAAAAUAUAUAAUGAUUAAGAAAAUUGAGUUUGUUAAAAAUUUUUCAUUAUGAUUUUUUUUUUCACUCUCAUUCAAUGUCUUCACUUAUUUAGACAAAAAAUUGACGACAUUUUUAUUUUUUUAUAUUUAAACACUAUUUUAGAAAUAAUCAACCAAACAUAUUUUUAUUUUCACUAAAAAUUAAUUAUUUCUAAUUUAUAAACAAAAAAUAAAAAUUUCAUGUAAAAAAUAAUUCUAAAUACAUUCUUAAUAUUUGAGGAGAUGUAUCUUAUUAUAUUAGUUGUAAGAUAGUAUUGGCCUAAAAAAUAUUGUGCGAGAUAGCACAUGCCAACCGGGGCCUUAUCCCUGGUAAAGCUUUAUCAUUGCCAUGUCUUUUCGCUAUUCAUAUGUUAGUGGCAGACAUCGGUGGCCAUUUAAGGGAUAAACACUGCUAUUCUUCUAAUUAAAUCUUGACAAGUGUGCUUUUUAUUUCUAAUUAAGCAAUUCCUAUCUUACAUGCAUGUAAGAUACAUCCCCUCACAUAAACAGUAUACCCACACAUGUAAGAUAAUGGGAUCCUUCUAAUUAUUCUACUGUCCUUAUUUUUUUCUUACACCAUUCAUAGUGGGAAACAGUCGUAAAACCCGAUAAAAGGAAUAAUCUUAUCCCAGCCCAUACGCAAGGAAUGUCGAAUGGCCUACAAGACGUAAAGGUAAUAGCCAUCUAAUAUGCUUUGCUGUCAGCCAUGUGUAUUUUAUUUAUGGAUUUGGCUACCUUACAUUUCAAGUAAGUUUUUAUAUAAUAUUUUAUCAUGUCGGCAGAUUCAUUGAGAUUUGGAGGCAUUUGCUACAAUCACCCGUGAACUUUAAAUAAUUGAACAAGUUUUUAUAUAAUAUGUUAUCAUGUCAGGAAAUUCAUUAAGAUUUGGAAGCAUUUGCUCACAAUCACCCAUGAACUUGAUACUUUUUAGAUUGUUAGAUCUGAAAUAUACAUGCAUUAUUAGCAUAGAAUACCUUGACUAUCUCUUUUUUUCCUUUUUUUUUUAAUGACUCGCUCGCAUAAUUAAUUGAAAAGAAUGAACAAGUUGGCACAAAAUAUUUUAAGAUUCGUCUCGAAUCACUUUGUUUAAAUCUUGUCAUAUUAGUAGACUUGUAAUAUUGGUAGUUUAGAGUUUAAUCUCUAACUUUAACUGUGAAGUGUGCAUUUCAUAUACUCGGCUAACAAAAGAAAAUCAUAUCUUAUUUAGUAAUUUAACGGGAUGAUAAUAUUGAAUGAAAAACUUAUAAUUAUUUUACUAUUUUUAUUAAAAUUAUUAUUUAAAAAUAAUGUUUAAUAUUAAACACUAAUCACAAUCUCUUUCACAAUUAUUAUAAUCUUAGGUGGCGUUUGUUUUUUAAUUUAAUGACUUAAAGUGACUUAACUUAAUUAAUUAAGUUAAUUAGAGAUAUUUAUUUUUAUAACUUAAUGAGACUUUUUAGAUAAUUUUGACUUAAUAAAAUAAGCCAAUUUUUUUUGCUUUUUACUUAAUGGAGAAAUCUCAAUUAAGUCAAUUACUUGCUAAUGUCAAAAAUAUCCCUGCUUUAUAAUUUAUUUUUCAUGUUUAUCCCAAAACUCACUCAUAGACAUUUACCCCACAUAAAAAUAUCCUUGUUUUUUUCUUUCUUAUAUUAUAUAAGAUAAAAUUUGAAAUUUAUGGUAUUUUAUAUAUUAAAAUUCCAAAAUAGUUAUGUAUUCACUUUAAUAUAGUUUUACUUAUAAAUGUUAAAAUAUUGUGGUAUUUAAUAUAUUAUUUAUUUGACAUUCAAAUUUAAUAAGGAUACAAAUGUAAAAGUACAUAUUUUCAGCUUUUUAAGUUGAAAAAAAAAAACAACUUAAUACUUAUUUUCCGAGAUUCAGACGAAAAAACAAACAUAUUAUUUAGAUUCAGACAUUCAGAUUUAUUGAGAAUUCAGACUAAUUCAAGUUUAUUCAGAUUUCAGACAAAAAAAAAAAAAAAACAAACACCACCUUAGUUUCAACCGAGGUAAAUAGCCGAACUCUUUUCUUUUUGAAGGAGCACAAUAACAACUUGAAGAUUCCUGGAAAUUGACUACAGCACAAAUAUUUUUCAUUUGAACAAAAACCAUCAAUAAUUUUCAAACUUAGAAGAUAUUUAUUUUUUUCCCCAUAACCCACCAAAAACUUUUUCAUUUAGUGUAACUUUGUAAUUUUCUUAGAUGAUACUUAAAACUGCUAAUAUCUUCUCAUUAUUGUUUUAAAAAUCCCAAUAAUUGCAUGUCCAAUUAACGGAUCAAUAGUCUCAGUUCGAUAUAUUUAUUAAAAAAAUAAGAAAUACACAGUUGUUUGAUGACUCUGGAAAUAAAGAGAAAAAAUAACACCCUUUAUGACGACCAUUGCGAAUGACAUAACAGAUGUCAGUAUUUAUUACCAAUUAAUUGACAUUCUUAUUAUCAAGUAAUUGUUUUAGACUCGAAUUCAAAAGCUCAGCCCUGCCCUUCGGUAAUUCCCCUGUUCAAACAAUAAUAUUGUUUUAAAUAUCUCAAUAACAACAUGUCCAACAAAUCAGUUUGACAUGACAUAAUUUUUGUCAUAACGACUUUGUUGUAACUGAAACAUUAUUGGGAAAUUAAUGAAGAGUAGAGAGCAAUGAGAAAGCUUAAUUAAUUAGCUAAACAAUUUUGAUUAUUAACUCUCUAGUCUCUCUUGCACCAUUCCAGUAAUCCUCUGAUCGAUCACACAAUCUAUGCAUAAUCUAUUCAUUUAAUUAAUCAAUUUAAAUAUAUAUAUAUAUAUUAGAGUGACGCUAUUGGCACCCCUCUAUAUCAAUUAAAGAAAUAUAUUUUAAAGGGAGCUCGUAAGUAAUUUACAACCCUUCAAACUUACGUGAACAGUAAUAGUAAUAGUAAGUGGUGGGAUGAUCUACUGCAUGAAUUUUAAAGGAACUAUAAAUUAUUUAACAAAAUCUUAUUUUAAAACGAUUGUGCGGGACACAGCACAUGCCAACCCGGGCUUUAUCCGAGUUGAAGCUUUUAUCAUUGCCAUGUCUUUUCACUAUUCAUAUAUGUAGUGGCAGACAUCGGUGGCCAAUUAAGGGAUGAACACAACCAACCACUCCACCAAGUAAAUCUUGACGCGUGUGCUUUUAUUUCCAAUUAUUCUACUGUCUUUUUCUAAUUACUUUUAUCGCAGAAGUAAUUAAUUCUGAAGGAAAUGAAGGAGCUAAUAAUGUCGUGAAAGUGCUGCCACAUUCUUCCAAUUCUUAUGCUGCAAGCAAACCUCCAAUUUACAAAUAUUUCAUUUCAAAAGAAGUUAUUGUUAUUAUUAUCUUUCUUUUUCUUUUUAAUUUUUUUGACCAGCGUGGACUGAAAAAUAUUGUCAGGUCCUACAUCCGCGAUUCACUCAGUAUAUGAACUUGACAAAGUUGUUAUAUAAUCCCAAUAAAAAGAGACCGUCUUUUUUUUUUUUUACAUUAUUCAUAGUGGGAGACAAUGGUGAGGGCCUAGGGAUGAAAGUAAAACUAAAAGUUUAAUAGUGUUUGGUUAACAUUAAUUGUUGUAACUUAAAAGAUAUAUUCAUAUAAUUUUUCAGCUGUAUAAUAAAAAAUUUAUUAUAUUUUUAAUAAUUUUAAUAAAAUUAUUAUUUAAAAUUUAUAUUCAUUAUAUUAUUAAGUUUUAUUUUAUAAUUACAGAUUAUGGGAUGUAAAGGAGUUUGGGAGCUGUAGCCUUUAGUUGGCUUAGGGAGAUGUUAAAGUUUUGAGAAAUGCUUAGAAAUUUAUUUUAUAAUUUGUUUUAAAGUUUAUUUUAUAAUUUAUUUAUAACGUAUAUAAUACGUUCUCAAUUUUAUUACUAUAAAGUUGAAUCUAUUUUAUUUACUUUAUAAUUUUUUUAUUCGGGUUCACUGACCGUGUACUACAGCUAGAUUCUAAAAACAAAAAAUGAAAAUAUAGUCUAGAGAAAUAACAUCGAACAGACUCUAACUUAUCAUCUUCACAUCAUCAUUUUGAAUUUCUUUAAUUAAUUCUUUUCAUUUUACUCUUCAAUAAUAAAUGUCACUUCAACUCGUGUGUGUACAUAAUAUAGGAUAGAAAAAUAAUGUCGAACAAACUCUAACAUAUCAUCUUCGAAUCAUCUUUUUGAAUUUCUUUAAUUAAUUCUUUUCAUUUUACUCUUCAUUAAUAAAUGUCACUUCAACUCGUGCGUUUGUAUAUUCAUACUGUAGAAAUUAAAAGUUUGAGUUUAACUAUUGUAGAUGAAGUUAUGUUUUAAUCAUUAUUACUAUUACUAUUAAUUAAUUUAUAUUAUUAUUAUUUAUUAAUUUUAUUAUCAUUAACUAUUACCUCUGAUUUAUUAUUGUAUUAUUAACCACAACAAAUAAAUAAUAAUAAUAAUAAUAAUAAUAAUAAUAAUAAUAAUAAUAAUAAUAAUUUAUUUGAGGACAAAAGUGAAAUUAUGAAAUUUAUAAGGUGGUAAAAUAGAGAGUUCAAGGAAUAGAAUCCUCUCAUAGAAAUCAAGUUUAUGUUCUUUAAUUCCCAAAAACACGAGCCCUAUAUGUUUCAUUCCCAUUUCUAUCUAUAUUUUAGUAAGUAAACAUCAUCAAUCAUUUUCGUUUUGAAUUAUGAUUUUUCAAUCCGAGCCAGUAAAAGAGAGAGUUAAACUUGACUCACCGGCUUUUCUAAUUGUUCUGAUUUGUUGUAUAAUUUAUUCUAAAGUUUAUUUUAUAAUUUAUUUAAAACGUAUAUAACACGUUCUCAAUUUUAUUACUAUAAACUUACGCUGUAUUGUCUAGUCUUAGUAAGUAACGACUCAAUUGGUUGUGGGAGGAUCCCUUCCGCUUUGACCAAAAAAACUGUUUCGAGGACAGUAUUCUAACUCAACUCAAGUGCGGAACAAAGAAAGAAACGCUAAGAACAUUAAUGAAAGUUAACAUACAGAGCAAACAAGUCAAGAGCACACACAAGAGGAGAAAUAAUUAACACUAUUAUUUUACAUGGUUGAGUUUCUCUAAGCCCACGUCCACGAAGACAGACACUUGCCCAAGGAAAUAAUUGACCAAGGAAUUUACAAGGAAACUCUCUUUUCCAGAAGUUACAAGAGCCCUGACACUAUUCCUCUCGAGGUCUAGUUCAAGUCGCACAGGCCUCUCGAGCUCCCUCAAGAACUCUGCUUUCUUGCUGUUCAAGAAAGCGCCUGAUUGGAAUCACAUGCUCCACGUGACAUCUGGCAUAACUAAAUCUGCUGCCGUACCCGGCCAGUUUAUGAUGCCACUUAUGAUACCCUGUCUCGUCAGCUUCCUUGCCCUGGGUCAUCAUAGGACCUUACAUCUUGGAACCUCCAUGAAAGCUGAAUCUCUAACAGCCCAUCAUAAAAGAUAUUAGUUUUAAAAUAGGGAAAUUACCAAAAAUACCCGCACAUUUUGAAAUUUGUCAAAAAAUGAAGAGUAGAAAGCAAUAGGAAAAUGUAAUUAACUAACCAAUUUGAUUCCUCUGAUUGCUUUCAUCUCAGGACUGUUUGUCUUCCCGUCCGUCUUCGAUUCCGCAAGACGAUCUUGGCUUGAAUUUAUACAUCAGAAGAAAAUAUCAGUAUGCCCAAAAUAAAAAGUUGCUUCCAGCGCAGAAAUAAGAGAAAUUGACACGCCUUUUUCCAUCACAGCGGAUGGUAUCAUAUGGAAGUAUUCUGUCGCAGACUUAACAUACUUAUCAAGUAAUUCAUAAUUCCUAGUUUAAAAAGUAGAGCAAUUGGAUAUCUAAUCCCCGUAAAUUCAAGAUAUAAUAACUCUUGACAAUUAUAUAUUCAUAUACAUGUUAGUAGCGUGAUGCUACCAAUAUUCGCACCUUUAGCAUUCAAACACUUGAUCAUUGAAAGAAUUUAAGAAAAAUGUUGUUUGGUUACUGAGAAAAUAUCUCAACAAAAUUUUCAGAGAACUUUCCAGAAUUCUUGCCUUUAUUUCACUUAAUGAAAAAUGUUACAAUUACAUUCAAUUUAUAUUCGAUGCUUUAGCAUUACUAAUCUAUAACUAACUCAGAACAUACUACACAUGCUUAACUACAGCUCAAUAUAUACAGAGUAAGUCAUAACAAACUUCUAACUACUUAUGCUGAGGUGGCAACUGAGCUGUUAUUCUGCUUAAUCAUCUGACGUCACCAACUUGCUGGUUUUCCUCAGCUUGAGCGUCUUCUUCCUUUCUGUACAAUGAGCUUCUUUAACAAUCAUUGAAGCAGCCUUUCUCUGUUUCUCGCCAACCUAGCUCCGACAUUAAUCUAUAGAGUUAUCAAGACUGACAUUCGAUGACGUAAUCAUAUAAAGUUGUGCUUAUGCCUACAAAAUGGCUGAAUAACUAACCAAUUCGAUUCCUUAUUGCACCAUUCCUGAAUCCUGUCCUCUGAUCGGUUUCAUCUCAGUACUGUAGGCCUCUUCCCGUCUUCCAUAUCGCAAGACACUUCACCUAGCCCAAAACAUACCGUUCUUGGCUUGAAAAUGGAAAGUCUCGUGCAGUGCAGAAAUCAGAGGAAUUAACCCACUUAUGACCAUCGUGUGUGUAUAUAGUAGACGAUGUCAUCGAUACUUAUUUUGUCACAAAAUUAGUUAACAUACACUCAUAUAUAAAGCUGAAGUAAUUAGAUUUCUAAUGAGUGUUUAAGAUAUUACAAAUUAAAAUGUUGCAUACUCUGGACAUUAACAUAACAUAAAAUUUGAUCCACAAUUUACUCAAUUUCUGAGUUGGCUUACCAAAAGUAUUGUGGCAGAAAUAACCUGCAGAUUCUGAUAAGCUGAUAACAGAAGCUUUACAGAACACUCCCCCAAAAAUCUUGGAUUAGAAUCAACAAGAUGCCUUACAAAGAUAACUAGAGAGCUAAUGAAUUAAUGUUCUAUUAACUAAGACCAAGAUUGUGUUUAGAAACAAACAAAGAAAUGAAUUGAAUACAAGAAAUCACAUAACACAGCUAGCUAACGUGGUUCAGUCAAUUUGCAUUGACUUACAUCCACGGGGGAACAAACUAAUCAGCUUUAUUUGAAUUAUCUCAAGUAUUGAUUACAGAGAUUACCAAGCACUUAACAAGAACAAGAAAACUCCUCUUUCUCAAGCUUUCUUUCUCUCGUUACAAUGCUCUCAGUCUCUCCACAACUCUUACUGUUUCCAGCUGCGUAUCACAGCUUAUAAAUCACCUCAGAGGCAUUUCCAGAAACACACGUGAGGACCAUGUGCAAUAACGGCUUCAUUAACAACCUUUUGUUUGCACGUGUUCUGCUCGUGUUUCAUUAACUCCAAAACGACAAGACUGUAUGUCGUUGUAACAAGCAAUUCAUUUACUUUAUUAAACGCAGUCUUUAUGCGUCGUUUUACUGAAGUUAUCAAGCAUCACAAAACGCAAGCCAACACUGUCGUUUCAUCCUCUUUGAUUUGAUUCACUGAAUACUCAACAAAACUCCACCUUGAAGCAAAUCAUCCCUGAUAACUUUCUCCCCAUUUUUGUGUGCAUUUCUCAGGAGCUGCACACGCCAGUCAAAUCCAAGCAGAGGUUGAAUUUGGCUGUAGGUACUACUUUUGUAAGCAUGUCAGCUGGGUUACUGUCAGUGUGAAUUUUAACCAUUUUGAUGACUCCUUUAGACACUUCAUUCCUAAUAAAGUGUAGCUUCACAUCAAUGUGUUUGGUUCUUUCAUGGUGUACUGGAUUCUUGCUCAGAUAGAUUGCACUCGAGCUGUCACAAUGGAUAUCAACAGACUGUUGCUUCUUGCCCAAUUCAGCUAACAUACCCUUAAGCCACAAAGCUUCUUUAACAGCCUCUGUAGCUGCAGUGUAUUCAGCUUCUGUAGUUGACAAAGCUACAAUGUGUUGAAGGCUUGCUUUCCAGUUGAUUAGACAACCAUUUAGCAUGAACAUAUAGCCUGUUAAAGACCUUCUUCUGUCAUUGUCCCCUGCAAAGUCUGAGUCUACAUAUCCACAUAGUCCAUUAUUUCUCCCCUCUGAUCUCCCAUAUUGCAGUCCAAGUCCCAAGGUACCCUUUAAGUAUCUCAGGAUCCAUUUCACUGCAUUCCAAUGCUCUUUUCCUGGUGUUGCCAUGUAUCUGCUCACAAGGCUUAAAGCAUAUGCAAGAUCUGGUCUGGUUAAUACCAUUGCAUACAUCAUGCAUCCAACAGCAUUUGCAUAUGGAAUUUUUAACAUUUCAGAUUUCUCUUCAUCAGUCUGAGGACAUUACUGAUUUGAAAGUCUGAAAUGUGAUGCUGGAGGUGUCAUGACAGGUUUACAGCUUUGCAUCCCAAAGGUGUCAAGUACCUUAGCUAGAUACUUCUCUUGAGUUAGAAAUAUCUUACCCUCCUUUCUGUUUCUCCUUAUUUCCAUGCCUAAGAUCUUCUUGGCAUGCCCUAAGUCUUUCAUGUCAAAUUCUGAGCUGAGCAGUAACUUCAAGGCAUCAAUCUCAUCUCUUUGUUUGCAGGCUAUUAACAUAUCAUCCACAUAUAAGAGUAAGUAUAUGUGGAGGUCUGCUUUUGUUGUUUUGUAGUAAACACAACAAUCAAAGCUGCAUUUAUUGAAUCCAUGAGAUGUUAUGAGCUCAUCAAAUCUGAGGUACCACUGUCUGGGUGAUUGUUUUAACCCAUACAGUGACUUCUUCAGCAAACACACAUGAUUUGGCUUCAUUUGGUCUGUAUACCCUUCUAGUUGUGUCAUAAAGAUUUCUUCUUGUAGGUUCCCAUGCAGGAAGGUUGUUUUGACAUCGAGUUGAUCAAGCUCCAUGUCAUAAACUGUUGUUAGAGCCAAUAAGACCCUUAUUGAUGCAUGUCUAACCACAGGUGAGAAUACUUCUUUGAAAUCAAUGCCCUCCUUCUGUGUGUAUCCUUUAGCUACCAGCCUAGCCUUAAACCUCCUAGGUUCUGAAGCUGACACCCCAUCUUUGAUUCUGUAUAUCCAUUUGCAUCCCACUAGCCUUCUGUUAUCAGGCUUUCUUACUAGCUCCCAUGUAUUGUUUUUAUAAAGAGAAGCUAUAUCUUCUUUCAUGGCUUUCUGCCAUUCAGCCUUGCUUGUACAGUUAACUGCUUCUUUGUAGCUCUUAGGUUCUGUUUCAUCAAUUUCAUGUGAAGUAGCAAGUGCAUAAGCUAUUAGAUCUGCAUAGCCAUAUCUCUUUGGAGGUCUGAUGGUUCUUCUUUCUCUGUCUUUUGCCAACUGAUACUCUUCAAGCUCAGUUUGAUUCUGGUGAUGUUGAUGUUCUGUAUUGUGAUCUUCAUUUUCAGAAUUAUCUUCAUCUGAUUCUGCAGCUUCAUUUGAAGAUUUCUGAAAUGAGUGCUCCACCUCAAACUGGAUACUAUUAGUACCUCUAUCUUGAGAUUCAGCAGCCUCAGCUGGGUUAUUAGAUGACAGCUCAGUCUCCUCAUUGAACACCACAUCCCUGCUUGUUAUGCAUCUGGGUGGAGUCAGUUCUGAACACCAUAACUUGUAACCCUUCACUCCAUCUAGAUAACCUAUAAACUGUCCCUUUAAGGCUCUAGGUUCUAAUUUUCCCUGGUUUGUGUGUACAUAUGUUGUACACCCAAAUACUUUGAGGUUGUUGUAGUUUCCAGGUUUACCAGACCAAAGUUCAUAAGGGGUCUUGAACUCAAUGGUUGUUGAAGGACUUAGGUUGACCAGAAGACAAGCUGUUAACAAGGUUUCUGUCCAGAGCCCUUUUGGCAGCUUUGACUGAAUCAUCAUGCACCUGACUUUAUUCAUUAAAGUUCUGUUCAUCCUUUCAGCAAGCCCAUUUUGUUGAGGAGUCAUUCUCACUGUUCUAUGUCUGCCAAUGCCCUCACUAGCACAGAAGUCAUCAAACAUCUUAUUACAAUAUUCAAGUCCAUUGUCUGUUCUUAGCUUUUUAACCUUCUUUCCUGUUUGGUUUUCAACUAAGGCUUUCCAAUCCUUAAACUUGCCAAACACUUGAUCCUUUGUUCUGAGAACAUACACCCAAACCCUUCUCGAAAAAUCAUCAAUUAUAGACAUGAAGAAUCUAUUCCCCCCCAUAGAUGGAACUUGAGAUGGCCCCCACAGAUCUGAGUGGAUGUAUUCCAGAAUGUCUCUAGUCUUAUGCUGGGAUUUCUUGAAACUAGCUCUUGUAGACUCCCUAGGACACAGUCUUCACAAAAAACUAAUUCCCCAAUCUUAUCACUCCCUAGAACACCCUGCUUAGCUAAUUCUUUAAUACCCUGAAUGCUCAUGUGCCCUAGCCUUAGAUGCCAUAACCUGGUUGCAUCCAUGUUAACCUUAGUGGAUACACUGGACUCUCCAGUUACCACUUCACCAUCUAAAACAUAUACACCAUUCUUUCUACUUCCUUUCAUAACCAGUGUAGCCUCAUUAAGGAUUUCAAUUUUUCCAUGUUCAAGCCUAACACUAUAACCAACUUGGUCAAGCAUCCCUAAGGAGAUUAAGUUUCUUUUAAGGUCUGGUACAUGUCUCACCUGCUUGACUUCUCUAAUGGUUCAAUUAUGUAGCUUAAGGCUUAUAUUUCCUAUCCCAAUGACUUUGCACACUGCAUUAUUUCCCAUCAUAACCUUUCCCCCAUCAAUCUUAUGAUAUUCAGAAAAGAAAUUUUGGCAAGGACUUAUAUGAAAUGUGCAUCCAGAGUCAAGGAUCCACUUACCCUUCUGCACUUCUUCUGUUGCCACACACACAUCAGCUGAUUCAUAUCCCUCUUCUUCAACAAUAGCUGCAUCACCAUUCUGUCCCUUCUUCUUGAAACUCUUCUCUGGGCAGUCUUUCUUGAAGUGCCCCUCCUUGUGACAUUGGAAACACUUCAGAUUUUUGUUCUUGUUCUUUGUCUUGCCUUGUUUCUUUUUCUUUCCAUCAGUCUUGUCAAUCUUUUCUUUCACAGUCAGCCCCUCUCCAUGUACUCUAUUUGCUUGUUUCUCUUGUAACCCUCUUGUAUUUAAAGCAGCUUUAACCUCAUCCAGGGAUAGGGAUUGUCUACCAUACAUGAGAGCAUCAACAAAGUUUGAGUAUGAAGGAGGUAGGGAGCUUAUCAAGAGUAGAACUUUGCCUUCAUCAUUCAGCCCUUCAUCAAUGGUUUCCAAGGUAUCACAAAUCUUAUUGAACUCAUCGAUGUGCUCAUCAAAAGAGGAUCCCUCAGCCAUCUUGAGUGAAAACAUUCUCUUCUUGAUGUACAAUCUGUUUGCCAGUGAUUUAGUCAUGUAUAAGCUCUCAAGUUUUGCCCAUAACUGUGCCACUGUCUUCUCCUUAGCAACUUCUCUGAUAACUGAGUCACUGAAACUCAAGAUUAUGGUGCUCUUGGCCUUCUUGUCAAUUUCAGCAAUUUGCUCAGGAGUGCAUGAUGAAGACCCCUCUUUACCUUCUUUCUUGGUUGCUGGUCCAAUGGCAUCACCCAGCCCCUGUGUGAUCAACAGUGCCUCCAUUUUCACUUUCCACAUGUUGAAAUCAUUCUUUCCAUUAAACUUUUCUAAAUCAAUCCUCGGAGCAGCCAUACUUGGAUUUAAUCUUUCAAUCUAGCUCUGAUACCAAUUGAAGAUUCUGAUAAGCUGAUAACAGAAGCUUUACAGAACACUCCCCCAAAAAUCUUGGAUUAUAAUCAACAAGAUGCCUUACAAAGAUAACUAGAGAGCUAAUGAAUUAAUGUUCUAUUAACUAAGACCAAGAUUGUGUUUAGAAACAAACAAAGAAAUGAAUUGAAUACAAGAAAUCACAUAACACAGCUAGCUAACGUGGUUCAGUGAAUUUGCAUUGACUUACAUCCACGGGGGAACAAACUAAUCAGCUUUAUUUGAAUUAUCUCAAGUAUUGAUUACAGAGAUUACCAAGCACUUAACAAGAACAAGAAAACUCCUCUUUCUCAAGCUUUCUUUCUCUCGUUACAAUGCUCUUAGUCUCUCCACGACUCUUACUGUUUCCAGCUGCGUAUCACAGCUUAUAAAUCACCUCAGAGGCAUUUCCAGAAACACACGUGAGGACCAUGUGCAAUAACGGCUUCAUUAACAACCUUUUGUUUGCACGUGUUCUGCUCGUGUUUCAUUAACUCCAAAACGGCAAGACUGUAUGUCAUUGUAACAAGCAAUUCAUUUACUUUAUUAAACGCAGUCUUUAUGCGUCGUUUUACUGAAAUUAUCAAGCAUCACAAAACGCAAGCCAACACUGUCGUUUCAUCCUCUUUGAUUUGAUUCACUGAAUACUCAACAUAACCAAAUCAACCCAGGUCCUUAUAUGGAGCCCCUGUGCGUCAAUUAAAGUAAAAGCUCGAUCCUCUGUUAUCCGAAAUGGUCAAACAAACAUUAAACCAAAAUGUUGAAGUCUCUUUCUUUUGCAAUUCUAGCUCUAACUGAUGAGAUUGAUCGAAAAGAAUAACCAACAUUAAGAUUAAUUUUUAUUUCCAUUACUAGGAAAUAGAUAAUUAAAUAGAAUUCUCAGUAAAGCUCACCAAUAUCUGUCUCCGUCAUCACAUAGAUAUAUCAGACUAGCUAUCUAAUCCUUUUAUUUUAUUUUUUUCCUUUUUCAUUCAACAGCUUCAGCAUAUAACAAGAAAGCUUGGGCUCCUACAAUGCUUAGGCCUCAUCACGAUUAAGUACUUGUACGGUAGCGCAAGUAGCAGGCCUGGCACCACUCUGGAUCUACUAGAGAAAUUUAUUUUACACACGUGCCCUGAAAAUCUGUUACAUAAAUUAUGUCCUAAUAAUCAGCAAUAAUUCAAAGAUGCGGAUAAAAAAAACACUAUAAUGUACAAACAUACACCUUGUUCAUAUUUUUUUGUAUCACAUGAGACAUAAAUAGGGAUGGCAAUGGGGAGGGUAGGGGAGGGGACCAAUCUCCCCGUACCCAUCCCCGAUGUUUUGCGUAUGUCCCCGUCCCCGUCAGAAUUACUUAAGAGAAUCCCCAUCCCCUCCCCGAAUAAUAAUAGGGGAUCCCCGAGGGUUCCCGAUCCCCGAAUAACUAAUACAUUUUUUUGUUUUCAAUUUGAAUUAAUCAUAUUAAAAUAAAAAAUUCAAAUAAAAGUAAAGUUCGAAAAAUAUCUUACAUUAAUAUCCAUUACAAUAGUCACAUACAUUAAAUUAGUAAGUAACGCAACAUGCAAGGGAUACAAACUUCUUUUACAAACUAUCAUGAACAAAUUAAUAGUCUAAUACAAAAUUGUUACAAAUAAAAUUGAAUUUAGAUUCAAAAUUAACUUUUUCAAUGGUGGCGUGGGCACUUUAUAAAUGUGGACUAUUCCCUUUACAGCACAAUAGUUAAGUCGGAGCAAAUCAAGAGCAAAUAUUAGAUUAGAUAUUAAAAUUGUGAUUUGUUGUGGGCAAUUAUAACAUCUAAAAAUAAAUAAAAAUUAGAUUUAAGUUUAAAAUAUUUAAUGAAUAUUAAAAUUAAAACAAAAUUUUUGGGCUAAUAGAAUCUAUCCGGUCUUUUUAAUGUCCUAAAUAAAAAUUUAGGACUUUAAUUAGUUAAUUAGGCCUAAAAGUUUAAUAAUAUAAAUAUUUUGAUAUUUGUUAUUUUUACCAAUUUUUAUAAUUUCAUAAUUCAAAUUUUAUUAUUUAUUUACUAGUAAUUUUAAAAAAUUAAAAAUUAAAAUUAAAAUGGGGAAAUGGGUAGGGGAUAGGGAUUCCACCUCAUCCCUGUCCCCUCUCCGAAUAAGAAAUUGGGUAAAAAAAUUUCCCCGUCCCUUCCCCGAAUAAGAAAUUGGGUAUGAAAUUAUCCUCAUACCCUCCCCGAAUGGGGAAAAUCCCCAAGGGUACCCGUCCCCGUGGGGAUUUUUGCCAUCCCUAGACAUAAACUCCUCAAGAGUCAAGUCCGACAUUUAAUUCAACCCAUAAACUUGUGCUUGUAGCCCGCAUAAAUGGUUAAACAAAUAUUAUAUUUUCGACUUGAAGAUUGGAUUACAAAUAUAUAAUAGGAAAGUAAAAUGGAGGAGGAGAAAGAAAUUACAUGUAGUAAUUGAGAAAUUACUGCCAAAAAUAAAAUUACCUGUAGGAAUUUUAUUUGGUUAGUAAUUGAGAAAGAAAUUACCUUAGGUGUUGGCUGAAAGGAAUUUAGAUCUAUCAAAAAUAGAUGUAAGCAAUUAAAAACUAAAAAUUAAUUACUUAAUUAAUUUUUUCAGAAGUACUGUUCACUGUUACUGUUUACGGUUCUGUUCACCACAACUGUUUACAGUUAUUGUUCAUCCGCAUAAAAAAUAUUAAUUUUCCAAAAACACAAUAAAAUGCAGAAAAUAAAUGACACAGAAAUUUUUACGUGGUUCGUAUUAAUCAAUCCUACAUCCACGAGGCCACGCCAAGAUGAAAAACAAUCACUAAGUUGAGAUGUUACAACUUAUGAAUUUACCAAACUUAAGACUCUCACUUACAGUUUAUCACCAUACAGUUUACUCAACCUUAGACUAAAUCUGCUUCUCUUAAAUAAUUGCUACCCCUCUUGAUCCACGAUCCUCAAGGCACUUCGCAAAGUGAUCAAUAGCAAUUCUUCAAUUUUUCAAUUCUUCAACGUCUAGUGAUCCAAGAUCGACAUAGAGUCUCAACAAAGAUGAAAAGAAGAUAAUAAAACAAAUCAACACAACAUGGUGCGCCAAAUUCGGAUUCUCUAGGGAGGAGGCCGAAUUUUGCUUCUCUGCUUUAUGCUUUGUGUUGUGCCUGUCUUCAAUUGUGAAAUACCUCUAUUUAUAUAGGCACUAGGGUUUCACCAAAAUAGCAAGUUUGAAAAGACUUAGAUACUUUCCAAAUAAGAGUUUCUUUCGUUUUAUAAUUCCUAUGAAUCUGAAUAGGAAUAAAUAUGAUCUUCUUGCAUUACUUGUCUCCUAAGAAAUAUCUAGAGCAUUUAAUGACUUAUUGUUUGAACCAACUUCUUGCUCUAAAUAGAUCUCAUGCGCUAAUAAUAGAAUCCCACCAUUAAUUGACUUGCUAAAAUAGACAUUUAAUUAAAUUAGGAAACAAAUAUUCCUAAUAAAUUGGAAUCUCACUAAAUUAGGAAAUUAAUAAAUUAAUCCCUAUUACAAGAUAUGCAAUAAAUAAACUUCCAAUUUAACUAGACUUGUCAUAAAAUGCCAACUCUAUAAACAAUGGACUUAACAAUGGCGAUGGUACUUGCGGUACUCGUUUUAAAAAUCCUCAAGGUUCGAAUUUGACAUAUUGGUGAUUGAUUAGGAUGCUGGGAAUGUGGCAUAUCUUGGGGCAGUCCUCUCCUGUUUCCUUUAUGUGAUGCUCUUCUAAAACAUAACACGAACUAAUACCUGAAUCCUGCAGUGUUGUUUGUUGUGCGCGGAAUGCGGAAUCAAGCGCAUCAAAUAAUCACAGAAAAAUAAAGGACACAAAAUUUAACUCAGAUACUAUCUAUGAAUAAUAUAACUCAGUACCUCACUUCAUGCAAGCUUUGAUAUAUUAUUCCUUCUAUCUAUUUAUCCACUGCUAAUUGUUUUAUAAAAAAUUUGGUGCACUGAAGUGAACCCAAUAACUCCUAGCUAGAAGCAACAAUGUCCAAUUAAGCCGCUGAUACAAUCAAUCAAACAAUAAGGAAAGGAUCAACAACACAAAAAGCACACGCAAGGCACAAAGAUUUACAUGAUAUAUCCACAGGUGGUGAUGCUGGUAUCCACUAUACGUGUGAUGAAAACAAGUGUAUAUAUAUAAAGAACACCAACUGUCUCCUCACAAUAACCCCCUAGAAUACAAGCGCAAAUAAAAAUGAGGCAAUUCCUGCUCUGCUCUGCCCUCAUGUACGUAACUCCUCUGCUAAGAAAUAUUGCCUUAAAAUAUCGGUAGCAUAUGCAUGCAUGACCAGCAAAUCAGUUAGACAUAUAAAAUUAUCAACCACACAGGAAAUCAGCAAAUCAGUGGUUUCAUGAAUUUGUAAUAUUUGAACAUCAGAAUAUGAAGAGUACAGGGCAAUGGGAAAAAGUAAUUAACCAACCAAAUAACUUUAAAUCCAAAUAAGAUAAGUAACGUAUGAAAGGAGGGUUGAAGCCCACCUUAGAAACUCCUGUCUAUGAAGGCCAAUAAAUCUCCUGUUAUCUGUUUGCUUAGAUCUUUAUGUAUUCCUAUACACUUUUUACUCUACUCUGUUGUUCAACCUUCCUUGGCUUUAUGCAUCUAUUUUAUGUGUAUUGAGAAGGCUAGUUACCAGGUGUCAACUCUUCUCUUUAAAAGAUAAAGUUUUGAGUAAAGGAAAGAAAGACACCCACGGCCAACUACCUUGUCAUAUUUUGCAUACCAAAAUUGGAUAUUAAUUAUGGUCACUGUCUUCAACCUGCUAACCAAAUUCAAAAAAAUUGGUCUUCCCGAUUGAGUAAGUGAGCCCUGAAAAGACAUUACCCAGCUUAAAAGCCAAAUGAAUGUAGACUUGUGAUUGGUGUAAUUGGUUUUAAAGAAAUUAGUAUGCAUCCCCACUGAAAGCCAGUAAAUAGAGUUGAAGAAGAUGCUAAUGUGCCACAGCUAACAUAAGCAUAAUUUGAUCAGCUCUAGAACAACUGCUGUGGUCCGAUGCUGCAGGCAAAAAAUUUGACCAACGAAGCAGCCUCACUCACCAACCUAGCCCCAAAUAAAUCUUUUGAAAUGCCUUGAAAACCUUAACAUUAUAUCCAAAUAAACAUAACUUGUGUUUGUGGCGUAAUGAGAUUGCAGUGCAUUCGUAGAGUGUACACUUAUCUGCCAUUUCGUCGGAACAAAUUUUUUUACUUCUCUUAAAAUUUGCAUAAUAAAUAGCAAUAUGGACAAGUACCUACUUAUGAAAGUGUUAAGAUAUUUUUACAUUUCUUCUUUUUUUUUUAAGGAGUAAAAGUGAUUAUUCAUUUUGUUGAUGCCCAUUUACUCUAUAAAUGCCACCAUGAUCACUGAGAUAUGUUCAUGAAUAAGCAUCUACCAUCAGAUCGAUUCGAAAACGGAAAGGAAUAGAGAAAUAAAAGGUGAAACAAAUGAAAUAAUUAAAAGGAGAGGAACGAGAUUCCAUUGUCUGGUUAUAACUGGAAAUCAAGCAUGAAAAAGGAAUUGAUUUUUCUUUUUUGGUUGACAGAAUACACUUUCAACUAGAAAAAAUAAUUUGAAUUUGAUAUUUAACAGAAAAUUCAAAUAAAAUCAAAUUCAUUUGUAAUUUAAGUUCAUUUCACUCUUAAAAUUUGACAUAUAGAAUAAAAUUUAUAACUGUUUCAAAUACAAAAACAUAUUACUAUUCAAAAUAAUAAAAAUUUUCAUGGCAAAAAGUUAAAAAAAUAAAAUAAAACUGUUUGAUGGAGAAUGAAAUUGAGCAGGGAAAGUUUGAUGGAAGAUGCACAAAUACGAAACUGGUCCUCAAAUUAUUGUGUAAUCCAUUUUGCAAGAAAUUUGAUAGCCUGAUUAUGUUAUCCACGUCUUGAACUUUUCAAGUUAUGACGUGUCAGGAUUUGUUGCUAAACCAUACAAUUAUGAAAUUUUGCUACUCAAUCUUGUAUUGUUGUAUUUCCUUGCUUUCAGUUUUCUUGAUCAGAACAAACAACAUAAAUAAUGAUGCUAUAUUAAAAAAAAUUAAAAGAAUUUCACUCGCCCUUCAUUUGUUAUCAGCAAUAUGAUUUGCCUGGGAUCUUUCGGCUUAAUCUUCCAGUGCCCAUUAGCCAGACUUGCAUUCUCAGCAAUUCUUCUCCAUUUCUUAAUCCUUUUAUCCAUAUGCUUUGUUAAUGCACAGUACUGUUGCAAUUUCUUAGGCAUUGCAUCAUAAACUUGCCACCAUUUCUUAUGAGCUGAAUCACUGGCAAAUACAUGGCGACUCACCAUGUCCCAAUUGCAAUCAUAGUCCUUGUAACACAUCCAUGGCUUUAACCCCAGAUAAUGAAUUGCAUAAAGACCAUCGCCCACUUGAUGUUCCUUAUCGUCUUGCUUUGAAAACACCUUCAAAUGGUUUAUUUUCUUAGGCAACCUAUGCCACCAUGUGAACACUUCGUUAAGAAAUCCCUGGUCACCUCCAUUGUAUGACGAAACCUUAAAGCUUUUGAGCAUCAUAUCUUCAAACUUGCACAAUGAUGGCUCAAUCACCAUCAACCCAGAAUUGAACAACACUUUGUCAUUUCCUGCUGCUGAUAAUUCAGGGUAAAAGAAGAAUUCAUCGAUGUUUUUGAGUACUAAAAGAUCAGAAUCAAUGAAGAUAAUUUUAUCAUAUUCAGUGAGUUGCCAUACUCUAAGCUUACUAUAAUUCCACUCAUUGUACGAAUCUUUCUUGGAAAAGGGGCUACGUAUGCGCGAAAUCCACUUGGUUUUCCAUCCGGCAGCUCUCAGGCCGCGGAGAGACUUGCCACUUAUUGAUUUAUCAUGAAGGAGAACGAGAUCUCUAGUCGAGUUUUUUUGGAUUAUGCUUUGCGCUAAAGCUAUUGCACCACAUACAUAAGCUUCUGAUGAAUGUAGGACGCUUACAUAAGCUUCUCUUUGAUGGUACGUUGUGUAGUUCAGUUUUGCUAGUCUUGCUUGUGACAUAAAAUAUCUCCAUAUUUCUUUGCCUGUAAAUCAAAAUAAAAGCACUCAAAUAUUAAUUUUAGGUUAAUUUUGCAAAAUUAAGAAAAAUGAAUUACACAUGAAGGUUUUGAAGAAGUCGUGGCGUCCGGAUUAGGUAAUACUUUCACGGAAAUUGAAAGUGCAAUUCUCUAAUGCCACGUAAGUCUUAAUUAGGAAAUUGAUUUAUGUUGGCUGAGUUACCAAAUUUUGAUACCUUGCCAAAUUUUCACACAAUCAGAAUCAUGACUGCUGCCUGUAUACAUUCUGUGUCUGUAGAUUAUUACAACUCUUUAAGGAUAUCAAAAUUAAAGAACCGGUCAAAUUUAAACCAAUUACACCUGUGCACGAGUUGUGCAUAUUUAAUUUGGUCGAAUAAUUUACUAAAACUUGAAACUAAAGAAAGCAGUAAAUUAAUGACCCACCAUGACCAGAUAAAUCACCCACUAACUUUUUUUUUUUUUUCCUUCGGAGCACCUCAAAUCAGUGGCGGAUUUAGAAAAAUAAUUUACCGAGGGCUAAAUUAAAUGACAACAAAAUAUAAAAAUUGAAAUUUGAAUAUAUAAAAUUUUUGAUAACACAGUUACAAUUGUUCUCUACGCAAUUUCAUAUUCUGAAAACGUUGUACAAUAGAUUCAUUAUCAAUAUUAUUAAAUACAUCUUUUCUAUAUAAACAAUUAAAUUAUUAUUUGUUCAUUCAUCUCCAAUCCGAUUCCGAAGUUCAUUCUUCACAAAUUUCAUUGCUGAAAAUGUUCUUUCUACUGUAGUUGUAGAAACCGGAAGAACUUGGAUUAUUUAAAAAUAUAACAGAGAUUAUUUAAAAAUUUAUUAAUUUUUCUUUUAAACAAAAAAAAAAAAUUCGGUGGGGGCUUGAGCCCCCACUAGUCCUACGCUACAUCCGCCUCUGCCUCAAAUUUCCGAAGAAAAAUUAAAUAAAAUCUCCUGCAUCCAUUUCUUGUGAACAUUUUAUAUUUUUUUAUAUGCAACAAGCUUUCAUUAAAAUUUAAGACUCUAUCCUCUAGAAUAUACUCCAAAACGUAGAUCGAUUAAAAUCAUAAUAUUUUCGUUCUCACUAUAGAUUCGCCUAUAUAAGCAACCAUUAAAGUAGGAAAAAAAAUAACAAUAAGAGCUUAAAUACUACUUCGUAAAUAAUCAAGAAAUAUGACAAGCAACAAGAACAACAACUACAGAUUCAUAAAGAUUUUUACGAAAUUUUAAGUCACAUUUUAAUGCACAUAACAUUGUAAAAUUCUUGGAACUGAGUACAAACAGUAAGUUAGCAUUUGGUUAGAAAAUUGUACAGGGGAUUUUCUUCUUCAAGUGAUGACCAAAUUUUCUUCAGUUUCCAAACUACUCGCUAUCUAAAACACAAACAAAAUGUUUUCGAGAAACCAGGGAAAAAAAGAAGAAGAAGAAGCAAAACUCACCAGUUUGAGCAUAAGCAGAAGCAAUUUGGCAUGACCCAACAGGCAUCAAUACUUUAUGUUUCAAUCUCCUCAAGUCAGGCUUAUAAACCCAAUAAUCCCCUGCAUGCUCCACAAGAUCAUCACACCUGAACAUCUCCACCAUGGCCCCACAAGAACCCACAAAGACAACGUACACCGCCCGAUCAACAUCAGGUUUCAACCACCCACUCUCCACCGCUAGAUUCGCCACCACGAGAUUCACUUGCAACCUAAACACAUCCCUCAUCCCACCACCUGCAUCUCCAUCUCCUCGGCAGGGAACCCUAACCACUAUCACGUCGAGGUACCGGUAAUCCUGCGCCGGCAUGGGUAUAUCCGGGCACGCCGGUGGGGCCCACUUGUGAUCUUCAUCAAUCCACUCCGGGAAAAAGUCUUCCCACUUUUUAUCCUCACCCACAUGGUCGAAACGUACGUGAACAGUUUCAACAUGCAUGUCACCACGUACGCUAUUAUAAUCAUCAUCGUCGUCGUCGUUUAUAUUUACUAAACCAACUUUAAUUUUGUGACCGUUGAUGUGUUUUUCGACAAUAUCGAGCCAUUUGGGUCUGUGUAUUAAGUGGUUAGUAUUAUAUUUAUUAUUUGGCUCGUAAGCCAAAUGGGGUUGUUGUUUAGGUUUGAAUGACAAAACAAAAAGGAAAAGCGAGAAGGAGAGGAGAAGAAGAGAGAUUAUGAAGAGCUUUUGACUGAAAUUUGUGGGUUUGUUAGAAGAAGAUGAUGAUGAAGCUGCAGCCAUUUGAUUGAAUUUUGCUUCACGUCUUUGUUGAAAGUUGAAAGAUUUGUUUUGAGUCGACAUUUUGUUUUAAGUUAUAUCCAACGCAUCGAAUUGGAAUGAAAAGAUUGCAUUGCAGCAUGUUGAGCUUUGUUAAAUUGUCUUCUUAUGUGUAGGUAUUUUAUUUUCACACGCAUUUGAUGCGCGUGGGUAGGUUUACUAAAUGUAUUUCCUUUUUUAUUAUUAUUAAGAUUAAAAUAUACUUCUAAGUUGUCAAAUUAGGCAACAAACAUAAUACACUUGUUACCCAUUUCCAACUCUCCCCAAAUUUUACUAUUUUUAUCUUAUAUUUCCGCUGCCAUUAGAUUUUUAUCAAACAAUUGUAUUUACUUAUAUUUGUUACCUUAUUUUGCAAGGUAACAAAACCCGUCAAAUUAUGAAUAAAAUCUUUUACGCUACACAAAAAAAUUAUUUAUUGCACGUAAGAGAAAAAUUAUUUGUAUAAGAUUAGGUAUACAUAACUUGAUUGAAAUGAAAUAAUAUAAUUGUAAAAAUUAACAAAGUAAAAUAAAUUAUACGCAACUAUCUAAGACUUAUAAAUUCUUAAAAAUUCUUUCUCUUUGUAUAUGGUAAGGUAAGAAAUUUGAGAUCCAUCUUCAGUUCGAAAAAAAAUUAUGUCCAAACUCAAAGUCUUUCCUUAGUGAAGCAAAGAAAUUCGUACCAACAAUAUGAUCAUAUAAGCAAAUUAUUCGUGACCAACAAUAAGAAAAUUAUGUAUCAUACAUAAGUCAAUAAUGAGAUUUUUUUUAAAAGUUAAUUAUAGUAUAAUUGAAUGGUAACUUAAUUUUCUCCUGCCCAUGUGAGCUAAGUGGUACAUAAGAAUGAGGUUUUUUGAAUAAUAACAAAAAGUGUAAUAAAAUAUACUUAUCUAAACUAAACACUACAUAAAAAGUUCCUUUUAUAUACUACUCUCUCUCUCUCCUCCCUACAAUCUAGGUAUUUUUUUUAAGUUCAUUUUUUAAAAGAUUCGAGAGUGGAUUAAAUCUAAAUCGAUUUUUUUUAGCCUUUACGUCCCUUAAAAUUCAAAAUAUAUUAGCUAGUUAAAUAAAAGUACUUAAAAAUUAUUUGACUAAAUCAUUGAGGGCAUAAUUUAGAUAUUGAUAAAUAGUUAAAAUUUUUCAAUUAAAUAUGAUCAUCUAUUGGCGUUCUUAAAGUUCCGUAAUCACAGCCAGUACAAUGGUUCUAUCAAAUGAAAUAUUUCUAUCCAAAAUCAAUUUCUUUUUUAUCAUAUGGAAUUAAUAGAUUUGGAAUUGUGGAUUUUUAAUAGAUAUAAUAAAUACCCCAAGUAUUUUGAUAAUAUUCUAAAAUUAUCGUUGAGUUAGUGUGUGGCUUCGGGAGUCACUGUCAUGAACUUGGUCAGUCUAACAAAUAUAAAGUAGCCCAUGGUAUCAUCAAAAUAUGUGCAACCCUGCUCAGUAGAAACCAAAUCAGAUUAGGGAAAUUAUCUCUGUUUUCUUGGUCAAUCUUUUGUGACUUCAUCAAUAGACAUAACAUGUAGCCACGCCACAAUUUUUAAUUUUAGUUGGAAUGCUUAGAAGUCUAUUAAAGAUUAUAAUGUCACCUAGUUAAGAAUAUUAUCAAUUAUUCUAUUUUAAUAUAAUAUUUAAUUAAAUCAUUGCCAUUAUUGUACUCAGUCAUGGCUCAUAUGUGGAUCCACUGAUUCUUUCCACUGUUGAUUGAUUGAGGGACGGUCAAGAUUUGAUUAAAUAUUGGAAUUGGUAUGCGAUCUCAUUAAAGUUGACUUCUAAAUUUGCAUUCUCAAUUAUUCAGAUUUAAAAAACAAGAAUGAUAAUAUGAUAGUUACGUUUGAAAUAUUAUGUUUCUUCUCAAAGCUGCAAAUCUCAUUUACAUUACCUGGUCAAAGACUUCUUGAAAUAAAUUAUUUAUGCUAUUAAUCAGUUAGUUAAGGAUAUACUUUAAAUGAUAUGACAUUUAAUCAAUGAACGAUACAACAUAUAUCGAUUUAAUAUUAAGAUAUCUAAACAUAAUGAGACGACAAGAUCAAUACUCAACAUACAAUUUAUUUUUAAUACAAUUUCUUUCAUAAAUAUUGAUACAAUAAUAUUGAAUCAAUGUCAUGUCACUUGGUUUACUUUAUUUACUUAUUACUUAACUCUUUUAGUACUCAUACGUCACUCAAAAUCUCGUAUAUUUAUUUUGUAUGUAUCGAAUUAUUGAGAUUAAAAUUCAUAGAGUUCAACUCUCGUGCACGAACUUAGGAUUUCUCUAUUAAGUUUACUUGAAUAUGAUUAUAUUUUUGUCCAGAAUAUUCCAACAUUAUGUAUUACGCUGAAGAUUAAGCCAAUCCCACUACUAGAAAACUGAAUUUCUUUGACAGAAUGCUUUUUCACAUGAUAGUGUAUGUGUCAAAUAUUUUGUGAUAGAUAUAUUCUUUUCCUAAUGCGGCAAACACCAUUGUUUCAAAAUUUUAGUGGCCUUGAAAUUUUGAUUAUUCUAUAAGAAAAUAGUUACAAAAUUCUGUCACUAAUAGUAAAUUAAGUGAUUCUUGAUAGAAUACUAUCAAAACACUUAAAUAAAAUCUCACAUUUUAAUAUUUUACAAAAAUGUGUUUUAAAGAUUUUAAUUUUUUUAACAUAAUUCUAUCGAUGAACUUUCUUUUUAAAUUUUUAAUUCCACUUAGGCAUUGAAAAUGACAUAGUUUUAAAAGAUUUCAAUGACUUAACUGAUGUGAAUAUAUCUUUGAUAAGUCAACGACAAAAUUCUAUCAAAUAAAAUUUACUAUUUUAUUUAUUUUAUGUUGCCACAUCAAUAAAUUCAUAUGCUCAAAAAAGAAAAACUUAUGUAGGCUGAAUUCAUCACCUUAUCAUAUAAAAAAAAGACCUGCUCAACCAAUAAGAAUUUGCCAUCUAAAAAGUUUAAUGGGUCUUUAAAAGGGUUUGGCUUGAGUUUGAGCUUGAGUGUUUCAAGUCUAAUCUAAUAAGCAAGUUUAUAAAUUAUAAAUUUAUGAAAUACAAUGAAAAAGGUUUAAAAAAAUUAAAGUAUAAAUCUAAGGUUUCACAAUUUAAAAUAUCAAAUAAUGGCAAAAUGGGCGUCCAAAAAGUGCGGCAAAUCAAAAUUAUUCAAAAUUCAUCUCUUCAAUCCUUUUUUUUUAAUUUUAGAGGGAAAAAACUUUUAUGUACGGCUGAAAUAAAAGUAACCCAAAAACAUUCUGUAAUUGAAAGCUUGGAACGAAUUUCACGCCUCUCGCCUUCUCUUUCACGCAUUUCGCAUUAACACAAUUUGGUUGGAAAAAUGGAAAGGAAUAGAGAAAUAAAAGGAGAAACAAAUGGAAUAAUUAGAGAGAGGGAUGAGAUUCCAUUUAUUGUUUGGUUAUAAGUACUGGAAAUGAAACACGAGAAAAUAAUUGAGUGUUUUUUUUUUGUUAACUAAAAAAAUACGUAUUUUUUGUAUUUGAUAUUUAAUAGAAAAUUCAAAGUAAAAUCAAAUCCAUUUGUAAUAUAAGUUCACUUCAUUCAUAAAAUUAAACAUAUAGAAUAAAAUUUAUAAACGUUACUUAUACAAAUACAUAUUACUAUUCAAAAUAAUAAAAAUUUCGCAUUGGAAACACCAAUAUUAUACAAAUACACAUUGCAAAUAAUAAUAAGCUCUCAGAUGAGCACAAAAAAGAAAAAAAAGAACACCAAUCUCAACACUCAACACUCAAAAUCAAUGAAUCCCCAGUAGUUUGGCCUCACAAGAGCUCUCUCUGUGUUGUGCUUUCCCUCAUUCAUAACAGAUUAAAAAAGCACGCGCCGCGCCCGUCCCCCAAUUCCUGCUUUGCGACGCUGAAAAAUAUCGCUUUCCCCAACAAAACAAAUGAAUCAGUUACACAAUUAUAUCUAAUUUUAAAUUAAUGAAGAAGAGUAGAGAGAGAGCAAACGAGAUGGAAAGCGUAUACAAAUUAUAAUUACUAACCAGAGUUAUUAGCACCAUUACAUAUAUAUAUCCCUGCUGAAUCCCCUCCUCUGUUCACCAUUCGUUUCUAAAAUGGAUUAAAAAAUAACAACUAAUUAUUUUUAAUUAAAAUAGAGUGAGCAUGCAAUGCAUGCAGGAGAUCUAGAAAGCAAUUACCCGUGGCGGUGGCCCUGGGUGAUUGUAUUUUGUAAUUGCAGCCGCGCACUUCACUUAAUGUCGAUGUUGGGAAUGUGGCGUAUCUUUGGCCAGUCCUCUCCUGUCUCCUUUCUGCAACGUUCUUCUAAAAUAUGACAUCCCCACAAAAUCUCCAAUUUCUGCAGCGUUGUCUUCUGAAGAAGGUGAUCGGGCAGUGCUUUUAAUUUAGGGCAUAGCCGAAUUGACAAGGAAGAAAGACGUGGCAUGAUUAUGAUUUCUCCCUUUAUUGCUGUCCCGAAAUCCCACUCUUCCAGUUUUUCCAUAUUACGAAAUGUCAGCUCUUUCAAUUUGGGAAAGGCAAUAACUGAGGAGCCAUCCGUAUCACUUUCUACUCCCAGAAAUUCAUUACCCACUCUUUUCACACUUUCCAUUCCAUCAAUAUUAAGAUCUUCAAGGGAUGGCAAUCUUCCCAAAGGAGGCAAAUGCUCACAAUUUCUGCAAUCGAAAAUACGUAAAACCCUUAAAUUGGUUAGUGACAUGAUCCAAUUUUUGGGAACAACAUUCCUCCUGCCUCCGUAAUCACCUAUCACUAAUUUCUUUAAAUUAGGAGAUGGUCCCAAGGCUUCAAGAAGCCGUUCAUCUUCAUCCUCCUCAUUCUCCCUCCUCCCAGCUUGUUCAAAAUCAAGGUCCAAAUCAAAUUGAAGUCCCAACUCAACGAGAUAUUUCUUUUUCUCAAGUUCAGCCCUUCUAGCCUCCCCCGCAUCUGAUACAUCACCCAGCCCACGUAUCCUGCAGUCUCGAAGGAGGUUAAGCUUUUUAAGAGACCCAAGGCUACAUGCUCUGUCAUACCCUCCACCCACAACAAAGUUUCCCACUAUCCGAAGCCUGAUUAAUUCCCCAAUCCCUGCCGGCAAGUAUCUUAAAGAAUCAGUCCUCACAUUGUGUAAAUACAUCAGCUUUCUUAACUUCCCAAUCCCUCGAGGUAAUUCUCGAAGAUUUUCACAAUCAUCAACGUUUAAACGUUCUAAAUUAUAUAACUCACACAACGUCUCGGGUAAUUUUUCUAUCUUGUUUUGACCUUUCAAAUUAAGGUACUUCAAAUGUAUCAAUUUUUCUAUAUUUGUUGGAAUUUCCUUGAUGAAAUUCACACUUGACCACCUAUCACCCACCUCUAAUUUUAAUGCCCUUAAACAAGUUAAUUUAUCGAAUAAUUGAGGUAGGACUUCACUAGACCAUGAAUAUUCAUCACUUUUAACUAAGAGGCUACGCAAUCCUUUAACAUUACCCCAAAUGGAGAUCGGAACCGAAGCCCCCCUAGAUAGAGUUAACAGUAAAUGAUGGAUUUUUUUCUCCCCGAAAGAGCUAAUAGCUAACUCUUCACCACUAUGAAUUUCUACUGUUAAACAUUCAUUACGACAUAAAUAUUGGGCAAAGUCGUGCACGAUAUCGUGCAUUUUGCAAUUAGAGAUUUCACCAUCAUCACCUUUGUCAAAAUCCUGAAAGAAUGAACGGUUAGCUAAGAUGUUGAAAUACUCUUCACCAAUAUCCUCCAUCUCUUUGCCUCCUUUCUCACUAAGAUAACCUUGUGCCAUCCAUAGUUCAAUUAACUUAUGCUUCCGUAUUUCAUAGUCUUUCGGAAAGACGGCACAAUAUGAGAAACAACGCUUUACCUUGGAGGGUAAUUCUUUGUAACUCAACAAUAGAGGGGCUAAAAGGCCUUUCUCAAUUGCUUCUAGUUCCCAUAUCUCACUCUCUAAGAUAUUUUGCCAUUCUUUUUCAGUGUUUUUAGACCGCAAGAGACUAGCAAUUGUCUUUGCAGCUAAAGGUGAGCCCUUGCACUUUUUUACAAUUUCUCUACCAAUUUUUUCUAAAUUUUCACGUUUUCCUAUGGUCUUACCAGAAAUUGCCAACGACUGAAACACCGACCAGCAUUCCAUUUCAGACAAUACAUUGACAGAGAUAACAUGAGUUGAUCCCAUAAUACGGGCAACUGUUUCUUUACGUGUGGUAAUUAAAAUUUUACUUCCAUGGAGACUAUUCUUUAAACAUUUGUAGAAUGGUUCCCACUUAUAGUAAUCUUCAUUCCACACGUCGUCUAAGACAAGAGGACAUUUCUUCCCGGCAACACAUUCUUGAAUAUGUUGCAUGAGAGAUUGAAACUCUACAAGGUCUUUGGCAGAACCUGGCUUCAGAGACUCAAUGAUUGCUCUGGCGAUCCUGAACUCAUCAAAUGGCUCUGACACACAGACCCAUGGUCUUUUCUCAAAAUUUCUUUCAACAUCACCGUUGUUGUAGGCAAAUUGAGCAAGAGUAGUUUUGCCUAUUCCCCCCAUCCCAACAAGUGAGAUGAUAGAGGGGCCUUUCUGUUCUUUACUACUCUCACAUAACAACCUAUUAACGAGUUCGUUCUUCUCUUUUUCUCUACCAAAUAUCUCGGACUCAUCAAUUGAGGAGAUACUUGGUACUCGUUGAUCCGCUUUCUCAUUAGUAACAUUCACAACAAAACCAAACAUGUCUUUCUGUUUGGCAAUAUCAUCAAGAGUUUCGUUGAUUUCUUUUAUCUUCAGAGCAAUGUCACGACGUAAGACAAGUGGUUUGCAGGCAAAGCAAGAUGCAGUAGGAAAGAAGGAACAUACCUUCUUCUUAGGAACGAGAGCAUCAUUCUCAGAAUCAUCAUCCACUCCGUCGAUUUGCAGUUUGAGCCUUGCAGUGUUCCACUCACCCAACACGUCUUCCAUGUCGUAACAUGCGUCUCUGAGUUGAUCGAGCCAGAGUCUGACAGUUUCCUCCUUCACUUGCCUUUUCUCUGCAUCAUGGAGCACAGCUUCAAUGACGCGGAGACUGCUGGUCAGCUUCUUCACUUCCUUUCCGACACCCGUUACUAGCCUCGCUUGUUCCUUCGCCUCUUCAACAGCCAUUGAAGUCAGCUGCUCCAAGAUAGGGGAAAGGAUCGCAUCAACCAUGGUGAAAAAGAAAAAAGAGAGAGAGAAGAAAUUGAUGGUGAAUUGUUGCAAAAGUAAGUAGCUAAUGCUGAAAGAAAUGAAGGAGCUGAUAAUGUGGUGAAAAUGUUGCCGUAUUCUUUCAAUUCUUUUAGUACUGCAAGCAAAAUUCUAAUUUAGAAAUAUUUAUUUCAUUUCAGCCCCUUGUGAAAGAAGCUACUGUUAUUAUUAUUACUUUUCUUUUUUUUUUAAUACCAGCAAAGAGGGAAAAUGACGUACAAUUGUGGACAGGAAAUAAUAUAUUGUUAGGUACAGUCCUACAUCGGCGAUUCACGCGGUAUAUGAAGAAACUGACAAAGUUUUCUAAAAUGAUCUCUUUUUAAAUAAUUGAACAAGUUGUUAGAUAAUAUAUAUGAUCGUGUCGUCAUAUUGAGAUUUGGAAGCAUUUGCUUUACAAUCACCCAUGAACUUGAUAAUUUUAAGAUUGUUUGAUCUGAAUUAUAUGUGUAUUAUUAGCUUAGAAAUACCUUGACCAUCUCUUUCUUAUUUUCUUCUUCUUCUUCUUUUUUUUUUUUUAAAUUUGACUCGUUUGCAUAAUUAGUUGAAAGGAAAGAAUGAACAUACUAAUAAACUAUGAAAACGCUGGCACAUAAUAUUUUAAGAUUUAUAUCGAACCACUUUAUUUAGAUUUUGUCAUUUUAGCAGAUGUCUGAUAGUGGGAGUUUAGAGUUUAAUCUCUGCUUGUGAAGUGUGAAAAAUCAAAUAAUCUUUUCAACUCGUUUUUCAACAAAAAUAGAUAACAAUUCAUCAUCAGUUAUUUCUCAUUAUGUAUAAAAUGAUCAAUCUAGAGCUGGAUAUUCACAUGUUUUUCUAUUUCUAAUCAUUUCAAAAUAUAAUAUGAACUUAAAAAAAAAUCAAAUUGUAAUAAAGUGACAUAAAUAUUAAAAAAUGAAAAUAAAAAGUCAAAUUGUAAUAAAGUGACAUAAAUAUUAAAAAAUGAAAAUAAAAAGUCAAAAAUGAAAUGCGGAAAAAAGACAAAACCUUUUUGUUUGUUCUAUUCAUGGCAUCUAAAUAUGAGAAAUGAUGAGUUGAUUGUCAUUGUGAACAACCAUAUUAAUUGCAACACGUGAAUACCAUCAAAGUCAUAAUAAUUCAUGGACCCAUGCAUCCUCUGUUUUUCUAAUUAUUCCGCGUAGAAGACUAAAGUUUAACGUGUGAUUCUCAAAUUCUUUGUCAAGUGAUUUGAACGUUUUAACGAACAGCGCUUACUUUUCUUUUUGAAGGAGCACAAUAACAACUUGAAGAUUCUUGGAAAUUGCCUACAGCACAAAUAUUUUUCGUUUGAACAAAACCAUCAAUAAUUUUCAAACUUAGAAGAUAUUUUUUUUUUUCAUAAGGGUUAUUUUUACAUACCUCCCUUGAGGUUUCACGUAAUAACAGUUUAAUAGAAAGUAUGGUGGUAUUAUUACAUCCCUCCCCUGCCGUUAGUAUUUCUGUCAGUUGACUGUUUAUGAGCCAAGAAAAUGACAAAAAUACCCCAUUAAUCCCAGCUGGUAUUUGGCAUUUAGGGUAAAAACAAUUAAAAAAAUGCUUCCCCAACCAAUUCAACGCCUUCAUCCCAUCCUCAAACGCAGCGGGGAACUGAUUCUCCGGUGCCAACCUUUACCCAACCGCCACAACAAUCACAUCACAGAGCCUUGCGAUUCCCCCACUCACCCACCCGCCGCCGUGGAACUGCAACAUUACUGGCAGUUCCUCCUAUUCACAUCCACCAGCGUGUACCCCCUGUGCACAUUCGAUUUCCCAUUCAAACUCAUCGCUUCCGCGUCGGCACUGCUGUGGCUGCUUCUCUGAUACUCCUCUUUCCUUGUAGCCACCGCCGCAUUCGGGGAGCCGUAGCUGUUCCUCCACAGAUGAAGCAGGUCACGUGGUAGCUCCGCCUCUGCAUUCUUCGAGUUCGCGUGCGGUUUAGGUUUGGAUUGCGGCUGAAGUCAGGCUCGGGAGGGUUUAGUGCAAACUUGGGGAGAAAAAUGUGGACCGAGAGCAACGUAAAAGGAUCGAUGUGGAUGGAUUUGUCGAGCAGAGAUUGGAUCCGGUUCUGUAAUCAGUGCUUCAACAGAAACUUGAAGAACACACGCUCGAAGACGGAUCAGAUACCGUCCUAGUCUCAACCAUAUCUGAUGCAAUAUUGAGAGAUCGAGAAGCCGUUGUACUAUGAUUAUUAUUUUUAUUAUUAUUACUGAACAUUUGCUGAGAUAAGGUAUUGGAAUUAAUCACUUUGCCACUGUUUUUUCCCUAUAAUGGCCAAUUAUCGUAAUCUUUGAAGAGCCAUGAGGAGCGAUGAGAAAAUUAGAGUUCUUACACGCCUUGGUCACCGAACUAGAUACUCAAAACUUCAAUUUGUUUUGUUCUUCAGAUUUUGGUGGGUGGCAUCAAUGCUACUUUAAACCUUCUUUCACAACACUGGAAAUCGUGCUAAGAAGAUCUGCAUUUUAUGAAGAAAGAUGCCAUUUCUCUCAAGGUUUCUGGAAUUUAAUUUGUUUUUUAUCAUAAAGCAAGCAAAAGAAAGAAGCUGUGUCUUUCCUUUUUGUUGGUGUAAAUGUCUUUUGCUUUUCCUGGUGUAAAUGUCUUUCGUUUUUGCUUUUAACUAUCGAGGGAUUAUUUGCCAAAUACCAGCUGGGAAAUUGUACCUCUAAGCCUUUAAGGGGUAUUUUCGUCAUUUUUCGCCUCAUAAACGGUCUACUGACAGAAAUACUAAUAGCAGGGGAGGGAUGUAAUAAUACCAUCAUACUUUCUAUUAAAUUGUUAUUACGUGAAACCUCAGGGGAGGUAUGUAAAAAUAACCCUUUCCCAUAACCCACCAAAAACUUUUUCAUUUAGUGUAACUUUGUAAUUUUCUUAGAUGAUACUUAAACAAAAUUGACAGUUUAUAACAACUAUGUCCAAAGCCACACACUAAAGAUAUCAUACACUGGAAGGCAAACAAAAGUACUAAAAAUUUGACAUUAAUAAAUAUAUAUAUUCAAAUUGAUUAAUUAAAUUAAUAGAUUAUGCAUUAGAUUGUGUGAUCGAUCCGAGGACUAGUGGAAUGUUGCAAGAGAGACUAGAGAGUUAAUAAUCAAAUUGUUUAGCUUAAUUAAGCUUUCUCAUUGCUCUCUACUCUUCAUUAAUUUCCCAAUAAUGUUUCAAUUUCAACAAAGUCAUUAUAACAAAAAUUACGGUGUUGCUCGAUCGUUUUUUUUUUUAAAUAUGUUGGGCAUGUUGUUAUUGAGAUUUUUAAAACAAUAUUAUUUUUUGAACAGGGGAAUUACCGAAGGGCAGAGCAGAGCAGAGCUUUUGAAUUCGAGUCUAAAACAAUUACUUGAUAAGAAUGUCAAUUAAUUGGCAAUAAAUACUUACAUCUGUUAUGUCAUCCGCAAUGAUCGUCAUAAAGUAUGUUACUUUUUCUCUUCAUUUCCUGAUGUUCUAUUCCAGAGUCAUCAAACAACCGUGUAUUUCUUCUUUUUUUUAAAAAAUAAUAAAUAUGUUGAACUGAGACUACUGAUCCGUUAAUUGGGCAUGCAAUUAUUUAGAUUUUUAAAACAAUAAUUAGAAGAUAUUAGCAGUUUUAAGUAUCAUCUAAGAAAAUUACAAAGUUACACUAAAUGAAAAAGUUUUUGGUGGGUUAUGGGGAAAAAAAUAAAUAUCUUCUAAGUUUGAAAAUUAUUGAUGGUUUUUGUUCAAAUGAACAAUAUUUGUGCUGUAGGCAAUUUCCAGGAAUCUUCAAGUUGUUAUUGUGCUCCUUCAAAAAGAAAAGUAAGCGUUGUUCGUUAAAACGUUCAAAUCACUUGACAAUGAAUUUGAGAAUCACUCGUUAAACUUUAGCCUUCUACGCGGAAUAAUUAGAAAUACAUAUGCAUGGGUCCAUGAAUUAUUAUAACUUGGAUUCCCCGAAGUUACGGUUAACGUAACUUACAGCCACUCUAUAAACUAUCGUUUAGCCUUUGUAUUUUAUAUCAUUUAUAAUUUAUUCAUAAAUAUUAUGAAAUUUUUUAUUUUGUAAAAUUUCGUUGCGACUCUUACACUCUGUUUUAUUUUAUUAAAACCCUUAGAGUAUAAAAUUCAUCCCUAUAAUUUUUAAAUUCCUAAAAUACUCUCCAUUUAAUUAAAAAAUAUAAUAAUUAUUAAAUGAAUUAUAAUUAUAAUAAUUAUCUUAUCAUAAUCUUUUAAAAUUAUGUAAUUUAUAAUCUUUUAAAAUUAUGUGAACAGUAAUAAUAAGUGGUGGAUCUACUACAUGAAUUUUGAAGGAACUAUAAUUUAUUUAACAAAAUCCUAUUUUAAAAUGAUUGUGCGAGACAGCACAUGCCAACCCGGGCUUUAUCAUUGCCAUGUCUUUUCGGUAAUCAUAUAUGUAGUGGCAGACAUCGGUGGCCAAUUAAGGGAUGAGAACAACCACUCCACCAAGAAAAUCUUGAUGCGUGUGCUUUUAAUUUUUAUUAUUGUCAGGUCCUACAUCCGCGAUUCACGCGGUAUAUGAACUUGACAAAGUUGUUAUAUUUUCCCAAUGGAAAACUAAGGCCCCGUUUGGUACCGUUUUGCAAGCCAUGUUUUCGUUUUCAUUUUUAUAAUACACACAUAAAACAUGUUUGGUGGUUUUAUUUCACAAAACAAAUUACAAAACACAAAAUCCGGAUUUAUUAUUAUAACUAUAUGAUUGAAAACAAGUUAAACAUGUUCUCUAAAUUUUACAAACUAAACCUAAAAAUGAAUUAAAAAACAACAAAAAAAUCGUGACCCUCUACAGCCCUCACUUUUCUCUUCACUGCAGCCCUCACUCUCAAUCCAGUUCACUGCAGCUCCCUCUUUCCCCUCAAUUUUCUCAGUCCAGUUGCAGCAAAUCUCUCUCUUGGUCGCUCUUGGUGUGCUAGCCACUGCCGCUGCUCUUUCUCCGCCGUAACUGCUGCUGCUCCGACUCCGUCCAGCUGCUGCUACUUCGUCUUUGCUCUCUCGGAUCUGCACUUGCUCUCUCGGAUCUGCACUUGCUCUCUCGGAUCUUUGCUCUCUCGCUACUUCGUUGUUGCUCACUGGGAUCUGCACUUGCCCAACCAUUUCGAGACAGUUUUGACGCAUAUGAAGAUGAUGCAGGACACGAAUUGGGUGGUCCGAUAAGUCCAUCUCUGCUUCAGUUGAAAGAUUUGAAAUACUUAGACUUAAGCAUGAAUAAUUUUAAAGGCUUCAAAGUUCCAGAAUUCAUUGGAUCACUAAAGGAACUGAGAUACCUCAAUCUGUCAGGCUCAUUUUUCAGUGGGACUAUUCCACAAAGUCUUGGAAACCUCACGAAUUUGCUUUAUCUUGAUCUCAAUAAUUUUCUUGAUCAAUCCAAUCAAAUAGGCCUUGGAUGACUUUCUGGUCUUCCUUCCUUGAAAUAUCUUAACUUGGGAGGGGCAGAUCUUAGCAAGGAUGCAGCAUAUUGGCUUGAAAGUAUUAGUAUGCUUCGUUCUCUUGUUGAGUUGCGUUUGCCCAAUUGUAAUUGAGCGAUGCUUUGGUGUUUUAAAAGUGUGAUUUUCAAUUUUAAGGGACGUGCAUAAUUAUAGUUUACGUAAGCAACGUGUAAUUUCAAUAGCAUGUUGCGCUUUACAUAAUUUUAUUCGAUGAGAAAAUGCAAGUGAUAGGUUAUUUCGGGACUUUGACGUGCAAGAUUUAGUUACCAACGAUGAAGGAGAUAUUAGUAGGUCACUUACUAAUAUUAGUAGGUCACUUAUUUCGGGACUUUGACGUGCAAGAUUUAGUUACCAACGAUGAAGGAGAUAUUAGUAGGUCACUUACUAAUAUUGAUUUAUCUCCGGCAAGUGUCGCAGAAAUGAAUGCUACAAGAGAUGGAAUUGCAGCUUUUAUGUGGCAUGAUUACAUACGUAAUGCAUAAUGUGUAUCAUGUAGUUUUUUUAUAAUUAUUUUGUUUAAAUCAUGUGUUGUAAUAUAUAUCUUAAUUAUAUGGUGUAAAAACAAUGACAAUGUCAAUUUUUUUUAAUUAAUGUUAAUUCUUAAACUUUAUUAUCAUGUAAUUUUUUUAUAUUAAAUUUGGUUAAAUUAUUUUGUUGUAUUUGUGUGUAUUAGCUAAAUAAUUAUUUUAUGACUAUAAAUAUAAUGUAAAUGAUUAGUAAAAACUGUUUUUGAAAAAAAUAUUACCAAACGCAUAUUCUCUGUUUUUAUCAUUUUCAACUGUGUCUACCAAACGCAUAUUACUGUUUUCAAUUUUGAAAUAUAGGAUACAAAAAAAGAUACCAGACGCAUAUUUAAAUUCAAAACACAGCAACUGCAAAACACCAUUUUCAUUUUCGUUUUUAUUCUCCGAAAAUACAGAUUCAAAAACAAUACCAAACAGGCCCUAAACAACUGAACAAGUUGUUGUAUAAUAUACAGGUCUUAUUAUGUUACAGUUUAUGUGUGUAAUAGAUCAUGACGUGAUAAAUAAUUUAUUCCAUGUACAAUAGUUUAAUGAAAAAUUUAUCACAAUUUUAUUAUUUUUAUCAAAAUUAUUACUUGAAAGUAAUAUCCAUCAAAUGUUAUCAAUUCUUAUUUUAAUAAUUAUAUCUAUUUAAUUUCACAACUUUGCAGUUUAAAAAUACCAGCAAUAAAAUUCAAAACGAAGCCUAAAUCUAGAAGGUGCAAAUGCUGCCGAAAUUCUCAAACUUUGGAUGGUAGCUUCAUUUGGUUGUGAUUAUUUGAUUAUCUUAUGCUGAUCUAAUAUAAGGAUCCGGCUAUGGUGCAACGGUGAUACGGUAUCACCGUUGCAUCCAGCCGUUGGAUCCACGUGGGAGAAUGGAUCCAGUGGGAUCCACGUGGAUCCAACGGCUGGGUGCAACGGUGAUACCGUAUCACCGUUGCACCAUAGCUUUCUCCCUAAUAUAAUGAGCUAUUAUAUAAAUAGAAGACAGCAUUGGCAGGAAUCGAACAGCAGCUACUUACUACAUUGUAAUGUGAUUCAAUUAAUUAUAGAUGCAUGAGACUAAGGGUCUAUUUUAUAGUCAGAUGUGGCUUUUUAAUUAUAAUUGUUGUAUAAUAAAAACAGUAAGUACUAAAAAAAAAAGGAAUUAUGGGAAUUGGGUAAACUUUCAUUUGUAAGUAUUAUGAGUAAUUAAUAAUUUGUAUUUUCAAAAGUAGAAGUAUACAUUUUUUGACAUGCCUUCAAAAUCUAUAUGUAACCUUAUAUCUAAAUAACUGAUCAAGUAUAUAUCAAGUAAUUCAAAAAUGGGCUGGGACUGAUGGUAAUCGCAAACGUUUUGAGGAUGAGUGAUACUAUGGGCACUCCUCUAGAAACUUCUCCACUAAAAUACUAAAUUAAUAUAAAUUAUUACCUCCCUUAAUAACGAAAAUAGCCUUAAAUAAAAUAACUUAUGGAACCGUAGUAUUUCAAUUCUUUCUUAUUGUUCAAACACAAUAAGAAAAGCUCAAAAUUUUAAAAAGCUCUUUAAAAAGCUCUAGAUCUCUACUUUCAAAAGUUCAAAAUUUUAGUUUUUCUUAAGAGAGGUAAAAUAACUUAUUUAUUCUCUUAAACCUCUACUAAAGUUACAACUGAACAAUAUAAAAAAAAUUUGAAAAAAGAUUUUGGUGUUAAAUAAUCACUUUUAAAUAGUAUAAAUAUGUACAACUUAAGGCCUAUUUAGUAUUUCUUUUGAAAGGUUCGAGAGUCACUUUAGGGUCCAGCUAUGUUGCCUCUAGGGUUUGGUGCCCCAUUUUUUGUCAUUUUCAAAUUCACCGUUGCAUCCAACGCAAGACUUGCAUAAUGACUUAUAUAUGAUUUUAGGUUAUUAACAUUAAAGGCCCCUCUUGUUCAUGUAAAAUAAGAAAAAUCAAAAGUUUUAUAAUUAUGACAUAAAAGUCCAAAAUAUAUAUAUAUAUUACACUAUUGAACUAUAUUUCUAAUUAAAUGGCUUAUUCUUACAUGUAUUAAUAUCUAUUUAAAUUAAUAAAUUUACUUAUUAAUUAACAAAUUAACUAGUUUAUUAUAUAGUUAAACUAUGUAUAUUAUUUACGCACCAUAAUUAAUGAUAAAUAUAAAUUUGAUUUUUUUAAUUUAACAUAACGGCAACCAGUUUCCUCUCACCCAUGUGACCAAGGUUCAAACCCCAUAAUCUUUUUUAUUCUAACACAAGUGAUUUUACUAUCUCAAGUAAAUGUAAUGUACAAAAUAUGAAAAUAAAUUUAAUUUGAUAUUCUAUGUAGUUAAUUUUUUUUGUAACAUAAGAUUUAUUUAACAUAUUAUCAAUUAUUUAAUUAUGUAGUAAAAAUAUGUUAAUUUACUAAUAAUAAUAAAGUGUUAGUUUAUGAAUUUGCAAAAAAAAUUUGUUUGUUUGAACAAUGAGUUUGUAUUUUUGGUUGAGUUUUUGUCUUUAAAUAAAAGAAUAAAUUUAAUUGCACACUUAAAUAAAUUAAAAUUUGUUACUCCACCCCAACAAUUUAAAUAGUUAUUAGCACACGUCCAUAUGGUUGAGAUCUUUCAUUAACUUAACUAAGAGAAGGGUAAAAAAAUUUUAAACAAUUACUCUAUUUGAAAAUAAUUUAAAAUUUUCCUUAGUUUUCUUUUAUUUAAAAUAAUUUAAAUAUUUCAAAAAAAAUUCUUUUAAUUUACUAUUGUUUGUGUGUAUAAAGAGAAUAUAUAAGUGCUUGAAUUCUAAAUAAAUCAUGGCUUCCAAAAGCAUUAAUGCAAUUGAAAAUCUUUAGGUGCAGGACUAAUGUGUGAAAAUUUAAAAGCUUUUAGUUGUUUUGUUUUUAUAACCAAUAACAAGACUUCACUGUAAUUGACCUUGAAAAAGACAAAAGAAAUGGGUAUCAAACCCAUGUUGCAACGUAGUUUUGCCCUUUUUUUAAAUCACUUUGUAAAAUCAUAUUGUCUAUAUUAGAUUUUAAAAAGUAGUAAAGUAGCAGCUUUUCAAAAUAUAAUUUUGAGAAUCAAUUUUAUAUUUAAUAUAAUUUCAUAUAUAUCCUCAUGUAUAUUAUAAAAACCAAAAUUAUCCUUAUUAAGUUAGGAAAUAAAAUUAUUAAAUUUAUAGAGAUUAUUAUUUGUUACCUAUGAUAUUGAGAUAAAAUUAUAAAAUAUAAAUAUUUAUUAGUUAUCAAUUAUUCUAUAUACACAAUAAAAAAUUAUAUAUUACAUAUUUAAAAAGUUUGUAAGUAAACUUCAUCCAUAUUAUAUCCUUUUGAGUCUUUGUUUUUGGGACUAUAAUUUAAUAAUAAGAUUUGCCAAAUACAUAUGAUUGAUUUUAAAACUCACAACACCUAAAAUAAAGUUUACCAAAUAUUUAACUAAUUUCUUUAUAGUUGAUUAUUUUCAAAAAUCUAAAAUUAGAGCAUUUUCGAAUAGAAGCAAUAUAGCAUUUAAUCUCUUAAACUUCUGCUAAAGUUACAACUAAACAACAUGAAAAAAAAAUUAAAAAAAAGGUUUGGAUAUUAAAUAUGCACUUUUUAGCUAAUAGGUAAGACUUUGGGGUCGUUUGAAAUUAUAAUUGGAAGGCUUAAAAGUAAUUUUAAAAAAAUUAAAAAUUCAUCUUUUUAUUUGAUAAUUUUUUUAAAAAUUACUUUUGGUGAAAUCAUCUCAUCCCACAUCAAGUUUUAGAAAGUAGAGAAGGAAUAACUUCUCACAAGCCACAAUCUUAUUUAAAAAGUUUUAGACUUAAUAUAAUUUCACACAUAUUCUCAUUUGUAUUAUAUAAAUCCGAAAUUAUCCUUAUUCAACAAAAAAAUAAAAUCAUUAAAUUUACAAAGAUCAUUAUUAUUAUUAUUAUUAUUAUUAUUAUUAUUAUUAUUAUUAUUAUUAUUAUUAUUAUUAUAUUGAGAUAGAAAAAGUUUAAUUUUUUUAAGUUACUAAUUUUUACAUAUGCACAAUAAAAAGAAAUUAUAUACAUAUACAUAUUUAAAAGAGUGUAAAUAAAUUUUAUUUAUUUUAGUCAUUCCUAUUUUCACAAUAGUUUAAUAAUAAAAUUUAUCAAGCACGGAUAAUUAAUUUUAAAACUCACAUCACUUUUAAGUGUAAAUUUUACCAAACAUUAAGCUGAUUUAUUUACAACUAAUUAUUUAUACAAUGCAACUAACAAUAAUUAUUUGAGUGAUGAUACAGCCAAAAACUCUUGUACAAAUUAAACUUGUACAAAUUGAUAUGGUAUUAAUUCAUUGGUUGAAUGAAAAUAUAAAAUAAUAGAAAUAAAUCAUGUGCCAAGAGAUAUUUAAUUCAACUAAUUUUAUCAUGCCACAUUAAUUUGUACAAAAUAAAUUUAUACAAGAAUUUAUGAAUAUAUCAUUACUCUAAUUAUUUUAAUAGUUAAACUAUCAUCAAACCGACCCUUACAAAAAAGUAGUACUCAUUAAGCUCAUGUAUAUAUAUAAAUUAAUUUUUUAAUCUUUAUUUGUCUAAAAUUUAAAUUUCAAUAGCGACUAAAUAAAAUUACUUGAAAAAAACAUCGGUAAAAUAAACUUAUUAAUUGUGAAAAAUGUUGAGAUGUUUGGUUAAAGUCAAACUAUAAUUGUUUACCAAACAAACAAUUUAAUUUUGACAUCAUGGCUGUAAAGUAGUUCUACCAAACAGUCUUAACCACGUCAAUUUCAAAGGCGGGAAUGCACAGCGCCAAUACCUGAAUGAACAACUCAUCUAUUUAUUUAUUUUUAUUUUUUUGUUAAGGGUCAUGAACAUCUGUUACUCACUGGCCACUGCUUUAUGGAGGGAAUAAUUUUAGAAUAUAUUUAUUAUAUUACAAUUAAUUAAUGUAUUUAUGAUAUCUGUAAUUGAGUUUAAUACAAUUACUACUUAAAUGAUAGUUUAUAAAACAAAUAUUAUUUAUUUAUUAUGUGAGUGAUAUAGUACGAGUGACAUAGUACAACAAAUAUAUUCUAAAAUUUCUCUUAUUAGGAUGCAAUGAUGAUGAGAAUAAAACCUGUCAUGUCAUUUGGAUAUUUGUCCUUUUUCUUUUUAUUUUUCAGUAAAGUGAUUUGGACGUUCCAAUGAAAAGUUAAUUUCCUUUUUCUGAGGAAGUAAAUAAAAUAGAUGCUGCAUUUGCACCAAGGCUCCUGAGAGUUGCCUAGACUCCUAAAAAAAAUAAAAAUUAGAUUAUAAAAUUUUAAUUUUAAUAUAAAUUACAAUAUCAUGAAUCACUCAUUUAUUAAAUAAUAAAUAUAAAAUUAUUUAUUAUUCUAUUUUAUCAUCUAAUUUAAGGGGGAACCUUAGGUGCAACUGUGGCACCGUGCCACAGUUGCAUCUAGCCGUUGGAUGCAAGUGGAUCCCAUCACUCCAACUGCAUCCAACGGCUAGAUGCAACUGUGCCACGGUGCCACAGUUGCACCGUAGCCUGAUCCCUAAUUUAAUUUAAUUUAAUUUUUCAUUUUCCUUCUUUCUCAUAAUUGUAACACAGAUAAUCAGUUGAAGAAAUAUACUUCAAAUGAUUGUACGAGACACCACAUGCCAACCGAGGCCUUAUGUCAGUUAAAGCUUUGUCAUUGCCACGUCUUUUCGCUAUUCGUGUAUUGUGGCAGGCGGUGGCCAAUUAAGGGAUGAACACUAACACUACUACUCUGCUUGACACGUGUGCUUUUUCUCCCCUUAAUUAUUCUACUCUCAUUUUGUUUUCACUAGUCAUAGUGGGAGGGAGACAUUAGUGGCCAGGCCAAGGGAUGAAACUGAAAGUAAAAGUUAAACGAGACUCCUGUGCGUUUCCGGUUGCUCUGCUGAAAAGCCGAAGAUUAUGAGCUGGUAAGGGGUUUGGUUGUCGUGGCCUUUAGUUGGCUUAAGGGGGAUAUAAUUUGUAAUUAUGGUUUAAAAGUUAUUCCAUGUAUACUAGUUUAACAAAAAAAUUAUAACAAUUUUUAUUUAAAUUAUUAUUUGAAAGUAAUGUUAUCAAACACUAUCGAUUCUUAAUUUUAAAAUUAUAAAUUUUUUAUUUCACAACUUGUGCAGCUUAUAAUUACCAGCUAUAAAAUUCAAAACGGAGCCUAAAUCUAGAAGGUGCAAAUGCCGCCGAAAUUUUUAAACUUUGGAUGGUAGCUUAAUUUGGUUGUUAUUAUUUGAUUAUUUUAUGGUGAUCUUGUGUAAUGAGCUAUUAUAUAAGAUUUUAUUUGGAAGGACACGAACAACUACGACGUACUAGAUUAUAAUGGGAUUUAUUUAAUCACGGAUACACGAGACUAAGUGUUUAUUGUAUAAAGAGAUAUUUUGGCUUUAAAGUUUUGGAAUUAUACCGUCAGUUAUUUUAUUAAAAAAAUGAAAAUAAUUUGAUCAGCCACCAGAGAUUUGCUUCAGUGAUUUUUUCAAUACGAUGUACAAACAAUAAGCUAUCAGAUGCAAAUAAUACUACUAUAUAUUAAAUCUUGUUGAAUCCCCUCCUCUGUUCACAGUUCACUGUCGGAAUCGACGACACAUUUAUAAUAAUUAAUUUCUAAACUGGACAAAAGAAUAACAAGUAAUAAAACAAAAAGAAACCAAAUCUGAACCCUCAAAAUCAAGCAGUUUGGCCUCACAAUAGCUCUCUUAGUCUAGAGCUUUCCCUCGUUGAUUCUCUUUGGAAAUACAAGACUCACAAACUUUUUUUUUUUUAAAAAAAAUCCAAUACCUAAUUACAAGUUACUGAAAAUCUAUAUAACAGAUUAAAAGAGCAUGUGCCUGUCCCAAUUCCUGCUCUGCUACGCCAUUUUCGUAAUUCGUUUUCGGCUGAAAAGAUUGCAUUCCCCAAAAAAUUAAUCAGUUAGACUAAUAUAUCUAAUUAUAUGUAUAUAUAAAAUGAAGGAGUAGAGAGCAAAUGAGAAGGAAAGCAUAUAUAAUUACUAACCAGAGUUAAUUUGAUUCCUUAUUGGCACCAAUAAUUAUAUUUUAAUUCCUGCUGAAUCCUCUCCUCUGCUCAGUGUUGGAUUAGUUUCAUCUCAGCCUCGCGUCUGUCCGUUUUCGAUUCGCUCCUAAUUAAUUUGUUGUUAAUUAAUGGGCUGAAAAUGGGAAUUUUGUUUAAUUUCAGUGCAGACUGCAGAAAGCAGAGGAAUUGACGACACACUUUAAUUUCUAAAAUGGAUUAAAAAAAAUAACAACUAAUUAAUAGAGUGAGCACGCAAUGCAAGGGGGAGAUCUAGAAAGAAAUUACCCGUGGUGUGUUAGGAAAUUGAGUUUCCUCGCAAGAUCUCUCCAAGCAAUUUAUCAAGCAACAAAUUAAUAAGAAAAAUUAAAUGGAGAAUAUACCAAUCACACAACACAAGAUUUACGUGGAAAACUCCAAAUCCGGAGAAAAACCACGGCCGUUGUCACAAGAUAACUAGAGAAAAAAAUAUUCACUAUGUGGAAAAUUAUUACAACCACUCUCUCAGAAAUAAUUUUCUCUCACCUAAGCCCUAGAUACACCCAAAAUACUAAAAUUUCCUAAUACUCACUUAAUGCUUAAUUUGCAUUAAAUUUUACAACUUUGAAUGUUUCUCUCUGGGAUUGGAUACAAGCUCUAGAUUGAGAGCUUGUAUUUAUAGGCAAAACUUUGCCUCAAAUGUCAAACAAGUGGCCAAAACCUCAAGCUUACGGCAUCUAGAAUUUCUCAAAGCCAAGUGCCAACCAUUCUUGUCAAAGCUUCUAGAUGCAGCCAUGCCAAACAUUUUUGUUUAUUCAACACUUCUAGAUGCAUUCAAAGCUUUCUAGAUGCAGCCAAUAUUGACAUUCUCCCACUUGGAGAUUUGAUUGAGAAUCAAUCAAUCUCCACACUAACCUUACUAUUUUCCUCACCAUAGAGAAUUAUCAUACCCCACCAUAAAAGAGUAUACCACUUAGAAUUAAUUACCAAUUCUAAGAAUUUUACAUCGGCACAUGUCGAAAUAUCCUGCUGAAAUUUAUGGUGCAACUUCCAUGUUGGCCUUCCUGGAAGUUUGUCAGCCAUCGACAUAAAUUCCACCACACACCCUGCAUCAAUGCCAACCAUGCCUUGUGUGUAAAUCUUGUGGACCCGCUAGUAGUAAAACAUCCCCUUUCAUGGUACUAGCGGUAUACCAUGAGGAUGUCAUCAUCAUCUAUUUUACAAGGGAUCAUCGUCUCCCACGAUGAUGAGAGACUUACCACUAGCAAUACUAUCAGUAUCUGAUCUGGAGCCACUUGCCGAUCCUGCUCCAUUUCUACUAUGACAAUCUCUUUUUAAGUGCCCCAAUUGUCCACACCCCCAGCAGACUCCUUUCUUCUUAGAUUUAUCUUUCUGCCAAUUCCCUACAACUGCCAAAGCUGAGACAUAUGUAGUUUUAGUACUUUCACCACUCAGUCUUCUUUCUUCUGAGAGUAAAGUACUAGUAACUUCUUCAAGAUCUACUGUCUCCUUCCCGUACAUCAAAGUAGGUAACAAGUGUUUGUAGGAAGUUGGAAGUGACCAUAGUAACCUAAGCGCCUUGUCCUCAUCUUCAAUUUUAACUCCAAUGGCUUCUAGUUCUGACACAAUACCAUUGAGAACACUGAGGUGAUCGGAAAUUUUUGUACCUUCAGCCAUUCGCAGUGUGUGAAAUCGCUCCUUCAGGUACAAUCGAUUUGAGAUGCUCUUUGUCUGAUACAACUUUUCUAGCUUCUCCCAAAGUUCUUUCGCUGUAGGAAUUUUUCCUACAUUUGCAAGAACAUUCUUUGCUAGACACAGUCGUAUGGCACUUGCAGCUCGAUCAUCUAAUUCUUCCCAAUCUUCAUCACUUAUACUAGCUUUUCCAGAGCCACUACUGGAAGCAGGGGAUGGCUUCCCCUUUAAUGCCUUGUGUAACCCAGAUUGAAUCAAUACAUCUUUAACUUGAACUUGCCACAAGCCAAAGUUAAUUCUCCCAUCGAAUUUUUCUAUUUCAAAUUUCACCGGACUUGAAAAUUUCAAUCCUGACAUAUUUUCUUUGCAGAUCAGCUUUUACUCUUCACCACGGACUGUUUGGAUUGGCUCCCACUGCUUCACGUGAAUAGUACCGUAUACGUGAACAGUACCGUAUACGUGAACAGUGCCCCGACACCAAAACUUCAAUCAAUGGCUCUGAUACCACUGUUAGGAAAUUGAGUUUCCUCGCAUGAUCUCUCCAAGCAAUUUAUCAAGCAACAAAUUAAUAAGAAAAAUUAAAUGGAGAAUAUACCAAUCACACAACACAAGAUUGACGUGGAAAACUCUAAAUCUGGAGAAAAACCACGGCCGUUGUCACAAGAUAACCAGAGAAAAAAAUAUUCACUAUGUGGAAAAUUAUUACAACCACUCUCUCAGAAAUAAUUUUCUCUCACCUAAGCCCCAGAUACACCCAAAAUAUUAAAAUUUCCUAAUACUCACUUAAUGCUUAAUUUGCAUUAAAUUUUACAAUUUUGAAUGUUUCUCUCUGGGAUUGGAUACAAGCUCUAGAUUGAGAGCUUGUAUUUAUAGGCAAAACUUUGCCUCAAAUGUCAAAUAAGUGGCCAAAACCUCAAGCUUACGGCAUCUAGAAUUUCUCAAAGCCAAGUGCCAACCAUUCUUGUCAAAGCUUCUAGAUGCAGCCAUGCCAAACAUUCUUGUUUAUUCAACACUUCUAGAUGCAUUCAAAGCUUUCUAGAUGCAGCCAAUAUUGACAUGGUGGUGGCCGUGGGUGAUUGUAAUUUGUAAUUGCAACCGCGCGCUUUGAGAAUUCCUUAAGCAAUGAAGACGUCGGGAAUGUGGCGGAUCUUAGGCCAGUCCUCUCCUGUCUCCUUUCUGCAACGUUCUUCUAAAAUAGGGCAUUCCCCAAUCGUCAAUGCAUGCAGUGUUGUCUUCUGAAGAAGGUGAUCGGGCAGUGCUUUUAAUUUAGGGCAUCGCCGAAUUGACAAGGAAGAAAGACGUGGCAUGAUCAUGAUUUCUCCCUUUAUUGCCGUCCCGAAAUCCCACUCUUCCAAUACAUCCAUUUCAUCAAAUCUGAGCUGUUUCAAUUUGGGAAAGGCAAUAACUGAGGAGCCAUCCGUAUCGCUUUCUACUCCCAGAAAUUCGUUACCCACUCUUUUCAUGCUUUGCAUUCCAUAAAUUUCAAGAACUUCAAGGGAUGGCAGUUUUCCCAAAGGAGGCAAAUGCUCACAAUUUCGGCACUCGAAGAGACUUAAAACCCUUAAAUUGGUUAAUGACGUGAUCCAAAUUUUGGGGACAACAUUCCUCCUCCCUCUGUAUUGAUAAAUCCGUAAUUCCUUUAAAUUAGGAGGUGGUCCCAAGGCUUCAAGAAGCCGUCCAUCUUCAUCCUCUUCAUUGUCCCUCCUCCCAGCUUGUUCUUCAUCUCCAUCUCUUAAAUGAUCAAAAUGAAGUUCCAAAUCAGACAGAUUUUUCUUUUUCUCAAGUUCAGCCCUUCUAGCCUCACCCUCAUCUGACACAUCACCCAGCCCAUGUAUCCUACAAUAUCGAAGGAGGUUAAGCUUUUUAAGAGAUCCAAGGCUACAUGCUUUGUCGUACCCUCCACCCACAACAAACUCUUUCACUAUCCGAAGCCUGAUUAAUUCCCCAAUCCCUACCGGCAAGUCUCUUAAAGAAUAAGUGCCAUCAUUUUCCAAAUACAUUAGCUUUCUUAACUUCCCAAUCCCUUGAGGUAAUUCUCUAAGAUUUCGACAAUAACUAAUGUCUAAAUGUUCCAAAUUAUACAACUCACACAACGUCUCCGGUAAUUUUUCUAUCUCCCGUUGAUGGGCCAAAUUAAGGUAUUUCAAAUGUAAUAAGUUUUCUAUAUUUGUUGGAACUUCUUUGAUGCAAUUCUCACACAACCUCAAGCUAUGCACCCCCAAUGUUAAUGCCCUUAAACAAGUUAAUUUAUCAAAUAAUUGAGGUAGGACUUCGCUAGACCAUGAAUAUUCAUAACUUUCAACUAAGAGGCUACGCAAUCUUUUAACAUGAUCCCAAAUGGAGAUUGAAACUAAAGGCCUGCCAUCUAGAUUUAACAUUAAAUGAAGGACUUUUUUCUCCCCAAAAGACCUCAUAAAUGAAUUUUCCCCACCAUGAAUUUGUAAUGCAAAACAUUCAUUCCUACACAAAAAUUGGGCAAAGUCGUGCACUAUAUCAUGCAUCUUGCACACAUAAUUUUCACCAAAACCAUAUCUCCUAAAAUCCUGAAAGAAUGAACGGCUAGCUAAGAUGUUGAAAUAUUCUUCACCAAUGUCCUCCAUCUCUUUGGUUCCUUUCUUACUAAGGUAACCUUGUGCCAUCCAUAGGUUAAUUAACUCUUUUUUCUGUAUUUGAUAGUCUUUCGGAAAGAUGGCACAGUAAGUGAAACAUUGUUUUAUCUUAGAGGGCAAUUCAUUGUAACUCAAUAGUAGAGGGGCCAAAAGGCCUCUCUCAACCUCUUCUAGUUCCCAUAUCUCACUUUCUAAGAUAUUUUGCCAUUUCUUUUCAGUGUUUCUAGAUUGCAGGAGACUAGCAAUUGUCUUUGCAGCUAAAGGUAAGCCCUUGCACUUUCUUACAAUUUGUCGGCCCAUAUUUUCUAAUUUUUCACAUUCCUCCAUUGACCUACCGAAAAAUGCUAACUGCUCAAACACUGACCAGCAUUCUAUUUCAGACAAUACGUUGACAGAGAUAACAUUAGUUGAUCUCAUACAAUGGGCAACUAUUUCCUUACGCGUGGUAAUCAAAAUUUUACUUUCAUGGAGGCCAUUCUUUAAACAUUUAUAGAAUGGUUCCCAUUUAUAGUAAUCUUCAUUCCACACGUCGUCUAAGACAAGAAGAAAUUUCUUCCCUUCAACACAUUCUUGAAUAUGUUGCAUGAGAGAUUGAAACUCACCAAAGUUAGAGGCAGAACCUGUUAGAGACUCAAUGAUUGCUCUGGCGAUCCUGAACUCGUCAAACGGCUCUGACACACAGACCCAUAUUCUUUUCUCAAAAUUUCUUUUAACACCAUCGUUAUUGUAAGCAAAUUGAGCAAGAGUAGUUUUGCCUAUGCCCCCCAUCCCAACAAGUGAGAUGAUACAAGGGCCUUUCUGUUCUUUACUACUCUCACAUAACAACCUAUUAACGAGUUCGUUCUUCUCUACCAAAUAUCUCGGACUCAUCAAUUGAAGAGAUACUUGGUACUCGUUGAUCCGUUCUCUCAUUACUCUUAAUAACAUUCACAGCAAAACCAAACAUGUCUUUUUGUUUGGCAAUAUCAUCAAGAGUUUCAUUGAUUUCCUUUAUCUUGAGAGCAAUAUCACGACGUAAGACAAGUGGUUUGCAGCCAAAGCAAGAGGCAGCAGGAAAGAAGGAACAUACCUUCUUGUUAGGAUCGAGAGCAUCAUUCUCGUGAUCAUCCACUCCAUCGAUUUGCAGUUUGAGCCUUGCAGUGUUCCACUCACCCAACACAUCUUCAAUGUCGUAACAUGCGUCUCUGAGUUGAUCGAGCCAGAGUCUGACAGUUUCCUCCUUUACUUGCCUUUUCUCUGCAUCAUGGAGCACAGCUUGAAUGGCUCGGAGAUUGCUGUUCAGCUUCUUCACUUCCUUUCCGACACCCGUUACCAGCUUCACCUGUUCCUUUGUCUCUUGAGCAGCCAUGGCAGUCAGCUGCUGCACGAGAGGGGAAAUGAUCGCAUCAACAACCAUGGUGAAAGAGGAAAAAGAGAGAGAGAAGAGUUUUAGCAACAGUAAUUAAUGCUGAAAGAAAUGAAGGAGCUAAUAAUGUGGUGAAAAUGCAGCCGUAUUCUUUCAAUUCUUAUAGUACUGCAAGCAAAAUUCCGAUUUAGAAAUAUUUCAUUUCAGCCCUUUUGAAAGAAGCUGCUGUUAUUAUUAUUACUAUUUUUUUUUUUAAUAAUAGCAAAGAGUGAAAAUGACAUACAGUUGUGGACACGAAAUAAUAUAUUGUUAGGUCCUACAUCGGCGAUUCACGCAGUAAAUGAACUUAAAAAAGUUUUCUAUGAUCUCUUUUUAAAUAAUUGAACAAGUUGUUAGAUAAUUAUACGUGUAUUAUCUCUUAUUUUCUUCUUUUUUUUUUUCAUCAAAAUUUUACUCGUUUGCAUAAUUAGUUGAAAGGAGAGAAUGAACAUACAAUUAAACUAUGAAAACGCUGCCACAUAAUAUUCUAAGAUUCAUAUCGAACCGCUUUAUUUAGAUUUUGUUAUUUUAGCAGAUUUCUGAUAGUGGGAGUUUAGAGCUUAAUCUCUAAAUUUGAUUGUGAAGUGUGAAAAAUCAAAUAAUCUUUUCUACUAGUUUUUCAACAAUAAUAGAUGACAAUUCAUCAUCAGUUAUUUCUCAUUACGUAUAAAAUGAUCAAUCUAGAAGACUAAAGUUUAACGUGUGAUUUUCAGAUUCAUUGUCAAGUGAUUUGAACGUUUUAACGAACAACGCUUAAUUUUCUUUUUGAUGGAGCACAAUAAUAACUUGAAAAUUCUUGAAAGUUGCCUGCAGUUCAAAUAUUUUUCUUCAGAUGAAAACCAUCAAUAAUUUUCAAACUUAGAAGAUAUUUAUUUUUUUCCCAUAACCCACCAAAAGCUUUUUCAUUUAGUAUUCUUAGAUGAUAAGACUGCUAAUAUCUUCUAAUUAUCACCAAAAACUUUGUAACUUUGUAAUUUUCACUAUUCAUAUGUAGUGGCAGACAGCGGUGGCCAAUUAAGGGAUGAAGACUACUACUCCACCGAGUAAAUCUUGACACGUGUGCUUUUUCUAAUUACAUUUUUGCAAUGGCAAUUAAUGCUGAAGGAAAUGAAGGAGCUAAUAACGUGGUGAAAAUGCUGCCAUAUUCUUCCAAUACUUAUACUGCACGCAAAAUUCCAAUUUAGAAAUAUUUCAUUUCAAAAGAAGUUAUGGCUAUUGUUAUUAUCUUUCUUUCUUUUUUUUUUUUAAUUUUUUUUUUUUAACCAGUGUGGACUGGAAAUAUUGUCAGGUCCUCCGUCUGCGAUUCACGCGGUAUAUGAACUUGACAAAGUUGUUAUAUGAUAAUAUGAUUUAGGACCAUAUGUUGUCUCUUUUCAAUAUUCGAUAAUUGAACGAGUUGUAUAUAUGAGUCCGCUUAUAGGGUCUUGCUAUGUUACAGUUUGUGUCUGUAACAGCACAUGACGUGACAAAUAAUUUAUUAAGAGUGCGCCAUGUGUAAAAAUUUAAUGAUCCAAUUUGGUAACAAGAUUCUUUUCACCCGUUAUUAUUAACCGGUUGCAGAUGACUUACUGCAAUUACAAUUACGUUAAACAGUGUUUGACUGUGAAGUGUUAAAAUUUAAAUAAUCUUUACUAUUUGUUUUGCAACAAUAAUAAAUAACAAAUCAUUACUAAUUAUUUUUUAUUUUGUAUAAAUUGAUCGAUCCAGAGCUAGAUAUUUACAUAUUUUUCUAUUUCCAAUCAUUUCAAAAUUGGAAUUUUGAUUGUUUUUUUACCCCCCAUAACCCACCCACCAAAAACUUUUUUCAUUUACUUUAACUUUGUAGUUUUCUUAGAAGAUACUUAGAACUGCGAAUAUCUUCUAAUUAUUGUUUUAAAAAUCUCAGUUGCAUGCCCAAUUAACUAAUCAGUAGCCUCAGUUCGACAUAUUUAAAACACACAAAAAAAAAAAAAAAUAUGACACAGUGGUUUGAUGACUUUGUAAUUGAUACAUUCAGGAAAUGAAGAGAAAAAGGAACACACGCACUUAUGACGAUCAUUGCAGAUGAUAUAAUAGAUGUAAGUAUUUGGUGGCAAUUAAUUAACUAAUACUCUUAUCAAGUAAUUGUUUUGGACUCGAAUUAAGCAGCUCUGCACUGCCCUUGGAUAAUUCCCCUGCUUAAAAAACAUUGUUUUAAAAUAAAAAACCUAUUUACUUUAUAAUACAACUUUUCAUUUAUUUAAUCGUUUGUUUUUUUUCUAUGAUGGUAAUAUAUUAUUUUAGUAAUUUUUAAAGAACUUUGAUAUUCUCUAAAAAUAUAUAUUUUAUCUCAUGUUUAUAAAAUAAAAAAUUUACAAUAGCAAAAAAAUAUAUAAUGAUUAAAAAAACUUAGUUUGUUAAAUUUUUUUCAUUAUGAUAUUUGUUUUCACUCUCAUUCAACGUCUUCACUUUUUUAGACAAAAAAUUAUCUACAUUUUUAAAAUAAGUAGAUUCCAGUUGUUAAAAAAUUAUCUACAUUUUUAAAACUCUUGACAAUGACAUAAAACAUUUUGUACUUCUUAAGUAGAUUCCAGUUGUUCUUGUUCUGAGAUACCAAAAGCAUUAUAGCAAACGAAACCAAGCCAGCCCAGUUUCCAGUAAAGGCAACAGCCCUAUGCUAUGCUAGCCUUUCGGUCUGAGUUGGCCCAUUUACACCCUUGUGAGCACAAUGCCUUUUUGGUCAUCCAUCAGACAAGGUUGAAAAAGGACCUAAAACUGAACAGUAGAACAGAUUACCUGGAGGUGAUGGUAUAUGCAGCCGUUUGAGGCCUCCUAAAAGACUUCUCCUGAUCCCUUGAAAGUUAUGAAUUAAGACAGUAGGCCAGUCUGCUCUUGUUCCCUUUCUGUAAACUUUCAUUUAAAACAGGACAGGACAUUCGCGAAUCACCCCUGCAAACCAAAUCCAAGGCAAAUUUGAUCAAUGCGAUUUAGUAAGUGAGCCUUGAAAAGCCAUCACACAGCUUAAAAGCCAAAUGAAUUAGGACUUGUGAUUGGGGUAAUGGUUUAAAGAAAAUAGUAAGCAAUCCCCACUCAAAGCCAAAGUAACAAAGCAGAAGAAUAUGCUAAUUAACCUCAACCGACAUCAACUUAAUUUUGAUCGGCGACCAAAGCCUCAGUGGUCUUCUCAAUUCCACCUCUGGUAAAUAGAAUGGGAUCUGCACCAGCUGCUACCACCUGAAUGAGUACCAAAUAAGCCCCCCCCCCCGUGUGAAGUUAACAUCAAAUGAAGGAUUUUUUUUCUCCCCAAAAGAGCUCAUAGUUGACUCUUCACCACUACCAUUAUGAAUUUCUACAGAUAAACAUUCUACAUAAAUAUUGGGCAAAAUCGUGCACUAUAUCAUGCAUUUUGCACCUAAAGAUUUCACAAUCGUCACCUCUGUCAAAAUCCUGAAAGAAUGAACGGCUAGCUAAAAUGCUGAAAUACUCUUCAUCAAUGUCCUCCAUCUCUUUGUGUCCUUUCUCACUAAGGUAACCUUCUAGUUAUAGCUUACUCAUAGCAAGUUUCACUACAAGAAAAAGUACCUAAUAUGACAGUCCUCUGUGUGAUAAUUUUUGAUCUGGAGGCCUACAACAAUAGAAUCGUGAUAGAAAUAUCGUUUAUCAAGAAAUUAUGAUAUAUUGGUGAUAUAAAUAUCAUAUAUCAUGAAACUAUGAUAGACUAGUGAUAAAUUAUUUGGCUAUCAAGAAUGAAAGACUGAUUUUUUAUGUUGACUUUAAUUGCGCGGGUUUGACUUAAUUUUUACAAAUAUUAUAUUACUAAAAAAGAAGUGAAACGAUGCCGUCUCAGUUGUAUGUUUUGCAAGUGUUUGAGGAAAACAUAAACGUAAAUAACAAAAAAACAAUUAAUAAAACAUUGCGUUUUGUAAAGGGGGGAAACAUUUUUGUGAGAAAAGAGGGAAAUUUUUUUCUAAGUGUUCAGAAAAUUUGCAAGCGUUAUUGUGGAAUCUCAAAAUUGAUUAGCACACUUGUAGCAAACCCUCAAAGGCUGGCCAUAGCAAACUAACGACACCCAAACACCCAUCGUUUCAAAAUCAUUCUGGUUGUUUCACUGAAUCGUCUCUCUUUGCUGCGGUUGUCACUGAACCAUCUCUCUUUGCUGGGACGAAGUCAGUGCUAAUUGAAACCCAAAUUAGAAUGAGAGCAACAUCCAUGGUACUUUUAUUGACUGAAAGAAACACAAUCGCUUACCGUGAAAGAAGACCUAAGUCGUUGUUGCCGAAGUUGAAACCCUAGGCUUGACGGUGAAUUGAAGCUUCACACCCACUGGUGAGUCAUUGCUGCAUUUGCAUGUAUUUAAUUUUGACUAUUUAUUCAACUUUUAUGUAAAGUAGUAAAUAAUUUGUAAAAAAUUGAAAUGUAUUUGCAUGUAUUGCAUAUAUUGCAUAUAUUUCGAUAAUCAAUUUACUAAAUAAUUUCCCAGGAAGAUAUAAUGUUGUUAAUUUUGAGUUCUGUUUUGAGUUGUAAUCGUGCAUUGCAUAAUGUUGUUAAUUUUUUUUUUAUUCUAGGUAAUUCUGAUUUAUAUUCAUGUGUUUGUGUGUGAAUUUUUUUUUUCUAGCUAUUUCUGAUAUUGAAGCUUCGUUAAGUUAAAUGAGUGUUAGUGUAUGAAGAUGGUGAUAAUCUGCAACUUAUAUAUCUUUAUGUUCUAAUAGUUGAUUCUUUAAAUAUUGGCCUGAAAUGUCUAUAACAAAGCAUGAGGAAGUGAAAUUUUUUAUGUUCUAAUUGCGCGGAUUGAUUCUUUAUGUUCUACCACCACUUCAAUUAUAAUGCUUCAUUGAUUCUUUAAAUAUCUUUAUGUUCUAAUAGCGCGGAUUUACGAUGUCGUAGGUUUAACUUUAUUUAUUUCACAUGGUGUUGUAACAUUAGACAAAUAUUCUAAGUAUGUACAUUCUUUCUUUGUUUUAUGUAUAUGUCAGGAACAUUAAUUAUGAAGCUAGAAAUGGAUAAAUCUUGGAUUCAAUGUAAUCGACUGUCGACAGAAUAUGAAGAGGGUGUCCAAAAAUUUAUAAAUUUUGCUAUAAAAAAUGCUGGAGGCAGUAGUGUCAUUAGGUGUCCAUGCCUUGAUUGUGGGAAUUUAUCAUUUGAAACACCUACAACUGUAAAAAAUCAUUUAUAUAUGCAUGGUUUUGAUGUGAAAUACGACAGUUGGUUUUGGCACGGGGAAGAGAUUCGUAAGAGUCCUUCUCCUCAAAGAGAAAACCAUUUUCAGCAACAAAAUAUAGAGUUUGACAAUGGUAAUGAGUUAGAAAUGGUUAAUGAUGCUUAUAAGGGUUGUUGUGGGGACCCUAAGGCAUUCAAAGAUUUGCUAGAACAAGCUGAGAAACCCUUGUACCUAGGAUGCACAAAAUUUACUAAGUUAUCCUUUUCAGUGAAAUUGUUCAAUGUGAAGGGUAGAUUUGGGUGGUUUGACAGUAGCGUUUCUGCAUUGUUGAGUGUUUUAGCAGAUGCUUUCCCUGAAAAUAAUGAAAUUCCAACCUCUAUGUAUGAGGCCAAAAAGACAAUGUCAGCUUUGGGCUUAGAAUAUGUCAAAAUUCAUGCUUCCCCAAACGAUUGCAUACUCUACAGAAAAGAGUAUGAAGGUCUUUUUGAAUGUCCUACUUGUGGGUUAUGUAGAUGGGAGAAAAAAGAUGGAACUAUAGACCAAUAUAGGAAAGGGAUUCCUGCAAAAACUUUAUGGUAUUUUCCUCCUAUACCUAGGUUUAAGCGCAUGUUUCAGUUAUCCGAAACUGCUAGGGACUUGACUUGGCAUGCAAAUGAGAGGAUGGUUGACGGUAAACUCCGACAUCCGGCUGACUCACCAUCUUGGAAGUUAGUAGAUGAGAAAUGACCGAUCUUUGCAUCCGAUCCUAGAAACCUUCGCCUAGCUCUAUCAGCUGAUGGAAUCAAUCCAUAUAGCUCUCUUAGUAGUACAUAUAGCUGCUGGCCAAUAAUUCUUAUUACCUAUAAUCUUCCACUAUGGUUGUGCAUGAAAUGAAAAUUCAUGAUGUUGUCCCUCUUGAUUUCUAGUCCUCAACAACCGGGUUUAGACAUUGAUGUGUAUUUGCAACCUCUUAUUGAGGAUUUGCAAAUUUUAUGGGAUGUUAGGGUGGAGGCAAUGAUGCCUACAAAAGUGAGUACUUUAAUUUGCAGGCUGUAUUACUAUGGACAAUAAAUGACUUCCCGGCAUAUAGAAAUUUAGCGAGAUGUACUAUUAAAGGAUAUUAUGCCUGCCCAUAUUAUGGUGUAGAAACACCAAAAUGUAGACUUAAACACAGUGGAAAAAAAUGUAUACAUUGGGCAUCGGCUUUGGCUUCCUCAUGGUCAUAAAUUUCGGUUCCAAGAAAAAGCCUUUGAUAAUAGUGUGUGCGAUGAAACCCCUCCAAAACUGUUAAACGGGGAGGAAAUUUUCUAGCUGGUCGACGCUAUUGAUAAUAGAUGGGGGAAAAGUAAUAGUAAAAAGCGUAAAAGUGAGAACAAUGAUGAUCUCGUGUGGUGGAAGAAGAAAUUCAUAUUUUAUAAUUUAGAGUAUUAGAAGCACUUGCUUGUGCGGCAUCAAUUAUAUGUUAUGCAUAUUGAAAAGAAUGUGUGUGAGAACAUCUAUGGUACAUUGCUGUAUAUUCUUGGAAAGUCGAAAGAUAGACUAAAGUCGAGGAUGGAUCUCUUGAAAAUGAAAAUUAGGCCCAAAUUAGCACCACAAGUUAAAGGAAACAACAAUUGUACAUGGCUUCCUCCUGCUUGCCACACCUUAACUAAGGAGGAAAAAGCAAGAUUCUGUGCAGCUUUGAAAAGUAUCAAGGUUCCUACUAGAUACUUUUCAAAUAUUAGGAAUCUUGUGUCAAAAAAGGACUUUAAACUCUAGGGUCUUAAGUCCCAUGAAUGCCAUGUUCUUAUGCAACAACUUUUGCCAAUUGCCUGAAGGUGAGUGCUACCUAAACAUGUCAAAGAAGAUAUCAUUAGGUUCUGUUUCUUCUUUAAUUCAUUGUGUGCGACUGUGAUUGACGUGACAAUGCUAGAUGAAUUGGAGAAAAACAUCGUAGAGACUUUGUGCUUGCUUGAAAAAUGUUUUUCCCCUUCUUUUUUUGAUAUAAUGUUUCAUCUUACUAUUCACUUAGUGAGUGAAGUUAGACAAUGUGGCCCUGUAUAUUUUCGGUGGAUGUAUCCUUUUGAGCGAUACAUGAAAACUCUAAAAGGUUAUGUUCGAAACCGUAACUGUCCUGAGGGUUGCAUAGCGGAGAGUUAUAUUGCCAAGGAAGCAUUAGAAUUUUGUGUAGAAUACUUGGAAAACAUGCCCACAAUUGGGGUUCCACUUGGACAUGUGCAGAAUUUAGAAAUUGACAAGCCCAUGAGUGGUGGACAAAUGGUGGAAGUUGAGUGAACUUCAUUAGAUCAAGCACACUUGUAUGUUUUACAUAACACUGAGGAAGUUCAACCUUAUAUAAGGUGAUGUUAUCUAACUUGUGUCAUUUUAGUUUUAUAUUUAUCAAGUUUUGGUAGUCUAGGAACCUGAAAAUUUUGUCUUUUUAACUGAUUUUUAGAGAGCAUGAGGAUUGGUUACAACUUUGCCAUCCACGAAAAAAUGAGAAGUGGUUGCAAGAUUAACAUAACCGAACAUUUGCAGAUUGGCUAACAGAUAAGAUUUUGAUAACAUUAGUUUAAUUAAUUCAUUUUUUCCUUUCUGUUUCAGUUUGUGCUUGUUUAACAUUAUAUUCCUGUCGAUUAAUAAUAAGUAAAUAUGUUGAUAGAGAAUGGUCACGUUGUUACUCAAACAAUCCGUUGGUUAUCCCAAGGGCCUCGUCCUUAUGUUUUCUAACAUUCUGGUUAUGACAUAAAUGGUUUUCACUUUGUUACAAGAGAUCGAGACUUAAAUAGAGUUACUCAAAAUAAUGGAGUGUCAUGGUUGCAAAAACAAUUUCAGUCGCAAAUUCAAAAGAUAAAAAUCUUGUCACUUCUAACAUCACAUACUAUGGAGUGAUUAGAGAGAUUUGGGAUCUAGAUUAUGUUAUCUUUAGAAUUCCAAUAAUGAAGUGUGACUGGGUACAUACCAGAGGUGGUGUUAUGAAGGAUAGACUCGGAUUUACUUUGGUAGACUUGCAAUAAAUGAGCCAUAAAUCUGAUCUAUUUAUUUUAGCUUCUCAAGCCAACCAAGUUUUUUAUAUACCUGAUCAGCUUGAUAAGAAGUGAUCAGUUGUAUGUCAAAUGCCUAGAAGAGGCAAACCCACACAAAGAAGUGAAGAUGUAGUGGAAUACCCUUCGUUGACUACUGAAUUUUCAAGUGCUGAUAACAUAAACUCUAUUGACGAUGAUGCUGCAAUGUACGCCCGAGACAACAAAGAGGGAAUUUGGAUUGGACCUUGAAUAUCAUUUCUGUGUUUGUUUGCAUGAGUUUUUUGUUGAGUUAUUCUCAAAAUAAUAUAUGUUAAGGUUAAUACAAGAAGUAUUUUAUGCUAUAUGUUAUUAUUUUAUUUUGUAUUUUUUGGCAGUUUUUAUAUGGUAAUGUAUUCUCAUUAUUUGAUUUUGUUUUGCAGUUGUGAUAUUCAUCAUGGAUAAGGGAAAAAAUAUCCCUAAGAUUUCUUCGCGAAUGAUAUGAUCCUGAAACGCCCCCGGCCGAUCAUGUCCCUGAUCUUGAUGAGUUUGGAGAUGGGAACGAGGAUGAACCUGAGAGUAGUAAGCGAAGCAGAGGUGGCACUGUUGGGUCAGAACAAAACAAAAAGAGGAAAAGAAGUGGAAGGUUUGUGGUUAAAUACAACAGCCUUGGUGUUCCAGUUGGUGAAGAAGCUAUUGAACUGGCUACGUAUAUUAGUGUUUUGGCUCGUACAUCAAUUCCAAUCCUCUACAACAAUUAGCGUAGAGUUCUAUAUGAUACGAAGGAGCGUCUAUGGGAGUCUGUUAAGGUAUAAAAUAAUUUCCUUAAGACGAUUACUCUAGUUUUAUUGUUGCUGGAAAAAUAUGAAAAACCUCACAUUUUGAGAAUGAAACUUGAAGGUGUACUUCGUGGUUCAUCCUUGAAGUAGGAAGCAAAUACUACAAGCCAUCGGAGCUGCAUUUCAGAACUUUAAGUACACUCUAAUGAGGAACUAUAUUUUACCAUUUGUUAAUGACCGUAAAAGGCUUUUCAAGCCACCAGCAUGAUACAACACGAUUGAUAAGGAAAGUUGGAUUAAGUUUGUGAAGGAAAGACUAUCUAAAAAAUUUCAAGUGAGUGUGUCUAAUUCAAGUGUUAAUAAUAUAUCAAUGCUUAUGACAUUUUUCCUUAUGUGUUUAUCCAUUGUUUGUUUGGUUGCUUUAAGCAGAAAGUUAGUGGUGUGAAUAAACUUAGGCGGGCACAAAACAAGUUUAAUCAUCACCUAAGUAGAAAAGGUUACAUUGGGUUAAUGCAAGAAGUGGUAUGUACUGUGAGUUAAUUGCUUACAUUUUACUAUUGUUUAGUUAAUGCAAAUAAUGAUUGUUACUAACAUUUUAAUUUUUUAUUAAUGUUUUUACAGUGCUCAGAGACAGGCCUUACUGAAGAAGAAGUGGACAUGAGUGUUCUUUGGAAGAGAGCUCGGCAAAUGAAAAAUGGAGGAUACCACCUCGAUGUUGAACCAGUUAUUAAAAAAAUCGUAAGAAAUUUUUUACUUACUAUUGUAAUUCUAGUUGUGAUUACUUAUUGAUGGUUGUCGAAGCCAACAAAAAUAAAUUCCUACUCUAAAUAAAUUGUGUAUAGUGAUUGAGCAGGGUCGUGUCCACAGAGAUCGGUAAUUAUUUAAAUCCUUUUGAAACGUAAAACAUAAAAUGGGGGAAUUGUUGACAAUAAUAAAAAUCAAAUUAAAAAUAACAAGAAUGCAAAUUAAAGUUGUAAUUCAAAUUGGAGAAAGCUCUGGUUGGAGGAAUUAACUCAGCUUGAUUCGACUACUGAUCAUUGAUUCAAAUAUAGAUUAUUAUUACUCAUGAAUAGACCGGUUAUAGCUACUGAGACCCUCUAAUAGCCAAUCUCUCCUUAACUAGUCGAUCACCAAGGUACGACCAUUGGUUAUUUCCCUAAUCAAUAGACAACCCUAGAUACGAUCAUAGGAUUUAAUCAAUUGACAGCCUGAAAAACCAGAGAGACCCAAAUCCUAAUCAACACAUAUGAUGAUUCAUUUAAAUUAGAUUGUUUAUUCUCACAACACAACUCUCUGCUAUGUUAAUUGUCACAAACAUUAAAUUCUUCAUACGAUGAAUCCUUUAAUUGACAAUAGAUUAAGUUGAUAAUUAAAUAGUGACCAAUUACCUAAUUAACAAACAUAAUCAUGAAAAUAAUUCAGAGAAUAAACAAAUACCCAAAAAGUAAUAAAACAAUUAAAGCACAAGAAAGAUCUCACAGUAGUGAUGAAUCAAAGAUUCAUUAUCCUUCAACCAGAAAAAUAGGUUUAGUUCUUCAUAGAGAGAAGAGAAAAAUUAAGAUUUAGGGUUUCUUUGUUUUUCUCCAAUCCAAAAUCCCCCCUUUUCUUUCACAAUAGAUUCCUCCUUAAAUACUCUCUCUCUCUUCUCUUUUAGAGUUCUAUUUAAAAUAAAAUACUAAUAUCUUAAAUAUUAAAUUCGUAAUUAUAAAAAUAGCCAAAAAUACAAAACACGUUAAACUAAAAACUGCAGGUCCGCAGUUGACAGCACGCGCCCACGCCUUAUCAACAAAGUUCUUCUGCCGCUCAUAAUUUCUCCAAGGGAACAAUAAUCCUUAAACAUCAUCUUGUAGCUUAAUUUUAUCACCAACCAAUAGAAUUGCACCUACAAAAGUAAAUCACAAAUAAAUCACUAUUAUUAAGUGCAAAACAUCGAUAUUAAGGGAAGUAAACAAUGCAAAACUAGUGCAUAAAUUGCACUCUAACAAAUUCUCCCACACCAAGAUGAUGCUUGUCCUCAAGCAUAUAACUCAAGACUAAUCACAAAUCUCCACUCGAUUCUCAUCUCAACUCAUCCAAAAACAAUUUUAAGCAAGCAUACUUCAAGACUUUAAGUUGUUCAACAUUUGAGAGACAAGGAUUUUAAAGCAUAGAAUUUCAUAAGAUAGAAUAAGAACAUUCAACCACCAAGAAGAUCCAUUCAAAAUUCAAGUGCAACAAGAUUUAAUAGCCCUCUCAAUAACUUCGUUCCAUGCACUCAAAGUGUUUAGGGUGUCAUUUAUCCACUCAAAUCAAAUCAAAGAAUGCUAUUACCAUAAGCUUGCUCAUAUAUCACAUCUCAAUCCACAAAACAUGAAUAAAAUGCAAAAAUCUAAGGGUCUUAAAAGGGUUGUAAUGGGGUAAAAUGGGUGAAAUGAAAAAGAAAGGUUUAUGAAAGAAAAAGAGAUCAAAAUGAGAAGAAUGAACUCAUUGAAUGAACUUAUGAUAUCAAAAUGCUUAUUUCUACUCAAGUCACCAAGAAUGUAAACUCUUUUUUUUUUCGAUUUUUCUUUUUCUUUUUCUUUUUUUUUUCUUUUUUUUUUGUUUUUGAUUUUUUUUCUUUUUUUUUUGAAUCAAACAAAAGAAACGAACCUUGCACAAUUUAAUUCAAGCAUAAUGCUUGUUGAUCUAAUUGAGAAACUUUAAUACAAGGUAGAAAAAGCAACAAAAUAUAUCCACACAAUGAGUCCAAAAAUCUCCUUAAAUUGAGGCUCAAAAAGAAGAAAAAUGGUUAAGUAGACGGAGAGAAUUAGAUGGGUAAUGGUUAAGGCUCAAAUGAAGAUAGCAAAUAAAGGUCUUCGGGUAGAAAAAAAAAACGAGAAUAGAAAAAUGGAAAAUGGUUUGCCCUUAUCAUUUUAAUGCAUAAAAUCCCGUAAUGUGGCUUCAACAUGCAUAACAAAGCAAGUUCUAGAAUAAACAAACUAAGAUUGAUAUUCACAUAACAAAUAUAUUAGAGCAAAAUGGUUGCUCAUAGGCUCAAAUCCUCACAAAGUUGGUAAAUUUGCCAUCAAAUCAUGUACACUCUUCAAAUGAAUCAACCAUCAAUAGUGGUGUAGAAUGAGAAGAAGGUAUGAGUGAUAUAUAAAAGGAAAGGUAAAAAUGAUAAGAAGUGAAAAAGAUGAAAAGUGAAAGAUAAAAUGUGAGUGAUGAAAGAGUAUGAUAGAAUAAAAAUAGAUGUAAAUAAUUUGAGAUAGAUGGGGAAAAAAAGUAGUGAGAAAUAAAAGAAAAGAAAAAAUAAUAAUAUAUAAAGCAUACUAACUCCAAAAUCAUUUAAGGAUGAGUAGAGUGAAAAAAAAAGAAGAUAAGUAGAGUGAAAACAAUAAUUCCAGACAUCAAUAAUGCAAAAAUCCCUCCCCCACACCAAGAACUUACAUUGUCCCCAAUGUAAGAUAAUCAAAGCUCAUAUAAAAAUUAAAGCGUAAGGAUAAAAGAUUAAGGGCAAAAAGAAACUUCCCUGAAUUGUGAGCUUUGAUCCACAUAACGUCUAUGGGCUUGGCGGAAAUGGUGGGGUAAAUCCCACACUCUCGAAGUAUGCAGCCAAAUUCUGCUCUAUCUUGUUCAGCUUGUGCUCCAUUUUCUCUAACUGAAUACUCAAAGGUGGUGCGAAUGUAGAAGGAAUAGUUGGCGGGGCAGCAGUGUCGUCGUCAAACUCGUCAUCAGAGGUAGCACCACUCCUAGCAUAAAGCUUCUUCGGAAGUUGAGUGGGUCCUGGUUCAGUAAACUGAAAUCUCCCCUCCUUGAAUUCGACCAUACCUAUUCUUUCAAACACAGACAUAUCCAAAAACUCCUUUUUGCAAGCAGGAUGCAAAUCAUUAUUGUCGGGAUCAAGCACACAUAGGUUUAUAGCUAACAGAGUAAUGUACGGACCAAGAAAUAAAGUCCUAUACCGUUUAAGCACACUUUGAAAUUGAUCCGCUAACCAAAAACCUAAAUUAGGCCUCACAUCAUUUAACAUGCACCAGAUAAAAUAAAAUUCAGUUUUAGAGAAAAUUCCUGAGUGAUCUUUCUUGCCUAAAAAAUUAUAUGCUAAGAAUCGAUGCACACAUUUCAAAGCAGGAUCACGUAAGAAAGAACUCUUUGAUUUACUCGGGUCAUAGGCAUUGUGAUCAACAGAUAAAUUACGCCAAAGACCAUAAGGCUCAAAAUUGUCGCUAAAGUCACAAGUUGUUCCUAAAUAUGUAUCACUAGAAGAAUAAUCAUCAUCAAUGAAUCCUAAAGCUAGGUUAAAAUCCGUGAUAGAGUGUGAAAAAUUUCGUCCCAUUAACCUAAACUUAAUGACAUCCGGGGUAUGCAAAGUAAAAUCAUUCGGCAUAGUAAAUUGAAAAGUAGCAUAAAACUCCCUAAUCAACUCAACAUAACCCAAACAAUCAACAUCAACAAAUUUACGCAACCCAAUCUUAUCUAUCAAAGAAUCAAAAUUAUCCUUAACAUUCAAUUUUUCAAGAGUCGGGUAAUGAAUAUACUUAGCUGGAAGUAUUUUGCGCGUGGAAAUAUCUUUGUACCUCUCUUUCUCUUGUUGAGUCGCGAAUGCGAGGCACCCUCCGAGAUUGGAUUCCGCAAGUGGCAAAACACUCAUGCCUUUUCCAUGCUUCGAUCUUUGUCUCACGGCUUGGCGUGAAUCUGAAAUUGUGUUCCAUGGAACCGUAGUGGGAGCGGCAAUCUUAGAUUUCUUGGCGACGGGUUUUUUUUUCGAUGACUUGGAAGUAGAUGCUUUCCUCUUCGGCAUUUUUACAAUAAUUGCACUCACGGAUUUCGAUUUACCCGGCUGGAAUACAGGGCGUAGGCUGGUUGCGUUGCGUUGCUGCGUUGUGGGCUUGCGUUGCGCGCUGCUGAGGCUUGCUUUGCGGGUGCUGCGCUGCGUUGCGCGCUGGUGAUUCGCGUUGCGUUGCUGGGCUGGAUCUACGCAUUGCUGCGUUCGCAUUGUGUUGCGCGCGAGAGCUGGUGGGGCUUCGUUGCGAGCUGCUAGGCUGCGAGACACGGGAUGCUUGUGCUGCACUCGCGGGAUGGUGCUCGAUACUGGUGCUGCGCGCGCAGGGGCUUGCGUUGCACGCGACUGAUGCUGCGUUGCGCACGGCUGGAGCUAAGAAUCUGCGUUGCUGGGGCUUGCGUUGCGCGCGACUGAUGCUGCGUUCUCCGGCUGGCUGGUUUGCUGCUGGCGUGCUGCAAACGGCUGGAGAAGAAAACAAGUUCUGGAAAAUUAGGGAUUUUGUGAACAGUAAAUUUUUUUUUGAUUUUUUUUAAAUAAAUAAAAAAAUAUAUAUAAAAGAAAGAACAAAAGAAAUAAAUAAAUAAAAUAAAAAAAAUAAAAUGAAAUAAAAUAAAUUAAAAUUUUUUAAAAUUUUUUUUUUUUAUUUUUUUUAUUUUUAUUUAUUUUUAUUUUAUUUUUUUUUAUUUUUUAGUGAUGAAUCACUUUGAGACACUAAAAAUUUCAGAAGUACUUUUCUAAUAAGCACGUGGGCACGCCUUAUCAAAAAUUUUCUUCUGACUAAAAUAAGCAAACACAUUAUUUUAAAAAAAAAUCUGAUAAAUUAAAAGAAGAUAUAACAAAAACCAAAAUAAAUAAAUCACUUGGGUUGCCUCCCAAAAAGCGCCUUUGUUUUAUGUCUUUGGCUAGACACAUUUAUGCAUCCAUCUCCAUAAUUUGGACUCUCGAGAGCCACAUCCUCCACAAUAUUCACCGAAAAACCUUCAUAAAAAGGUUUUAAGCGAUGACCAUUAACCUUAAGAACUCUGUCAGAGGUCGGACUCCGAAUCUCAACUGCACCAUGAGGAAAAACAUUAGUAACAAUAAAAGGUCCAACCCAGUAAGAACGUAAUUUACCCGGAAAAAGUUUAAGUUUAGAAUGAAAAAGAAGAACUUUUUGACCAACAGAGAACUCCUUUCUCAAAAUCAUUCUAUCAUGAAAUGUCUUCGUCUUUUCCUUGUAAAAAACUUCCUUCACUAUAGGGUUAAUAACAUCCAUAGAAAAUACCGAAUGUUCCUCACUAGGAUAUUUCAUGGCAUCAUUCAUAUUGAAUUCUAUAACCUCUCCAUCAAACUCCAUAGUGAGAGUCCCUUUAUGUAUAUCCAUUUUAGUCCUAGCAGUCUUAAGAAAAGGUCUUCCUAGCAAAAUUGGGACAGAAUUAGAGGAGUUAUCGUCUUCCAUAUCAAGUACAUAAAAAUCAGCAGGAAAAACCAACUCAUUAACUUGUACUAAGACAUCUUCUAAUACCCCAUCAGGAUAUGCAUUAGACCUAUCAGCUAGUUAAAUUAUCACGCCAGUUUCUUUUAAUGGACCAACAUUCAAAGAUGAAUAAAUGGAACGAGGCAUGACAUUAAUAGAAGCUCCUAGAUCUAACAUAGCCUUUUCAACUCUAACACUACCAAUUUUACAAGGGAUAGUAAACAUACCUGGAUCCUUGCACUUAGGAGGUAGUUUCUUUUGAAGAACUGCUGAAACAUUCUCCUCCAUGUGAACUUUUUCAUCUCCUCUUAAUUUUCUCUUGGAGGUGCACAGUUCCUUAAGGACUUUAGCAUAUCGAGGUAUUUGUUUUAUAGCAUCUAAUAAAGGAAUAUUUACCUCAACCUUGCGAAAUGUCUCAAGGAUGUCUUUCUCUUGUUCCUCCUUCUUGGAUUUUGCAAAUCGGCUUGGAAAAGGAGGAGGUAUCACAAUAGGUAGGGGUUUUGCUCUAGUGGGUUGGACAUCUUGAGAUUGAGGCAUCAAUUCAUUCUUCUCGAGCUCAUCUUCUACAUGCUUUGUCACUUUCUUACUAGGCUCUUGCAACUCUUUCCCACUUCUAAGGAUGACAACACUAACGUUUUGCUUUGGAUUCACUUCAGAUUAUGAAGGCAAUCUCCCUAAUACUUGAGACUCCAGACGGCUCACUGUAGUCGCUAAUUGACUCAUUUGGUUCUCCAAGUUCUGAAUGCUUGCUGUAGUUGCCUGCUGAAAUUGUUGAGUGUUAGUCGCAAGUGAUUUAACAAUUUCUUCAAGAGAUAUACCUGACUUGGAGUUUGACUGUGGAGGUGCUGGUUGUCUUGGUGGAUACUGUUAUGGGAAUCCUGACGGUCUAACUCCAUAGUUGAAGUUGGGACGAUCCUUCCAUCCCAGAUUGUAUGUUUGUGCAUAAGGAUCAUACCUCCUCUGAGGCAUGCCUGGAAAUCCUCCAACUGUAUUGGCUUGUUCAACGGGUUCUUCUUGUAGUGUAGGACAUAUAUCAGUUGAAUGACCCAUAUUGUAACAAAUGCCACAAGUCUUCACCUGUUGCACGUUACCUACAACAAACUUUUCCACAAGAGAAGUAAGUUUAUCUAACUGUUGUUCAAAAGAAGAAAUAUUUACCUCAUUCACCUUCCUUGAAGUGGGAUCUUGCCUGGUGCCAAAUUGUUGUGCAUUGGCAACCAUAUUUGAGAUCAACUCCCUUGCUUGAGUAGGGGUUUUGUUCACCAACACACCUCCACUAGCAGCAUCUAUCAUACUCCUAUCCAUUAAUGAUAGUCCUUCGUAAAAAUAUUGAAUAAGAAGUUGAUCAGAAAUCUGAUGCUGAGGACAGCUGGCACACAAUUGUUUGAAUCGCUCCCAAUACUCAUACAAAGUCUCCCUAGGAAGUUGUCUGAUCCCACAAAUGUCUUUUCUGAUGUUGGCAGCUCUUGAAGCAGGAAAGUACUUCUCGAGGAACUGCUUCUUCAAACCAUUCCAUGUUGUAAUCGAUCCAGGAGUCAAGUAGUACAACCAAUCUUUAGUUAACCCAUCUAAAGAGAACGGAAAAGCACGCAGCUUAAUCUGCUCUUCAGUCACGCCUUGUGGUCUCAUACUUGAACACACAACAUGAAACUCCUUAAGAUGGUUAUGAGGAUCUUCACCUGCAAAACCAUGAAACUUGGGUAAUAAAUGAAUAAGACCAGACUUUAAUUCAAAAUUUACCUCCAAAUCUAUAUAUUGAAUGCAGAGUGGUUGCUGAUUCAAGUCUGGUUCAACUAACUCUCUAAGAGUUCUUUCUACAGGUGCAGGUCUAUCCAUCACUUAUUCUUCCGAAUCGCUAGAUGAUUCAACUAAAUCAGGCACCGUAUCUGUUUCAGAAAGCAAAGGCGACGAGGAUCGUUGCUUAGCUCGCUUCGUCUGCUGUCUCAGCUGGCGAGCUGUCUUCUCAAUUUCAGGAUCAAACGAAAGUGUACCCGUACGAGAAGAACGAACCAUACACCAAGUAAAACAUAAAAAGGAUUAAAUAAACGACACCAAUCCCCGGCAACGGCGCCAAAAUUUGAUGGUUGUCGAAGCCAACAAAAAUAAAUUCCUACUCUAAAUAAAUUGUGUAUAGUGAUUGAGCAGGGUCGUGUCCACAGAGAUCGGUAAUUAUUUAAAUCCUUUUGAAACGUAAAACAUAAAAUGGGGGAAUUGUUGACAAUAAUAAAAAUCAAAUUAAAAAUAACAAGAAUGCAAAUUAAAGUUGUAAUUCAAAUUGGAGAAAGCUCUGGUUGGAGGAAUUAACUCAGCUUGAUUCGACUACUGAUCAUUGAUUCAAAUAUAGAUUAUUAUUACUCAUGAAUAGACCGGUUAUAGCUACUGAGACCCUCUAAUAGCCAAUCUCUCCUUAACUAGUCGAUAACCAAGGUACGACCGUUGGUUAUUUCCCUAAUCAAUAGACAACCCUAGAUACGAUCAUAGGAUUUAAUCAAUUGACAGUCUGAAAAACCAGAGAGACCCAAAUCCUAAUCAACACAUAUGAUGAUUCAUUUAAAUUAGAUUGUUGAUUCUCACAACACAACUCUCUGCUAUGUUAUUUGUCACAAACAUUAAAUUCUUCAUACGAUGAAUCCUUUAAUUGACAAUAGAUUAAGUUGAUAAUUAAAUAGUGGCCAAUUACCUAAUUAACAAACAUAAUCAUGAAAAUAAUUCAGAGAAUAAGCAAAUACCCAAAAAGUAAUAAAACAAUUAAAGCACAAGAAAGAUCUCACAGUAGUGAUGAAUCAAAGCUUCAUUAUCCUUCAACCAGAAAAAUAGGUUUAGUUCUUCAUAGAGAGAAGAGAAAAAUUAAGAUCUAGGGUUUCUUUCUUUUUCUCCAAUCCAAAAUCCCCUCUUUUCUUUCACAAUAGAUUCCUCCUUAAAUACUCUCUCUCUCUUCUCUUUUAGAGUUCUAUUUAAAAUAAAAUACUAAUAUCUUAAAUAUUAAAUUCGUAAUUAUAAAAAUAGCCAAAAAUACAAAACACGUUAAACUAAAAACUGCAGGUCCGCAGUUGACAGCACGCGCCCACGCCUUAUCAACAAAGUUCUUAUGCCGCUCAUAAUUUCUCCAAGGGAACAAUAAUCCUUAAACAUCAUCUUGUAGCUUAAUUUUAUCACCAACCAAUAGAAUUGCACCUACAAAAGUAAAUCACAAGUAAAUCACUAUUAUUAAGUGCAAAACAUCGAUAUUAAGGGAAGUAAACAAUGCAAAACUAGUGCAUAAAUUGCACUCUAACACUUAUACUUUAAUAACAUUAGCUUACUUAAUUCAUUUGUGUGGUAGGAUAAACUGGAGAUGGAAGCUAAGAAAAGAAAGAUGUGGUCAUUCGGAAAAAAUGAUAUUCUCGCACAAUCUUUGGAAAAAGCUCCAAAAUGUGGUCACAUGCAAGGCGUGGGCAAGUUUGUAACCCCGUCUCUGUAUUUUCAAACUUGCCAGAGGCCUACUGAUAGAGACAGGCAAAAAGAGGACCGUCUAUGGAGGGAAUCAAUUAACCGGCAGUUCGAAGAAAUGAGAAAUGAACUGAGAAAAAAACCUUGUUAUUCAGAUAUAGCAAGUUCCAGCUACCCUCGCGUGCCUGGUGAAAACAAUAAUGCUAUUGGAGAUGAUGGUAUAGAGUCCGUUCAAGUUGAAGCAGUUGCUGAAACACCAAAGGUCAGUUUGUUUACUAUUUUUACUUAUUAUUUCUAGAUUUAGUUUGUUGCUGGAUAAGGGUUGUUGUAGUUAUUAUUCUUACCUGUUGUUUGUGGAUUUAGUUUCCUGUUUGUUUACUAUUUAUACAUAUGUUGUUUCUGGAGUGUCAUUUGAUACUGUUAACUACUUUGUAAGAUAAAUUUAGAGUAUUUAGAAACUAUUUAUGCCAAUCACACUGAACAAUUAUGUUUGUAGCAGCCUGAUCAUUUUAAAAAUAAGAAGAAGCAAGGGACACCCAAAAACACAGUAGGUAUUAACCAGCAAUAGUAAACUCUAAGAAAGAGACAGACAUAGCAAAUAAAAACAAUGAUACACCUGCCAAAAAACUCUCUGUCAUUGCAAGAAAGAGUCCAAGAUUGAACCCAAUUGAAAUCCCAGUGGACAUGCCUGAUGAUUUGUUACAGGGAAAAAAAUGGAAACCCUAAACAUCAAGGCACAAAAAAACAUUUGAACUUUGAAUCAGCAGAACAACAUAAUGAUAUAAUAAAGAUAGGACAUACAUAUGCUGUAAAACAGACCAAAGACGAGGGCAAAAAAGUUGUAGUGAAGCCUUUGCCAGCAAGGAGGAACACAAGGCAGCAGGAGAGGUACAACGAAACAAGAUUCCGUUGCUGCAGUUGUUUGGUACAAUGUGUGAAACUAAGAUGUCAGACCAAGAAUGGAUUCCAUAUCUACUGGAUGAUAGUGUUUUCCAAUUCGAAGGGAUUAGAGCUCAUAUUUGAAGGCGUGACUGCAGUGCAGUUCUGUCAAUGGAUGCUACAGGAGUAAACGUAAUCGAAGUCUAUAUUGCGUAAGUGAUUCAUAAUCAUUCUAGUUUUAUGUGUACUUUUUAUGGGAGUCCCAAUUAAUGGACUUUAACAUUGUUUGUCUAUUGUUUAUCAGGAUGUUGUAUGCUUCCAUUCUCCCUGGGAAAAGAGGAGUGAAACCAUUUGGAUUCGUUCGUCCAGGUCUGGUUUCACUAGGCAAAGAACGUAAUCCUACUGCAUCAUUUGACUUUAGGGCAUGUGGAGUUUGUGAUCGAUUGAAAAAAGCGAAGAAGGGACAAUUCAUCUUUAUGCCUUAUAAUCCCUAGUAUGCUCCUUUAAUACUUUUCAACUCAUAUUAAUUUCCUUUCUUGCCUUAAUUUACUGAAAUUGCUACCUUAAUGUUCUUUCUUUUAUUAUAGUUAUCAUUAGGUGCUGGUCAGCUUUGAUGUGUUGAAAAAAGAAGUUUAUUAUCUCGAUUCUUAUAGGGGAGAUCCUGAUGAUGAUUUAAAAGAGCUCAUUAAAGUGUAUGUUCAAUUUUUUUAUUACCAUUGUCAAUAUAAAAUUACUUUUACAUAGUUUACAAAUACUUUGUUAUAAUUUUUUUUUUGUAUACAGCUCUAUGACAAUGUUUAUAGCACAAGAGGGUAAGGAGAAAUGGAAUUAUAAUAAGAUGGUCAGAUCUGUAAAGGUAUGGACUAUUACCUUAACUAUAAUUAUAUAUUACCAUGCUUAAUUGUUAUUAUAAUGAACUGUGCAAUUGCUGAUUGUGAACAGGUCCCACAGCAACCGGCAAGUUCAGUCGUGUGUGGAUUUUACGUCAUGAGAUUCAUGAAAGACUUAAUUAAUGACUUCUCUUUACUAAUGAACAAUGUGAGUUCCUUGAUCAUAAUUUGCUUCAUAAAAAAGAACAUGUCCUGUUUCAAAGUUUCACUACAUAAUAUUUAUUUUUCAUAAAUAGUUCAACGGAAAGACAACAUAUUCCGAUGCUGAAUUAGAUGAAGUCCGUAUUGAGUGGGCAAACCAUUUUUCUGGAGUACUUGCUGUUAUGUUAGGUAACCCUUACCUAUUAUGUUGUUAUUGUGAGUUCAUUGAUGAAAUAAAUUAAUUUACUACCUAUAGUUUACUUGGGCAUUUAUCUAGCUUAUUAUACUUCUAUGUUGGAUUAUGAUGAAGAUGGUGGGUACCGCUGGAGUUGGCUAGUUCUUUUCUUUGUUUGGAAAAUAGCUCCUGGAUAUUGAUGCAAUUUUACACAUUUCGGUUGUUCUUAGGUUGGAUUUUCACGUUUGGGAACUGCUGGCCUUGUUUGAUUAGUAUUUUUGGCUCCUCUUGUGUUGCUGGAAGUGUUGCUAGAAAUGAACUAUGUUGUUGCCUUUGUUCAUGUUGGUAGAAAUGACUCUGUUGUUGGUUUCCUUAUGCUACAGGAAUUGAACUGAUCAUGGUUCAUUUGUGUUGUACAUGUUGCUAGAAUUUAGUUUUUAGGUUGUUACAAUACUCUUCUUCUAUUUAUGUUGGACUUGUCAUUCUGGAAUUUGAUUAAAUUAUGUUUGCUGACAAUUAUGAAAUCUUAGUCAAUGUUAUCCAUUUAAAUUUCUUUGUCAGUGAUUUUUUAAUUGCAAUAUUAAUUUUAAUAAUCUAAUUAAUUAGCUAAUUUAUGAAAUAUUAAUUUCUAAUAAAUCAAUUGUAGGAUUGUUAUUAAAAUGAUAAUAAUUUCAUGGUGCAAACAAAAUACCCAUUUUUUAUUAAUUAUAAUUUCAAAUUUUGAUUUAAUUGAAAAAAUUCAUUUAAUUAUAAUUUGCAUUUCGCGCCAAAUUUAAUUUUCCUGCCAAAAAUUCAAAAUAUGGCGCACAAAUUUUUUUAAAAAAGACCCAAAUUCAAAUUUAUUAUACUCUCCUCUAAAUAAAGUUAUGACGGUUAUGUGACUGGUAAUAUCUAUCACAGAUUAUGAAUGGUAUUGUUCUGUCAUCAAUUCUUGACGGUGGCUACAGUGACGGUAUGAACAACCAUCAUCCACCCUCUACUAUGACAGUUUUUGCCUGUCAUAGUAAGCACUUUUUCUUGUAGUGUUUGGAAUUGUGCAUUUUAUCUUUUCGGCUAAAAAAAGAAAUAGAAAAUCAAAUCCUAGGCCAUAGUCAUCAUCCUUAGUUUUGACGGAUGAUUGCUUGAUUGGUGUCAAAAUAACUUGUCAAAGUUUUGACGGAUGAUUGCUUGAUUGGUGUCAAAAUAACUUGUCAAAUGUACUUCGCAUAAAAAUUAUUUUUAGAUUUAAGCGUUCGCAUUUCAUGUACGCACUCGUGUCCAUAUGUGUACAUAAUCACUAUCUGGUAAGGAUUCUCAUAUUUUAUCAAAGUGCAGGAAUUUUUAUUGAAAAUUUUCUCUUUAUAUAUGAUUAAAAAAUUAUAUUACUUUUAGCAACGACUUAGGGAAUAAUCCGUUUUUGGUUUGCGCUACUCGUCAUUGCCUUAUCAAAGUUGAUCUAAAAGAACACAUUAUUUUAGUAUUUGAAAAGUGGACAGUUUUUAACAUAUUGAGUGUCACUAUGUCAAUAAUCCACAUUUUAUAAAUUAAAAAGGCUUAAAAUAUAUUCCUUAAAAAUGUCACAUGCGUAAAUAUAUAACUACGUGUCUCAACUAUAUAAAUGUAGUAUUACUCAUAAAGAUAUAAAUAUCAAAGGUGAUCUCAUUAAUAAAUGUAAUACUAAUAAUGUCAUUCGAAAUGUGAAUAAUUUUUAGAAGAAUUUCACUUCCUAAAAGUUAUUUGUUAUCCUCGUGCAAAUGCAUCAGACCUCGUGCUACUACUCUCUCUCCUCGUGCUACUACUCUCUCUUUACCAACAAAUAAUUUAUCCUUAUACUACUAAGAUAUCAUAAAACCUCAUGUUGGCAAGAAAACUCUAUUAUUCUACAAGUUACAUGAGCUCUCACAUUUUUCCUCUCGAGGUCUAGUUCGAUUCUCACAAGCCUCUCAAACUUUCUUUAAGCACUAGCUUUUUUGUUAUUCAAGGAAACACCUAAUUGGCUUGACAAAAUCUACCAGCAACCUCAUUAGUAACACAUGCUACUUUACUAAGUCAUCUCAUGGGACCACAUGUUGCACGUGACGUAUGGCAUAAUUACACCUGUAAUACCCAGCCAACUGAUCUCUUAUUCUUAUAUAAAAGACUUUAGCUAUCCUCAUACUUCUCUCUUCAAGUGUUCUCUCUCUAUCCUGAGAAAACACCGAAUGGGAGGUAAAAAUCGGAUUCGUUUGAUCCGGUCAGAUGCUCGCUAGUCGAGCGUCAUUAGAGCUUGUUCUCUUUUAAUCUUGUUAUUUUUAGGUUUUUUUUUUUUUAAAAAAAAACGAAGAGAGGAAGAGAAGCGAGGGGUUGGUGAGCUAUUGGUUACGACUUUCAAAGUAAGCAGUAUCCGUUUAGUCAUGGAAACAGAGGAACUAAUAAGAAAAUGUAGUGCUAUAACGCUGGAAGAGGAAGAAGAGGACAAAGUCAUGUACGGGGGAAAUAUGAAGGCAAAUGGAAUCAAGAUAGCUGCUGGUUGCUUGGUGGGGAAAAUACUCACAACAAGAGGUAUAAGCCAUGAGGGGGUAAAAGCAGCCCUUCAACAAGCAUGGCGUCCAGUGGGGUCAGUAAAAGUGGAAAGCCUGAGGAAACAAAUCUUCAUGUUUAAAUUUUCAAUAGAAGAGGACAAGAGAAGGGUACUAGCAGGAGGGCCAUGGCAUUUCGAUCGUGCGCUCAUUGUGCUGGAGGAACCAAGGGAGAUAGAAAAUGUAGCUGAGCAAGCGUUCUCACACGUUUCUUUUUGGGUUCAAUUACACAAUGUACCAUUGAUGUGUAUGAAUACAAACACAAUACGGGAAAUUGCUUCAAAAAUUGGAAGAGUAGAAGAUGUAGCCACAGAUGCAACAGGGGAUUGCUUUGGAGAAGAUAUACGGGUCCGAAUCUCGAUAGACAUCACGAAGCGGCUGAAGAAAGUGAUUAGAAUCCAGCAAGAAAAUGGGAAGGAAAUAAUGGUGGGUGUAGUCUAUGAGAAGUUACCAGAUUUUUGUUUUUGUUGCGGUUUCAUAGGGCACCAAUACCGGGAGUGUUCACAAUACAAAGGCCAGCCUAAAGAAAAUCUGGCGUAUGGAGCAUGGUUGAAGGCCAUCCCGUUAGCAGACCGAACAAAGUUUCAAAGGGGUAAAGAUAGAGAUAGGAGUGAACAACAGAGAAAGGAAAACUCGGGAGAGACAGAGCACACCAAUCAUCAACAAUCUAACCCGAUAAGAGAAAACGGGUCCGGGUCACCGCAGUGUCAUGAAAUUACAAGAAGCCCAUCACCGAAGUCGAAGCAAGUGGGAGAAAUCACUGACAAACCAUCAGUGUCACAGGGGAUGGAGCUGAAAAAGGGUAAUUUUUAAAAACCUCCCCUGAAGUUUGGGCUUGUUGCAAGUAGAUGGCGAGAAUUGAUUUAUUUGUAAAAAACCCCCUACCGUCAGUUAAUUUUAACAUUGACCGUUAGUUGACCGUGCAAAGACAAUAUUACCCUUAACAAUAGUUUAUAAACGAAAAUAACUAAAAAAAAAAAAAAUUAUUAGCUAUUUUACCCUCUUUAAAUUAUUGAUAUUUUCUUAAAGUUCCUAUAAAAAAGAUAAAAUUAAAAAAUUAAAAAAUUCUCUUUAAAUUAUUGAUAUUUCCUUAAAAUUCCUACAAGAAAGAUAAAAUUAAAAAUUUGAAAAUGAAAUAGUCAUAAUCUUUACCUAUGAUAUUGUAAAUUUUUGGAAUUGACAAGGAUAAAAUUGUCAAAAAAUAGGGUUUGUGCUUUUCGCGCCAAUAAUUUUGGUUUUUUUUAGUUAUUUUCGUUUACAAACUAUUGUUAAGGGUAAUAUUGUCUUUGCAUGGUCAACUAACGGUCAAUGUUAAAAUUAACUGACGGUAGGGGUUUUUUUACAAAUAAACCAAUUCUCGCCAUCUACUUGCAACAAGCCCAAACCUCAGGGGAGGUUUUUAAAAAUUACCCAGCUGAAAAAAGAUCAAAUGAGGCACAAAAAACAGCCCGAGGUAACGGAACUCGAGGAAAGACCUAGAAGAGUGUGUCAAAGGGAGGGAAAUACAAUCGAAAGCAAAAAUAUAGAGGGAAAGAGGGAGAGCCAAAUCCCGCUUAUGGGCCUAAAACCUCAACAACCCAACCCAAUGCAUAUGAAUCUAGAAGAAGAGGUGGUGGAUAGUGCCUCAUUUUCAAAACAGCCCAAGUCCAAAUGGAGGAGAUGGAAGAGUCAGGCCCGAAGCACAACCAAUGAGACAACUAAAAAAGGGCUAAAUAUGAAUUCCAAGAGAGCCAACUAUGCCCAAACUACCCCGAGUCUAAAAAGCAAGAAAUUGAAACUUACAAGUCCAAACAAGAGGCCAUCAAAGCAGGUGACUAGCAUUUCCCCCUCAGCGAAACUGAAACUAAGCUGGGACAUAACGGCUAUGGAGGAGGCUGAGGUAGAAGUUGUAGUUGGGAAAGAAGUAUCGGCGGCGGCUGGUCUCCAGCCCCGCCGAAAACAAUGAAGAUCAUAAGCUGGAACGUCCGAGGUCUGGGGAAUACUCGGACGUUCCUGGCUCUAAAAGAUAUUCUCCGAGAGCACAAGCCUCAUAUUUUGUUUAUCUGUGAAACGAAAUUGAGACCUGUGCAAAUGACUAGUAGGAGUAAAUAGAUGGGAUUUGACAACUGUUUUAAUGUGAGCAGGAAUGGAAUGAGAGGGGGGUUGGCUCUAAUGUGGAGCAACGACGUGGAUGUGAAUAUCGUUUCGUACAGCAACCACCACAUUGACGCUGUCGUGAACAGAGCAAAUGGGCUGAAAUGGAGGUGUACAGGGAUUUAUGGUCAUCCAGAAGGUUCGCAGAAGAAGCACACCUGGACGUUACUAAGAAGAUUGGCUGGUUUGUUUUCUUUUCCAUGGCUGUGUUUUGGGGAUUUUAGCGAAAUUCUCAAUCUAAAUGAAAAGCUUGGGGGAAGGGAAAGAAACAUAAGUAUGGUGGCUGACUUCAAAGAGGCUGUAAAUGAUUGUAAUUUAGAAGAUCUAGGGUAUAAGGGAUACCCUUUCACUUGGUCGAAUAGAAGGUUCGAGCCGUAUUUUGUGGAGGAAAGGCUUGAUAGGUUUUUGGGAAGCAAGGACUGGAGGAGCAGCCCGUUUGAUCUAAUUGCUACAAAUUUGAAUGCCUGGGGCUCGGACCACACCCCUAUCAUGCUGGAGAUACAAGACCAGAAAAAUUUUAUAGGCCGAAACAGGAGGGCUAGCCGAAGAAUACAUUAUAAGGACAUGUGGAGUCAUUAUGAAGAAUGCAAGCGAAUUGUUUCCAAGGAGUGGGUGUAUCAGAACAGCUGGAGGGAGGGGAAUCCGGUAGACUCUUUUCAAAGGGCUUCUAAGAACACAAUGACCUACCUACUGACAUGGAGCAAAAAGAAAUUCGAAGGCAGAAAGCAAAAGCUGAAAAGUCUGAAGGAAAAGCUAGCUGACAUGAAGACAAACUUUCAACAUUAUAAAGAGGUAAAUGAGGUAAAAAAGACAGAAAACCAGAUUGCAAAUCUGCUGCUAGAUGAAGAAGUGUAUUGGAAGCAAAGAUCCCGAGCCAACUGGUUAAGAGAAGGGGACAAGAAUACAAGGUUUUUUCACCUUAAAGCCUCAGCAAGGAGGAAAAAGAAUCGGAUAGAAGGCAUCUGGAAUCAAGAGAAUGUUUGGAUUGAAGACACAGAAAAAAUUGAGAGAGAAUUCCAUGAAUACUUCACCAGUCUCUUCGAAACCUCCAGCCCAUCUAAGAUGCAAAUUGAGGCAGCCUUAACCCAUUUGGAACCAAAAGUAAAUGCUGAGAUGAACGAGCAGCUCGAUAUGCGCUUCACGGAGGAGGAGGUUUCAAUGGCUCUAUCUAAGAUGUGCCAAACCAAAGCCCCAGGACCGGAUGGCUUGCCAGUAGGUUUUUUCCAAAAGCACUGGAACUCUGUAAAAUUAGGUGUGAUUUAUACUUGCCUUCACAUUCUAAAUGGCAAUGGCUCUGUUGCAUCACUAAACCACACUCACAUAGUCUUGAUUCCAAAAAUUCCUAAACCUCAGCGGGUGACCGACUUCAGACCUAUAAGCUUAUGCAAUGUUAUAUAUAGGAUUGUAGCAAAAGCAAUUGCGAAUAGGCUGAAAAAUGUGCUUAAUCAUGUAAUCUCCCCUUACCAAAGCGCUUUUAUUCCGGAUAGGUUGAUCACCGAUAAUAUUAUUGUGGGUUAUGAAUGUUUGCAUAAGCUUAAGUAUGGAAAAGGAAAAAAUCAUGGGUGGGCAGCCCUUAAGCUGGAUAUUAGUAAGGCUUAUGAUAGGGUGAAGUGGGAUUUUUUGAAAUGCACAAUGCUAAAGUUAGGCUUCUCCUCCACAUUUGUGCUUUUGAUUAUGAAUUGUAUUACCACAGCAUCAUUUUCUGUCGUAAUCAAUGGAAUGGUCUCAGGGCGGAUUCAGCCUCAACGAGGCCUCCGGCAAGGGUGCCCCCUCUCCCCUUAUCUCUUCAUAUUAUGUGCAGAGGUGUUCUCAAAUCUCUUUAUGAAAGCAGAAGAACAAAAGUGUAUCCGGGGACUUCGCUUUGGGAAAGAUACGACGAUCUCUCAUCUCCUAUUUGCCGAUGACAGCCUCAUUUUUGUUAGAGCAGCAAUGGAGGAUUGUCGCCACCUUAAGGAGAUUUUCGAGUGCUAUAGAAGAGCUUCGGGGUAGAUUUUUAACUACCAAAAAUCUUCUAUGUUCUUCAGCAAUAAUACAAGAGACGAUCGAAUCACGGCAAUAAAGGAAAUUUUCCAGCUGGAGGUGGUGUCUCGCCAUGAAAAGUACCUGGGGCUUCCAUCUAUGAUAGGAAGGAAGGCCAAAAGUUUCUUCACAGAUGUAAAGCACAGAGUGUUGAACAAGAUCCAAAGUUGGCAGCACAAGUUCUUCUCAAGCGAGGGCAAAGAGGUACUCAUCAAAGCAGUUGCGCAAGCUAUCCCAGCUUACGCGAUGAGUGUCUUCAAAAUUCCCUUAGGUUUGUGUGAAGACAUCCAAAGAGCGGUGGCUAGAUUCUGGUGGGGGAUAAGUAGAGAGAAGAAGGGAAUUCAUUGGGCAAGAUGGGAGAAAUUAAGUCAAGCAAAAGUCAGGGGAGGUUUAGGUUUCAAAGAUUUCUUAUGUUUUAAUCAUGCUUUAAUUGCUAAGCAGGGCUGGAGAAUCAUUCAGAGCCCAAAUUCAUUGAUGGCCAGAGUCAUGAAAGCCAGAUAUUUCAAACACUUUGAUUUCAUGACAGCAGGCCUUGGCUCGAAGCCAUCGUUCAUUUGGAGGAGUAUCUUAUGGGGAAGGCAGGUGAUUCAAAAAGGUACUAGAUGGAGAAUCGGUAGUGGGCAGAGGGUGCAGGUAUACUCAAGCAACUGGAUUCCUAGGCCCUCAACAUUUAGACAUGUUUCAGCACCAAAAUUAAGGAUAGACCCUGUAGUGGCAGAUUUAAUUGAUGAAGAUCAUCUCUGGAAGGAAGCUGUGAUAAAAGAAUCCUUUAGGCCUGAAGAUGCAGAAGCAAUCCUGCAAAUUCCUCUUCCAAUCAGGCCAAGUGAGGAUCAGCUUAUUUGGCAUUAUGACAAAAGAGGCCAAUACUCAGUGAAGAGUGGCUAUCAAAUAGCAGUGAGAAUGAAGUUUCCAGAUUUACCCAGCUGCUCCUCCCAGAAUCCGAAUCAUUGGAAUACAAUCUAGAAGCUGGAUAUUCCUUAAAAGCUAAAAAUUUUCUUAUGGAGAGCCUCAAAUGACCUACUUCCCACGGCUGAAAAUCUUUGGAAGAAAAAAGUCUUGCAAGAGCCCUUGUGUCAAAUUUGCUGCAAUUCGGUGGAAACAAUAGCUCAUGCUCUGUCAGGCUGCAAGUUGGCAAAGAAAGUGUGGAAUCUUUUCAAAGCUGAAGGGAGCACUCCAGAAGGUCAAUUCCAUGAUAUAAUUAGAUUGAUGGAAGAUAUGACAAAGCAGCAGAACAAUGUGGAGAAGGAAUCAGUUGCAGCCCUCCUUUGGGUGAUAUGGAAUGCUAGGAAUAAGUGGAUUUUUGAAGGGAAACAAGAGGCUCCAGCCAGAUUAGUAGCAAGAGCUGAAUCAGUAGUGGAGUCCUUUAAAAAUGUCAGCCAGUAUGAUGGAUCAAGGCCAAAUCAGAAAAGGGAGGGUAAGGAAACCCAGGGGCACUCUAUUCCAAAUGGGUGGCUAAAGGUAAAUGUUGAUGCUGCAGUGAGCGCUGAGAAACAGGUAGCUGGGCUGGGGGUGGUAAUAACGAAUGGGAACCAAAAUUGCAUAAUUACUGCCAUAAACACUUCUAGUUACUUUGGCAACGUGGCAAUGGCUGAAGCUGCAGCUGUGAAAUGGGGAUUGCAGGUUGCUUUGAGAGUGGGGGGAACCUCUGUGUUGCUUGAAUCGGACUGUCAUGAAGUAGUAGAGUUGAUAAAUAAUAGAGACAGCAGUAUGGCGGAAAUCUUUUGGGUGAUCUCUGAAAUUCUGGAAAUUAAGAAGAGUUUUCAGAAUUUCAAGGCUCAACACACACAUAGAUCUUGUAAUGGUGUAGCCCAUUCUCUUGCUAAGUUGGCUCUUCAAAAAAUGGUUGAGUUUGUUUGGUUGGAUGAAUUUCCAGCCGAAGUGUUGUAUAUGUUUUCGAGUUAAUAUAUGGAAAGGUUUACUUUCUCAUCAAAAAAAAAAAAAAAAAAAAGCUAUCCUCAUACUUUAGCGUCAUUAGUUCAUUACCUUCGAACCUUACCUCUUGGAACCUCCAUCACCAAUCUUACAAAAUAUUUGUUUUAGAAUAAAAUUUAAAAUUUUUAUUUUCCUCUAAUUUCCAAUUCUUUUUCUUUUGUUUUAAAGAACAAUCUACAAGUUUUGAGUUGAUAAGAGCUGUAUAUAUAUGUAAUGUUUUUUCCUCUUUUCCUUCGAUUUUAUCAUUAAGCUUUAUCUAAAAGCAGUAAGAAAAAUAAAAAAGAAUCUAAUAAGUGAAAUAUCAAACGGAGCUUCCUUAAAGUCAGUUGUUUAAGUAUAUAUCGAGUUGCCUGAAAUCUUUAUACUGUUUCGAUUUUGUAAUCUCUCUCUUUUCCUUUAUUUAACGUAUUUUUCAUUAUAUCGCUACUCGAGUUGGUCUUUUACCUCAUCAUCAUCAAUUCAAUUGAGCGAUCGCUUUCCAAUUAAACCAAUGUGGAAAGAAUAUCGCCACCAUUCAUGAUACCAACAUUAUUACGCUCAACACAUUGCAAGAUUUGCAAAGACCCAUCAUGCUUGAAAGAAUAAGCGCCGUUUCGCUUAGGCUUGGAACUAGUUCCUCCUAAACUAUUGCCUUUUAACUCCAAGUUUCGGAUGGGUCAUGUGAUACGCAACAAAAAGAAAGUAUAAAUAGAAUAUGGUGGGCCUUUCACUCUGUUCUAGUAAUCAAUUCAUUUAUUUCUUGUGCUACAGCAUAUAUACCUAAUACUUCUGUUUAAUUUGCUGCUCAGCCUGCUCUCAUCUCCUAUAAGCUUAAACGAUUGUACGCAACUGGCCCACGAGGAAUAGAGUUCUUAAUUUUUUUUCUAAGAGAAGUAUUUGGAUUUAUUCCAUCGGCGACUUUAUCUCAAAAAGAAAUGAUGAAGUGAAAGUUGAUAAUCAUGAAUCAUUCUAUCCUGCAGAACUUCAUGUUUUUCAAAACUCUAAAUCUACAAUUUUAAUGCGAAUGUUUACGGAAGAGUAUAUAUUUAAUAACUUGUUAGAGGUGAGCCUGUGCAGCAAGAUAUAGUUACAUUAAAUUCUUUAGCAUGAAUAUUUCUGUUUAGAGACUCAAACCCAACAAUAUUCUCCGCAAAUAGACUGAACAGUUCUUGAUAAUUUUUUUUUCCUUUUUUUUAAUUUCUUCCCCUGCUAUGGUACGCAAUGGCAAACUAGUUGAAUCAGAAACUUAUUCAUCACUAGAUUUAGUUGAUUUUCCAGGUAAAAAAAGUUUAUCAACUCCUCGUGUUUUGUCGAUUCUUUCAUCAGUUCUUGAGAGAUGAAUCCAGAAAAAUGAAUCUUCAUCGAAGGCAUAAAAAAAGAAUGAAGUUGUCACAAUAUUUCAUUGUUCACAAGCACCAAGUUUGAGCAUUAGACAAUACAUUGAACGCAUAUUCAAGUACUCCAGGUGCAGUCCUUCUUGCUUUGUUGUUGCAUACAUAUACCUUGAUCGGUUCCUCCAACGAAUCAAGGGUUGCCUUGCGAGACUCAACGUUCAUCGCCUUCUGAUCACGAGCUUGAGAUGAAUUUCUUGUUUACUCUGGAGUUUAAGCUUCUUGUGACUACAGAGGUUUUCGCGAAGUACCGUUCACAGCUAGACAUGGAAGGAGCAGCAGCCGAAGAGUAGUGGGUUAGUCCGAUGAUUGAAGCAUUGGGAACCAAACUUGGCCUGCUGAACAAGGACGGCAAAACCUGACGGCAGGUUACAACUGCAGAGUCCCUUCACAAUGCCCAUCGGCAUACUGUGAUGAUUGAAAUGGUUUUUGGCUCAAUCCAGAUUCCAGACACCAGCAAACCAACUGGGAAUUUAUAGGUGCCCCAUCUCCCUGAGUAAUUUGUGCCUAGUUCCAUAAGAGGAGAGAGGAAAAUUGUACAACGAUAAAAUGUCAAUGUACGUUAUGAUAAAAUGCAUUUUGUUCCCAUGAAAGAGAAGAAAAGAGUAUAACAAAGGGCAUCAAUUUUAAAAAAUGGGAAAAAUCUGUAGCAAAAUUUUUUUAUUGCAGAAUCCCUGCACAAUAACGUGUUCCAUUUUACUUGUGAAUUAUGUUCUAUUACUGGAACACUUUCCCAAACUAGCUUACCUGAUAAAACACUUCCAAAAGAUACAAAAGAAGUUGAAGAGUAAAACUAAUGACAUGACAUUUAAAAUAAAAUUUAUUAAAUGCUCUAAAAACGAGACAUCCGAGGAAACCAAAUGAAUUGGCACAAUCAGCCGUAUCUGAGGAUGUGGCUGGUUGAGAGACAAAUGUUCAGCCUUUAUGAUGAGGAAGAAUUUUUCCUUGCCAAGUAGACAUGGUAAAGCUACCAGCCCAACUAUGGUAACGGCUGCUCCGACUACAAUGGUGGAACACAAAAAAUUACAUGGUAUAAUAGGUAGAGCUCAGUACCAUGCCUAACAAAUCAGUUUGAAAUAAUAAAAAUGAUCAAUCAUAUGAUGAGUUUAUGAUAUUAAUUGAACAUCAGAAAGUGAAGAGUAGAGAGGAUUCAUCGAGCUGAAUCCUGUCCUCUGACCAGUUUACAGGACUGUCUGUCUUCCCAUCUUCGAUACAGCAAGAGGAUUCAUCGAGCUGAAAACAUAUUGACCUUGGCUUGAAUUUAUUAUUUUGCUGAAAAUGGAAAGUCUCUUUCAGUGCAGAAAUCAGAGGAAUUGACACGCAUAUGACCAUCCACCUGAUGACGCCAUAGAUACUUAUUUUGUAGCAAAAUUAACAUAUUUCGAAGUAAUUAACUAAUAUAAAAUCCGAUUAAAAUUUUUUCCAAUUAUUAGUUAAUUAAUUAAAUUCCUCUACGACAUGAAGUCAGAUGUACUUAAAAUCUAAUGGCCUUAAACAAAUUAAUUCACCAAAUGACACAUUUUGGAUAAAACCCCUUUCUGAUAUUAUGCAUGAACCAAUUUUGCGGAAAACUACCAAGUAACAAUUACCGGGUUGAUGAGCAGAAGUGAACCCAAUAACUUCAAAUCAAGAAACAUUGUCCAAACCACCGAUACUAUCGAACAGCAACAGAACAAGCCAACACAUAAGGAACAAAGAUUUACAUGGUUUGACAAAUAUGUUUAUAUCCACGGUGGAGAUGCUAGUAUCCGCUAUGCGAAGAAAACUAGCGUACACCUCUGCUCAUAAUAGACCUCUCAGAAUCUGAUACAAGCACAAAGAGAGACAAAUCAUAAGCCUUAAACCAAUCCCAAGAGUACUUUUCCUCUCCAGAUCUCUCUCUUAUAUGUUUUCCAAAAAUGAGCCAAUUUUUUAUACCCAAUUCCUUACAAGCAACUGAAAAUAUACACACAUAAAGGAUCCAGCCCCAUCUUGCCCAUGCUCUUGUUAUGUUUCACCCCUUUGACUUCUAUAGGUAAGAUUUCACAAUAUUCAUGCUCUUCACUGGGCUCACGUAAUUCCUUUGCUAAUUUUUUUUUUAAAUCUAAGUUGCAUGCCCAACAAAUCAGUCUUAGUUUAACAUAUUCAAGAAGAGAAAAAAAUCACGGAGUGGUGUGCUGACAUGUAAUUUAAUAUCAGGAAAUGAAGAGAAAAUGUAACACACUUAUGACCAUCAAAGCAGAUGAUGUAGUAGAUGAGUAUUUUGUAGCAAGCUUUACAUACUUAUCAAGUGACUAGUAAUUUGUACUUUAAAAAGUAAUGUUUGAAGUCAUUAGAUAUCUUACCUGUAAAUUCAAACUACUGAGUCCUAAUAAUUACAUAAUACUUGUUCCACUUCUUAGUGAGAUUCUAGUUCUUAUUCUCAGAUUACCAAUAAUAUAAGAGCAGACGAAAGAGACGUGUGAGGAGAAGGUUUCAUUUACAACCUUGUCAUUACUUGGUUUUUAACUUGCAGAAGAAGCCUAAGCUGAAGAACCGAAAUUAAGAAAAUAAAAAGUAAAAAUUUAAAGAAAAAUGAUUAAUGAGAUAGAAUUAGUGUUGGCCAAAAACCAUCUCUAUGUUUUUCAUACAGUGGGAAUUGUCGGUUGGAAAAUUAAUUGCUUUCUUGUUCUAAAUCAGAUACUAGCUGUCCAUAAUAUAACUCAGCACCUCACUUCAUGCAAGCUUUGAUAUAUUAUUCCUUCUAGCUAUAUAUCCAGUGCUAAUUGUUUUAUCAAAAAGUUGGUGUGCUGAAGUGAACCCAAUAACUUCUAGCUAGAAGCAACAGUGUCCAAUUAAAGCGCUAAUACAAUCAAUCAAACAAUAAAGGAAAUGAUCAACAACACAAAAAGCACACGCAAGGCACAAAGAUUUACAUGAAAUGUCCACAGGUGGUGAUGCUGGUAUCCACUAUACGCGUGAUGAAAACAAGAGUAUAUAUAUAAAGAACACCACCUGUCUCCUCACAACAACCCUCGAGAAUACAAGCACAAAUAAAAAUGAGGCAAUUCCGGCUCUGCUCUGCCCUCAUGUACGUUGUUUGGGGGAUAUACUUCGACAAGACCAGUCAUGAUGAGCACGAACAGGAAUAUUCUGCAGAAGUCUGGUAGCAGGUGAACACGAACAGGAAUAUUCUACUCGUUCACGAAUGCACCCUCCACGGGGCCACAGCGGGAGCCGGCCUCCUAGUAGGAGCAUAAGGCUAUUCCUGCUAGAGGUUGAGGUGGGGAGACCCGGUCAAUGACGGUUGGCGAGACGUGCACUCCUGCCCAAGAAUCAAGGCACGAAGUCCAUCCAGCCACGACUACGAUAAUGGAGCGUCCACUUUCGAAAGUUGGGGAGGUGAUGGACGUGGAUUGUAGGAAGGCCUGGAUUCAAAGGAAACCUAUAAAAAGGUAACCAACGAAGGUAAAAGGGUUAGACUUUUUGAGAUUAGAACUGAGAAAAAAGAGCUUUCUAUUGAGAGAUCACAAACGAUUCAUAAGAUUAGUGGUCGUGUUUCCCAGGAAGACGAAACCUAUGUUUCUGACUUGAGGGUCGGAGGGUUUAAACUGGAAAAACACCCGGCGUGCUCUGACCUGUUUCUGUGUGCGCAGGAGUCUGUGGAGAUGAAGUCUUACGAGAAGAGAUCCUGGUCGUGGACGAGUUAGUUGAAGAGAGAUCCUGGUCGUGGACGAGCAGAAAACCAGAAUCUCGCAUCAACAUUUUGGCGCCGUCUGUGGGGAGCUGAGCAAAAAGCUUCUAUUGAUAGAGAGAAGAAGAGGAAAGGAAGUGAGGAAACAAUGGAUGUAGGAGGAAGUAGUGCACAAGAAGGUGACUUGAGGCUUAAUGAGUCCGUGACGUUGAGAGAGAUAGCCAAUGAAGCACGGGAAAAAGCAAUGUAUGAGCGAAUGGAACGGAUGGAGAAACAGAUGGAGACCCUGACAACCAUCCUACACGAGCUGAGGAGCGAACGAAGGGGAGUUCAAGAGGAAGGGGUAAGAAGUGGUGGAAUGACACCAGGGCACGAUUAUAUGAUGAAAGGUCGGACCACCAGAAGAUUUGGUGGUGAGGGGGGUAACUCAUCUCUACGGGGGAAAAGCCAUAGAGGAGAAGAUCAAUCCCCAGGGAGACAGACCUUUGAUAACGAUGACGGAGUGGCGAAUGCAGAGGAAAGAGAACUCCGGCAACACCUGCAUGAUAUUGAGCAAGAGCGAGAUCAUGUUGCAAUACGUGACCUUGGUCGUGCCGUACAGCUGGAAGAAGAAGUGUGCAGAUUAGCGCAGAUAAUAGAUGACAUGCAAGGACGAAGCAGAGUACCAGGUUGGAGGAUAAUGCUGGACGGAGAAUCCCCGCUCUCAGCAGAAAUCAUAAGUGCAGUCAUUCCGAGGGAUUUUCGCCUCCCAGACCUCAGAUACUCGGGGUGAACCGAUCCGUUGGUUCACAUAGAGCGCCUUAACGACAUAAUUGGGGUGCAAGGAUUAUCCCAAGCUCAAAGAUACAGGGUGUUCCCGCUGUCUCUAGAGGGACGAGCACGUGAGUGGUACCGGAAACUUCCUCGAGGGAGCGUUAAAUCCUUCGAGCAAAUGUGCCAGGAAUUUGCAGAGCAGUUUCGGGGGGCAAUGGCGCCGAAAAAUGAUAUGAUGGAGCUGACGAGCAUGAAGCAGGGAGAGGAGGAAACCCUUUGGGAAUUCAUCAAAAGGUUCCAUCGCGCUGUCCUCGAUUUGGGAGCCUUCAACCAUCCUCAGGCAUUAAGGGGAUUGAAAGAAGGGGUCAAGAUAGGACGGUUGUGGUACAAUUUCAGGAGCCCAGCUAUUCAGACAUAUUCAGCCGCUUACGAGCAGGCCAAGAGGGACAUAGAGAUUGAGGAGGAAAAGGCAGCACAGAUUAAGACAGACCAGCUAGAAGGGUUGAGGAGCAAAGAGAAGAGAGUCAUACCAGGAAAUGGGCCGAUUAAGAGGAAAGACCACCAUGCCUCAAGCAGUGGUGCAGGAGGUCGGGUCACCUCUUACCAGCCUCAUCAGAGGCCACCCCAAUAUCAGUGCAGCAGGGCGCAACCUCCUCGUUCACCAGCCAGGGAUUCAUGGAGAAGGCAUGACCCGACAUAUAGUCAUCCUCAUUCCUACCUACACGGUGGUAGAGGAAGCAGACCAGAAGCACCGCUACCCCCUCCAGUUCAGAACGGCACAAACAGGGAAAGGGCGGUACACAUGAUCGACCAGAGCCAAGAUUAUGGGCGGUAUACUUCCUUGAAGAUGCCCCUGGACAAGGUUUAUGAGGCCAUAAAAGAACGGGGAUUACUGUACCUCCCUACCCCAAUAACAAAGCUACCCAGCAGGAGAGAUAUGGGACGCUAUUGCAAGUUCCAUGGCACCCACGGUCAUACCACAACUGAAUGCAGAGAUCUCAAGACUCAGGUUGAAGAUUUGGUGAGAAAUCGAUACCUGGACGAGUUUGUAGAUGGGACCUUUCUGAUGGUGGGCUCGUCAUGUAAAGGGGAGCAGAGUGACAAGAACAUGAGCCACGAGCAGCCUAUGGUAAGAGUAAUUGCUGGGGGCCCAACAUUGGCUGGAGAUUCCAACAGAUCGAGGAAGAACUACGCUAGGUAUGCCAUGACUAGUAAAGAAGUGUUCUUCAACACCCCAGCAGCCAAGCGAGCAAGAAUCAGGCAAGUUCCGAUCAUGUGGACAGAUGAAGACGAAGAAGGGAUUCUAUAUCCAUAUGAGGAUGCCUUAGUCAUUAAAGUCACCGCUACUAGCAAGAAGUUUGACCAGAUUCUGGUAGACACGAGAUGCUCGGUCGAUGUUUUGUUCAAGUCAACUCUAGAGGAGAUGGGAAUAGCGGAUCUGAGGUUAGAGCAUACCCAUAUCUCCUUGAAGGGAUUUGGAGGAAGAAAGCUGGUUCCUCUAGGCGUGGUCGAACUGCCCAUCACAAUUGGCAGCUCCCAGACAGAAAAGACUAUGAUACUGGAUUUUAUGGUGGUCGAUGAAGAGGGUCCUUACCAGAUGAUUCUAGGCCGCCCUUUCUGAGGAUGAACAAAGCGGUACUUUCCAACCAUUAUCUAGCUCUCAAGUAUAGGGUGAAUAGAGUGGUUGGAGUGGUACGAGGAGACUAGAGAAUUGCCCGAAACUGUUACUCUACAGCAGCAAGGGAAGCAAUGCAGAUUCCAUCACUUGAUACUCGAGUGGGAGCCAAGAAUGGCAGACAAGAGCCUGUAGAGGAGCUGAAGAUAGUAAGCUUGGAAUAAUGUGAUUAAGAAAAAACAAUCCGGAUCGGAUUGAGGCUUAAAGAAGAGCAGAAGCGGGAACUGGUGCAUUGCCUGCGAGCUCACGCAGAUGUGUUUGCUUGGACACAUGAAGACAUGCCAGGAAUCGACCUUGAGGUCGCCUGCCAUAGGUUGGCAAUAAGGAAGGGUGCUCAGACGGUAAGGCAAAAAAGAAGGUGCUUCAAUCAGGAGAGGUAUGACUCGACAGCCGGACAUGGCCUGCUUAGCUUCAUGGAUGCAUUUCCAGGAUACAACCAAAUCCUAAUGUUCGAGCAGGAUGAAGAGAGCACGACAUUUAUCACUAACCAGGGUUUGUUCUGUUACAGUAUAAUAUCGUUCGGUCUUAAAAAUACGGGUGCCACGUACCAGAGGUUGGUGAACAAAAUCUUUAAGCCAUUGAUUGGGAGAACAAUGGAGGUGUAUGUGGACGACAUGAUAACCAAAUCAAAAAUCCCGAAGGAACAUGUCGAGCACCUCGAGGAGACAUUUGGACUUUUGAGGAAGUACAAGAUGAAGCUCAACCCGGAGAAGUGUGCCUUUGGGGUCGAGUCGGGCAAAUUCCUUGGGUUCAUGGUGAGUCAUCGGGGGAUCGAGGCGAAUCCCGAGAAGAUCCAGGCAAUCGUGCAGAUAAGAUCUCCUCGUAACCUGAAGGAGAUACAGAGCUUUACGGUGAGGUUGGCGGCAUUGAGUCGGUUCAUAUUCAAGGCGACAGAUAAGUGUCAGGCAUUCUUUCAAGUGAUAAGGAGAGGAAAGAAACAGAAUGGACCCUUGAAUGCGAAGAAGCCUUCCAGAAUUUGAAGCAAUAUUUGCAGCAAGCACCUUUGUUGUCCACGCCGCGGGAUGGGGACGUGUUGUUCCUAUAUAUGGCGGUAUCGGAUCAUGUCACGAGUUCUGUUCUAGUGAGAGAGGAAGAAGGGGUUCAAUAUCUAAUAUAUUACACGAGCAAGGCCCUGCUAGAUGCCGAGACCAGAUACCCACCGUUAGAGAAAUGGGCACUUGCUCUUGUGGUUGCUGCUCGGAAGUUGAGGUAAUACUUUCAAGCAUUCCCCAUCUCGGUAAUAACAAACCAACCGUUACAACGGACUCUACACAAGCCGGAUGCUUCUGGUUGGAUAAUGAAAUGGGCCAUAGAGUUGAGUGAGUUCGAUAUAAGUUAUAAACCCCGAGCAACAAUAAAGGCCCAGGCAAUGACCGAUUUCGUGGCAGAAUUCGCAGAGCCCGAAGUAGGUUUCGACCAGCUGGACGCUGCUACAAUCAACAACGAAGAUCAGGUAUGGCAGGUGUCGGUGGACGGAUCCUCAGGGGAGCAGGGGUCUGGAGCAGGGAUUAUUUUGGAAUACCCAGAAGGGGAGGAAAUCUCUUAUGCUGUAAAGUUGGAGUUCACAGCCACAAAUAACCAGGCAUAAUAUGAAGCUUUAAUAGCGGCCCUGGAAUUGGCUAAGGCAGUGAAAGCGGGUAGGGUGAAAAUCCGAACUGAUUCCCAACUGGUUGCAAAUUAUGUCAAUGAAAGGUUUCAGCCGAGAGAUGGGAAGAUGAAACAGUACUUGAAGAAAGUCAAGCAGAUGAUUGGGAAGUUGGAGGCGGUUGAGGUAAUACAAAUCCCAAGGGAGGAGAAUAGUCGAGCAGAUAUUCUGGCCAGGAUGGCAGCUGUAGCAUAUCCAAAAAUGCCUAAGUUGGUCCCUUUGGAGGUGAAGUCCAGCCCUAGCAUCGAGCAGAAUUUGGAGGUGAUGCGGAUAGAAUAGAAAUGCUCGUGGAUGGACCCGAUAAUCUAGUACAUCAGAGAUGGGGUAUUACCACCAGAUAAGCUACGAGCUCGGAAGAUCAGAGCUCAGGCGUCGAGGUACACAAUGAUUGAUGGGGUGCUAUAUCGGCGGGGAUAUACUCUAUCGUUCCUUCGAUGUUUGGAUGAGGACGACACGGAUUACGUACUGAGAGAAGUACAUGAAGGAAUUUGCGGAAACCAUUCUGGCGCAAGGUCCCUUGCCGAUAAGGCUCUAAGGCAGGGAUAUUUCUGGCCGAUUAUGCACCAGGAUGCGUAGGAGAAAACCAGGAGUUGCGUGAGUUGCCAGAGUUUUGCAAAUUUCUCCACCCAGCCACCAGAGAAGCUCACUUCUAUGGCCUCGCCAUGGCCAUUUGCUCAAUGGGAAAUUGAUUUGAUUGGGCCGUUGCCAAAGGGACGAGGGGCAGCAACACAUGCAAUAGUAGUGAUAGACUACUUCACGAAAUGGAUAGAGGUAGACGCCCUCAGUAGGAUCACAGAGAAAAAGACGACUGACUUUGAAUGGAGAAACCUGGUCUGUCGGUACGAGAUCCCUUAUGCCCUGAUAACAGACAAUGGCAGGCAGUUUGACAACCACAACUUCAGGGAUUUCUGCCAAAACCUAGGGAUAGAGCUGAAGUAUUGUUCGCCUGCUCACCCUCAGUCUAACGGACAAGUGGAAGCAGCCAACAAGAUAAUAAAGAGGCUUCUGAAAAUCAGGCUUGGAGCAAAAAAUGGUGCAUGGGUUGAUGAGCUACCAGGUGUAUUAUGAGCAUACAGGACAACCCACAAAAUAGCAACCGGCGAAACUCCGUUCACUUUGGCCUUCGGACAUGAAGCUGUUGUACCGGUCGAGAUAGGGCCGACCACGUACCGGACAGAUCACUUCGAUGAGCAGAAAAACAAUGACCAGAUGUGCUUGAAUCUGGAUUUACUGACCGAGAAGAGGGAGCAAGCAUCGAAGUGAUCAACCGUUUACCAGCAGAGGGUUGCUCGAUAUUACAACCAGAAGGUGUGUAUACAACAGUUCAAGGUCGGCAAUUGGGUACUAAGGAGGGUGAACCAGAACACGAAAGACUCAACACAAGGAGUACUUGGACCAAACUGGGAGGGGCCAUAUAGGGUCAAGCAGGUAGUUGGACUCGGAGCCUAUAAGCUUGUUUGCGCAGAUGGCCACGAGGUGAAACGUUCCUGGAACGCAGCACACCUCAGGAACUAUUUCCAGUAAGACCCGAUCAUGCUUUAAAGUUAUUUCUAUUUGUUCUUGUUGUUAUGCACUUUAUGCUAAAUCAAUCUCAUGUAAACUGAAUUCAGCAAUUAAUGAAACGUUGAGGAAUUUCAGUCAGUUGCAAUGUUGUAAAGAUUUCUAAGGCAUGCAAAGGCUCAUCAAGUCUCAAAGCCUGUUUUAUGGCGAGACCGGAAGCCAAGCAUGCCAGGAUCUGCUCAACCAAGCGAAGACGAGCAGACUCUCAAAUGUUAUAAGAAUUUCCAAGGCAUGCAAAAGCUUACUAAGUCUCAAAGCCUAUUUUAUGGCGAGACCAGAAGCCAAGCAUGCCAGGAUCUACUCGACCAAGUGAAGGCGAGCAGACUCUCAAAUGUUGUAAGAAUUUCUAAGGCAUGCGAAGGCUCACAAAGUCUCAACGCCUGUUUUAUGGCGAGACCAGAAGCCAAGCAUGCCAGGAUCUGCUCGACCAAGCGAAGGCGAGCAGACCCUCAAAUGUUAUAAAAAUUUUAAAGGCAUGCAAAGGCUCACCGGAAGUCAAGCAUGCCAGGAUCUGCUCGACUAAGCGAAAGCGAGCAGACUCUCAAAUGUUAUAAAAAUUUCUAAGGCAUGCAAAGGCUCAUCAAGUCUCAAAGCCUAUUUUAUGGCGAGAUCGGAAGCCAAGCAUGCUAGGAUCUGCUCGACCAAGCGAAGGCGAGCAGACUCUCAAAUGUUAUAAGAAUUUCCAAUGCAUGCAAAAGCUUACUAAGUCUCAAAACCUGUUUUAUGGCGAGACUGGAAGCCAAGCAUGCCAGGAUCUGCUCGACCAAGCGAAGGCGAGCAGACUCUCAAAUGUUAUAAGAAUUUCCAAGGCAUGCAAAAGCUUACUAAGUCUCAAAGCCUGUUUUAUGGUGAGACCAGAAGCCAAGCAUGCCAGGAUCUGCUCGACCAAGCGAAGGCGAGCAGACUCUCAAAUGUAAGGCAACAGGAAGCCGAACUUUUUGGCACCUGCUCGACCACAAUGAAAGCGAACAAAAAAUAAAAUAAUUUGCCAAGAGCUCGAGGCAAAGAAAGCAAAUAAGAAUAUUCUUAUUAAUCUACCGAUAAUUAUGAAAAGCUGCCAGUCUUAACAUAUAAUGUUCCAAAAAAGCAACUACAACACAAGAUACAUUCAAGAGGACGGCGGGUCAGUAAGCUGGGCUGCCUCUACUAGCUGCUCCACCUCAGGAGCAUGGGGGAUUUCACCAGUUGCCCCUGGGGGGGUACUUGCCUCGGCAACAUCAGCAGGGACUGCACGAGGAGGAGAGGUUCCCUCCUCAGCGGCAUUUGGCUCCAACUCUUCGACAUCUUCUUUGGCUGCCUCCUCAUCUAUAUAUUGAGAUCUUCAAAUCAGGAUGCUGCUUCCCAAGGACAGCCAUGAUGCAGCGAUAAGAAUGCCGAAACCCCUGGUCAUAUUGGUUGUCAGCUUCCUUCUCUAGGUUCUCGACCUGAACCUGGUGGGAAUCCUUGAGAGAUUCGAGUUGAGCCUCGUAAGUAGCCUUCUGCCUCUGCAGAUCCUCCUUGACCUUAGUCAGCUCUUCCUCAAGAGUGAUUGUCUUUGCCUGCGCGAGGGACUCUCGCUCUAUCAACUUCAGAUUCUCGAGGUUGAGAUCUCCGGCUUUCUUCUCGGCAGCGUCAACUUUGGUUUUGGCUGAUUGAACGUCCUCUCUCAUCUUUCGAUCAUAGCAGCCGACCUUCGCCUUAUAGUAAGUGGCCAUGCAGCCGAGAUGAAAAGCACUAUACUGCAUAGCCCCCACCAGCUCGCCCAGAGUGCUUCCGUCAAAGUCCUCCAAGUCCUUUUUGCUCACGAGCCUAAAAAACUCACUGAUAUAGGGGACCAGAUGCUCUGCUCGAUUGUCGGCCAAACGAGGUGUCGACCCAGCUGGUGGAGAAGGAGAAGUGGGGUCAAUGGCUGUUCCACUAGUUUCGCCGGCUUUGGUAGGAGGAGGUGGUAGAGUCCUCAAGGAGGGGACCUGCUCCGCGAUGUUCACCCGUUUCGCAGUGGGAGCAUCCUUAUUUUGGUCCCGCUUAGCAGUAUAAGAUCGAUGACGUUUCCAAUUCAGAGCCCCGAUCACAACAUCCUCCAUCUUAAGGUCAGUGGACACCAAAUGAGAUUCAAACAAGUUGUAAAUAGACAGCAACUCUCGGCUCGAACAUGAAUUGGCUAACACAGCCUCGAUCCACUUGAGCGGCUCAAGUUUAAGCUUGUAGUGCACACCCCAAGAACCUACAGUUCGAGCAGAUAUUGGGUUAAAGAUAAAUCAUCAAAAUGAGAACAACUAGGGAUACAAGACAUCUAAAGCGAGCAGGCAACCUAGGACCACGAAACGGGGUGGGACGCGAUAGUUGUUCCCAUCAAUCUGUGCAACUUGACCCCAGGGACCCCCAGGAAAAAAGAAUUUUUUCUUCCAAUUCCCACCACCACCAGUUGGAAGAUCAGUUAUGGGUUUCCUGGUCUUGGUACUUGACAUGAAGUAAUACCAGCCUGUGCCUUUGGGGCUGCUCUUUACCUGGUAUAGGUGAUUUACCUCAUCAACUGUGGGCUCGCUUUGGCAAGCAUCUGUCCCACAAUAUGAACAAACCAGAAAGUACCCUCCACCCGUUGGGGUUAAGUUGACUAGGAGCUAGGUUCAACCCACUAAGCAUUCAUGCAAAAUAGGGUUACAGGGGGCACCUCAUUCCGAACUUAAAACUUUCCAGAAACAGAGUAAUGUAUCCCCUAGGAGGUCGGCUGGGAGUAUCCUUUUUUCUUGGGAUCUUAAGGGGUAUAUCAUCAGGAAUGUCAUACCUAGCCCGGAGGUCAUCGAGGUCGUCUAUUGUGGUCGUGCACGUGAUGAAGUCAAUAGCGUAAUGCUCCGAUAAAGCCCUACCUCCUAUUUUGCUCUUCCUAUCUGGUCGCGAUGUUCCUGGUGAGGACAUUUCACCAAAAUCUUCUCCCUGGUCCUCACUCAAGGUGUCUUCCAAACUAGAAGAUCCAUCGUCGCUGCUGUUGCUGGUUGAGGAGGUUAUUUAGGGAGACAUCCUUCUAGCACUAGUCCCAACACUAGAUCUAAUGGGUUCUAAAGGGAUCCCGGGGUCAAAGGCAGGAUUGGCGAGUAGACUAGGCAAGAAGUCUAACUCGUCGUCAUCAAUCUCAAUUACCUUCUCUUUGCCUUUUGACAUUUCCUAAACUAUGACCAGAGCAAUAUCACCAAACACUACCCAAGAAAAACAGAGAAAAAAGAAAUUUUCUGUAACUAUCCAAGACGGAGGAAAUAGAAAUAAUACCUGCAAUUGUGGCCCAGCUGAAUAGAGACAAGGAUGGUAGCUUUUACGCUGAGGAAGAGGAAUGACUCAGUCGCCGGAGAAGUAGAAGAGGGAUAAAAGACGAGUUUCCCUUUUGAGGUUUUGGGUUCCCUAAUGAAGAACAAACUCUUGGGCUGUCAGCAUUUAACGGCACGAAUUCCAAGGGUUUCAUAACCAUCGGUUUGAAAUUCAAAUGGAGGGAUAGAUUUCUGCCACAUCACCUCGCCCGCAAUUAAAUGCGACACGACUCCUCAAAGCCUCUUCCUAUCCUGCGCGAGCCAGAACUGUUGAAUUUCUACUGUCGAUCCACUACGUUACCCAACACCAGAAACUGGGGGACCGGUGUUUGGGGGAUAUGCUUCGACAAGACCAGCCAUGAUGAGCAGAAGUCUGGUAGCAGGUGAACACGAACAGGAAUAUUCUGCAGAAGUCUGGUAGUAGGUGAACACAAACAUGAAUAUUCUACUCGUUCACGAAUGCACCCUCCACGGGGCCACAGCGGGAGCCGGCCUCCUACUAGAAGCAUAAGACCAUUCCUGCUAGAGGUUGAGGUGGGGAGACCCGGUCAAUGACGGUUGGCGAGACGUGCACUCCUGCCCGAGAAUCAAGGCACGAAGUCCAUCCAGCCACGACUACGAUAAUAGAGCGUCCACUUCUGAGAGUUGGGGAGGUGAUGGACAUGGAUUGUAGGAAGGCCCGGAUUCAAAGGAAGCCUAUAAAAAGGUAACCAACGAAGGUAAAAGGGUUAGACUUUUUGAGAUUAGAACUGAGAAAAAAGAGCUUUCUAUUGAAAGAUCAUAAACGAGUCAUAAGAUUAGUGGUCAUGUUUCCCAGGAAGAUGAAACCUACGUUUCUGACUUGAGCGUCGGAGGGUUUACGCCGGGAAAACACCCGGCGUGCUCUGACCUGUUUCCGUGUGCGCAGGAGUCUGUGGAGAGGAAGUCUUACGAGGAGAGAUCCUGGUCGUGGACGAGUUAGUUGAGGAGAGAUCCUGGUCGUGGACGAGCAAAAAACCAGAAUCUCGCAUCAACAUACGUAAUUCUCUGCUAAGAAAUAUUGCCUUAAAAUAUCGGUAGCAUAUGCAUGCAGACCAGCAAAUCAGUUAGACAUAUGAAAUAAUCAACCACACACGAAAUCAGCAAAUAAGUGUUUUCAUGUAUCAGCAAAUCAGUGGUGUAUUGAGAAGGCUAGUUACUAGGUGUCAACUCUUCUCUUUCAAAGAUAAAGGUUUGGGAAAAGGGAAGAAAGACACCCACGGCCAACUACCUUGUCAUAUUUUGCAUACCAAAAUUGGACAUUAAUUAUCGUCACUGUCUUCGACCUGCUAACCAAAUCCAAGGCAAAAUUGGUCUUCCCGAUUGAGUAAGUGAGCCCUGAAAAGUCGUUAUCCAGCUUCAAAGCCAAGUGAAUGUAGACUUGUGAUUGGCGUAAUUGGUUUUAAAGAAACUAGUAUGCAUCCCCACUGAAAGCCAAUAAAUAAAGUUGAAGAAACGCUAAUGUACCACAGCUGACAUCAACAUAAUUUGAUCAGCCGAAUGACUACCAAAUGAAAAAGCAACAUAAACUUUAACAUAACUGUUAGGAUUAAUCGAAUACACAUAUAUUUGUACCAAUCUUCACACCUUUAGCAUUCAAAUUCGAAUCGAAUCCCUAAUAGGGGUGGCAAAAAUCAAAUCCUAAACGAAUUGGGUCAAAAUUCUGUGAAUUCAAAUUUGAUUCGUUUAUGAAAUGAAUUGAAAUUUCAUGAUUCAGGUUUGAUUAGUUUAUUAAACAAAUAUUCAGUUUGAUUCGUUUAAUAGAAUUAAUAAACUAAUUGAAUCAAAUCCAAAUUCGUUUAUUAUUCAUUCAUCCUAAUAAUAAACGAAUCCAUGACAAAUCAAAUUGAAUAUAAAUUUGUUUACAAAAAUUAAAUAAAUAAUUCAAAUCAUAAAAUUUUUCAUCUCAUUUAUAUAUUGCCUUAUUAUUAUUUAUAAUUACUAGAGACCUUUAAAUUUUAAAUUUUUUCACAAAUAUUUAAUAAUAAAUAAAUAAUUUAACUAAACGAAUUUUAAACGAAUAGAUUGUAUUUGGUUUGUUUAUAACUCAUUUAUUAAAUGAAUCCUAAACGAAUAAACAAAUGAAUGUCUUCAAACCUGGAUUCGAUUCGUUUAAUUAACGAAUCGAAUUGAAUUCACCAAUUUAUUAAAUAAAUUAAUUUUUUCAAACUCAAACUCAUUUAAUUCGCUUCGAAUCGAAUCAAAUAAAUGGAUCCUGACCCAAAUUGCCUCUCUCUCUCUCUCUCUCUAGUACCUUGCUACCGUGAUCACUGAGAUAUGUUCAUGAAUAAAAAUCUACCAUCAGAUCGAUUCGAAAACGGAAAGGAAUAGGGAAAUAAAAGGUGAAACAAAUGAAAUAAUUAAGGAGAGGAACGAGAUUCCAUUGUCUGGUUAUAAUUGGAAAUCAAGCAUGAAAAAUGAUUUGAUUUUUCUUUUUUGGUUGACAGAAUACACUUUCAACUAGAAGAAAAAAAAAGAAAAUUUGAAUUUGAUAUUUAACAGAAAAUUCAAUUAAAAUCAAAUCCAUUUGUAAUUUUAAUUCAUUUCAUUCUUAAAAUUUGACAUGUAGAAUAAAAUUUAUAACUGUUUCAAAUUCAAAUACAUAUUACUAUUCAAAAUAAUUAAAAUUUUCAUUGCAAAAAGUUAAAAAAAUAAAAAUAAAACUGUUUAAUGGAGAGUGGAAUUGAGAAGGGAAAGUGUGAUGGAAGAUGCACACACUAGUUGUGGAAUUAUACUGUUAGUCAUUUUAUUAAAAAAAUAAAUUAAAAAUAAAAAACCUUGUUGAAUGAUUAUUUGCUAGGAUUGAAAAUUUUAUUUGGUGCGCAAAACCUCAAAAACCUCAUGAUGAUGCAUGUAUAUUCUAAGCUUAAUGACAUGUAUCAUAUUAAAAAUGUUUUGCGAAGGUAACUGUAUAUUUGUUUUAUUCAAUGAAUGGUACAUUUACUGGUACGUUUAAUAGUUUGUGGGUAAUUGUUUAUUUUCUUUUGGUUGAAAAUUUUGCCAUCUCACAAACUAACAACUAAAUUUGACUCCUUUUUAUAUAAAUUUUAUAGGCCCGCCGAUUCACCAAUUUUAUUUUAUAAUCCUUGUAUGUUUGUUAUCUUUAAAUUAUGACCCCAAGUACCAAAAUUCCAAUUUCACGGUCUUUUAUAGGGUUUGGUUAUGAUAAUUAAUUAAUACGAUAAAUACAAACAAGGCACAAAUUAAAAUUUAUAUGGUUCGGCAUAUUAAUUAAUAUGCCUACAUCCACAGAUGGUGAUACCGAAAAUCCACCAUAUGAUGAAAAAGUGUACAAACAAUAAUGCGUAAUUCCUUUUUGGCUGAAAAUAUUGCUUUCCCAACAAAUUAAUCAGUUAGACGAAUAUAUCCUAAUUAUAAUGGUUUUAUGUCAUACAUACAUAUCAAAUUCAUGACUUGUAUUUUGCACUGUUGCAGAGCAAUGAGCAGGCUACAAUACGUUCACUUGUUGAACUCGACCCUCACAGCCGUGAUCAUUGGCAAUCAGACAAGAUUAUUGGCAAUAUUGUAGGCUUGUGUCUUUUACCCGUUAGAAGCAUAACUUGUGCACUUAAAUUUGGCACAUCACUUGUUUGACAAAAUUACAAAGCAAAUGUGUAACUCGUGUACUCUUCCUUUUUUAUCAUAAUUUUUGUACUAUAAAUAUGUACCUGCAAAUAGUGAAAUAUACACACAAAAUCAAUUCUUUCAUGAAUUAUUCUUCUUCUAAUUUUUACAACCUUUCAUGGGUGGAAAGACUUUCCUGCCUUUCAAGGCCUAGCCAGCUGCUGAAGCCGAAGGGAAGAAAUCCAAGGCUUUUUUUAGUUCAUCUAUUAAAUCCCCAGAAACCAGUUGCAGAACUAGUGGGAAAUCAAAUAUUUUUUAGUGGAAACAAACACGAAACUAGUCCUCAAAUUAUUGUGUAAUGCAUUUUGCAAGAAAUUUGAUAGCCUGAUUAUGUUAUCCACGUCUUGAACUUUUCAAGUUAUGACGUGUCAGGAUUUGUUGCCAAACCAUUCAAUUAUGAAAUUUUGCUACUCAAUCUUGUAUUGUUCUAUUUCCUUGCUUUCAGUUUUCUUGAUCAGAACAAACAACAUAAAUAAUGAUGAAAAAAUAAUUAAAAGAAUUUCACUCGCCCUUCAUUUGUUAUCAACAAUAUGAUAUUGCCUGGGAUCUUUCGGCUUAAUCUUCUAGUGCCCAUUAGCCAAACUUACAUUCUCAGCAAUUCUUCUCCAUUUCUUAAUCCUUUUAUCCAUAUGCUUUGUUAAUGCACAGUACUGUUGCAAUUUCUUAGGCAUUGCACCAUAAACUUGCCACCAUUUCUUAUGAGCUGAAUCACUAGCAAAUACAUGGCGACUCACCAUGUCCCAAUUGCAAUCAUAGUCCUUGUAACAUAUCCAUGGCUUUAACCCCAGAUAAUGAAUUGCAUAAAGACCAUCACCCACUUGAUGUUCCUUAUCGUCUUGCUUUGAAAACACCUUCAAAUUGUUGAUUCUCUUAGGCAACCUAUGCCACCAUGCGAACACUUCAUUAAGAAAUCCCUGGUCACCCCCAUUGUAUGACGAAACCUAUUAAGAGUAGUUCGUUAUUGUUAGUUAUGGUUGCUGACGUGUCAGAUGAGCUGGCUAAUGUUAGUUAUGCUGGCUGCAGGUUGUUAGCAUUCUGUUGAUUCAUGUUUAGCUAAGCUCAGCUCACGUGAUUUGUUUUCUAUAUUAAUUCAAGAGCUCUUGUAACAAUCGAUAUAUCAAUAUAGUAAUUCAUUUUCUCUCUCUGAAGUCUCUGUUAUUUUCUCUUCAUUUUCUCAAAUACCAAACACUUUUCUGGUAUCUUAACUUGGUAUCAGAGCUACCGAUCUUCAAUCUCAUGGCAUCUUCAAGCAUAAACUCUACUGUUUCAUCAUUUACCUUUACUUCUCCAAUUAAACUCGAUCGGUCGAAUUAUAUGAUUUGGAAAUCUCAAAUUCUUUCAUCCGUUCGUGCCAAUGGUCUUGAAGAUUUGCUCGAUGGAUCAAAAACCAGUCCAGUUCAAUUCCUUCAAAGUGAGACUGAAAGUGCUUCUAUUGAUGCUGAGCUGAAUCCAGCAUAUACCACAUGGAAACGAAAGGACCAAUUGCUGCUGAGCUGAUUGAUGUCGUCUAUCAGCAUUGAGAUACUGAGCCUUGUGGUAAACUCUGAAACUUCAUUAGAACUUUGGACUAGUUUGGAGCAACAGUUUGGAUCUGAAACUUCAGCUAAGAAGGUUCAUAUGAAAAUAAUGCUCAAUAAUCUUAGAAAAGGAUCAAUGACAGUAACUGAAUUUUUUGGCAAGCUAAAAAUAAUUACUGAUGAGUUAGCCAUUGCCGGUAACCCAAUAAGUUCUCUAGAUUUUCUUACUCACCUAAUUUCUGGAUUAGGUCAGCCUUACUAUCCUGUUGUAGUUUAUCUUGAAGCAAAUCUUGCUAAGAUUUCUAUCAAUUAAGCAUAUUCUAUGCUAUUAUCUCACGAAGCUAGAUUAGAAGCAAAUCAGCUAAGCUCAAGCAAAGAAGCUAAGAUGAACUAUGCUGUUAAUAUUACUCAAACUGGAUCUGGAACUAAUAAUAAUAACAAGAAACCAGGUGGUCAGUUCAAUAACAAUUGGAAUGGUGGUCAAUUCAAUAACAAUUGGAACAAGAAUGGUGGUUUCAGAGGUGGAUAUGCUGGAGGCAGAGGUGGUUAUGGUAGAAAUUUUCCACAAGGACAAGGAAGAAGAAACUGGAAUGGUGGCUGGAAUGGUUCAUUUGGAAACUUUCCACAAAGAGGCAGAAGAAGUAAUUACAAUGGUAAUCUUGGCCAGACUGGAGGAUUUAAUGGUGGUUUUACAAAUGGCAAAGGUGUUUUGGAUCAGGCUGUUGCUAAUGUCACUUGCCAGAUUUGCUUUAAACCAAGGCACACUGCAGCUGAGUGCAGGAAUAGAUUCAACAAGGAUUAUAUUCCUUUUAACAAUCCAUAUCAGAAUCCACCAAGAGCUGCUUUUCUUGCAACCUCUGAGGGAGCAAUAGCUUAUCAGGGAUGGUACAUUGAUAGUGGUGCAACACAUCACAUCACUAACAAUUUACAGAACCUGCAAAUUGGAAAUGAAUACUCAGGUAACCAAUUGCUUCUUGUUGGUAAUGGUCAGGGCUUGCAUAUAUCACAUAUUGGCUAUGCAUGCUUUCAAACAUCAUGCAAUGCAGUUUUACACUUAAGAGAUACUUUGUGUGUGCCUAAACUUACUAAAAAUCUCAUAAGUGUUUCAAAGUUACUUGAAGAUAACACUGAUAUAACCAUUGAGUUUGUUGCCAAUAUGUGUUUCAUAAAGGACAAGAGGAAGGAACAACAUAUGGCUCAAGGGAUUGCUAAGAAAGGACUGUACCUGUUGCUGUCAAAGAAUGACUGUGUUUCAAAUUCCAGUUGUCUUACCUAUGCACCUAGUUCUAUGAUUUCUGUUUUAAAUAAUCCAGCUUGUAAAACUUCUGAUACAGCUGCAAAUAAUGUCUGUAAUUCACAAUUUCAAGUGAACUCAACCAAGUUAGCAAACUUGUUUCAUCAAAAAUUUGGUCAUCCUAAUAAACAUGUGUUGAAAUCUAUUCUGUCUUCUCUUUCUGUUGAUUACUCAUCUAUAUCAGCACCUGAUUUUUGUGAUGCUUGUCAGUAUGGUAAAGCUCAUCAAAUGUCAUUUUACUCAACUAGAAUCAAAACUAAAGUUCAUUUAGAGCUUAUACACACUGACCUUUGGGGUCCAGCACCCUUACCAUCUCUAAAUGGUUAUAGAUACUACAUUAGCUUUGUAGAUGACUAUAGUAGAUAUUGCUGGAUUUUUCCUUUGACACUCAAAUCAGAAGCCUUAGACACCUUCAAAUACUUCAAAACCUUAGUGGAAAAACAGUUUGGAUAUACUCUGAAAACAUUACAAUCUGAUUGGGGGGUGAAUAUAGAAGUUUUCAAAGUUUUCUUGAAGAAGAAUAGAUAAAGUUUAGACAUAGUUGUCCACACACACAUCAUCAAAAUGGUGUAGUGGAAAGAAAACAUAGACACUUGGUUGAAACAGGGCUUACCCUUCUUGCUCAGGCAAAAAUGUUUCUAUCUUUCUGGUGGGAAUCAUUCCAUACAACUUCUUUUCUUAUAAACAGAUUACCAACCACUGUUUUAAACAAUAUUUCACCCUUCACCAAACUUCAUGAUAGACAACCUGACUAUCAGUUCCUCAAACCAUUUGGUUGUGCAUGCUAUCCUUUCCUCAGACCUUAUAGCAAGCAUAAAUUCAAUUUCCAUACACAAAAGUGUCUCAUGAUUGGCUAUAGCCCAAUACACAAAGGCUAUAAAUGUCUUACUUCUACUGGAAAGGUCUAUAUUGCUCGACAUGUUAGGUUUAAUGAGUCUGAGUUUCCUUUUUCUGAACUUUUUCCUUCUAAUAAACCUGUUCAAAAUGUGUCUGCCCCUCAGCUAAAUUCCACACCUCUUACAUUUGUCCCUUCCACAACAGUCAUUCCAGAUGGUAACAGUGUACAACCUUCUUUUAGUUUACUUGUUCCAGAUGCAGGACCUGCUUCUAGUGCUUCUUCCCCAAAUCAGUCCAUUACAGCUCUCAUAUACCCUCACCAGUACAACAGCAAACAACAGUGCCACCUCCUGAACAAUCAUUCCAGUUUGCACAACAGCUGUUAUCAGCUCAAAAUGAUCACCCUAUGGUAACCAGGUCUAAAGUUGGCAUAUUCAAGCGUAAAACCUAUUUGGCAGUCACUCAAAACCUUGAACCACAAUCUGUAAAGGCAACCUUGGUAGAUACUAAGUGGAGAGGGGCAAUGCAAGCAGAGUUUGAUGCCUUACAAAAUAACAAAACCUGGACUCUAAUUCCCAGAGAACAUGCUGGUAAGAUUGUUGGGAAUAAAUGGGUGUUCAGAGUGAAAUAUAACCCUGAUGGCAGUAUUAGUAAAUACAAAGCAAGGUUGGUUGCAAAAGGCUUUCAUCAAGCACAAGGGGUGGACUUCUUUGAGACUUUCAGUCUUGUGGUUAAGCCCUGCACCAUCAGAAUUAUUUUGAGCAUUGUUGUUAUGAACCAGUGGUCAAUCAGGCAACUUGAUGUUAAUAAUGCCUUUCUCAAUGGCAUUCUCACUGAAGAAGUUUUCAUGCACCAGCCUGAAGGGUUCCUGCAUCCUCAAUAGCCUUCACAUGUAUGCAAGUUGAUCAAGGCUCUUUAUGGACUUAAACAGGCUCCAAGAGCCUGGUAUGACAGGCUGAAAUCAUCUCUGCAACACUGGGGUUUUCAUACUUCCAGAUCAGAUACCUCACUGCUUUUUCAGCAUAAGGCAGAUGAUAUUGUGGUGGUGCUCAUUUAUGUGGAUGACAUAUUAAUCAUUGGCUCAGAUAAUAAACUUGUUGAGGAAGUUAUUGGUCGAUUGGGGUCUGAAUUUGCUUUAAAAGAUCUAGGAGAUUUUAACUAUUUUCUUGGUCUUGAAGUAACACCAUCAACUGCUGGAAUGCAUCUUUCCCAGACCAAAUAUAUAGGUGAUUUACUCAAGAAAGCUCAAAUGAUUUAUAGCAAAGGAUGUCCAACUCCCAUGAGUUCAAGUGAUAAACUAGUCAAAGACAGAGGAGCAACUUUUGAGAAUCCUUUACUGUAUAGGAGUUUGAUUGGUUCUUUACAGUAUAUUACUUUAACAAGGCCUGAGAUUGCAUUCACAGUGAAUAAACUCAGUCAAUUCCUUGCUGCCCCAACUGUCAUUCACUGGCAAGCAUGUAAAAGACUCUUGAGAUAUUUGCAGAGCACAGCAGAUUUUGGCUUACAAUUUUUCAGUACUGGGAAACUUACUCUCACAGCAUUUUCAGAUGCAGAUUGGGGAUCAGACUUGGAUGACAGAAAAUCUGUUAGUGGAUAUUGCAUUUACUUGGGUGAUAAUUUGAUCUCGUGGUCCUCCAAGAAACAACAGAUAGUCUCAAGAAGCACAGCUGAGUCAGAAUAUCGAGCUUUGGCAUUAGCAGUGUCUGAAGUGCUUUGGAUAUCUUAUGUGCUCAAAGAGUUGAAGAUGCCACCAUCAUAAGUUCCAGUUCUUCACUGUGAUAAUAAGAGUGUUGAAGCUCUGGCUAGUAAUCCCAAGUAUCACUCAUGCACUAAGCACAUUGAGCUAGACUUGCAUUUUGUUCGUGAUCACAUAGCUCGCAAUGAAGUUCAUGUUAGUCAUGUUCCAAGUUGUGAUCAAGUGGCAGAUGUUCUCACCAAACCCUUGGCCUUUGAUCAGUUCAAUUAUCUUAGGUCCAAGCUCAAUGUCAUUCCAAGACCUUGAGCUUGAGAGGGGAUGUUAAGAGUAGUUCGUUAUUGUUAGUUAUGGUUGCUGACGUGUCAGAUGAGCUGGCUAAUGUUAGUUAUGCUGGCUGCAGUUUGUUAGCAUUCUGUUGAUUCGUGUUUAGCUAAGCUCAGCUCACGUGAUUUGUUUUCUAUAUUAAUUCAAGAGCUCUUGUAACAAUCGAUAUAUCAAUAUAGCAAUUCAUUUUCUCUCUCUGAAGUCUCUGUUAUUUUCUCUUCAUUUUCUCAGAUACCAAACACUUUUCUGGUAUCUUAACUAAACCUUAAAGCUUUUCAACAUCAAAUCUUCAAACUUGCACAAUGAUGCUGAUAAUUCAGGGUAAAAGAAGAACUCAUCGAUGUUUUUGAGUACUACAAGAUCAGAAUCAAUGAAGAUAAUUUUAUCAUAUUCAAUGAGUUGCCAUACUCUAAGCUUGCUGUAAUUCCACUCAUUGUACGAAUCUUUCUUGGCAAAGGGGCUACGUAUACGCGAAAUCCACUUGGUUUUCCAUCCGGCAGCUCUCAGGCCGCGAAGAGAUUUGCCACUUAUUGAUUUAUCAUGAAGAAGAACGAGAUUUUUGCUCGAGUUUUUUUGGAUUAUGCUUUGCGCUAAAGCUAUUGCUCCACAUACUUAAGCUUCUGAUGAAUGUAGAACUGUUACAUAAGCUUCUCUUUGAUGGUACGUUGUGUAGUUCAGUUUUGCUAGUCUUGCUUGUGACAUAAAAUAUCUCCAUAUUUCUUUGCCUGUAAAUCAAAAUAAAAGCACUCAAAUAUUAAUUUUAGGUUAAUUUUGAAAAAUUAAGAAAAAUGAAUUACAUAUGAAGGUUUUGAAGAAGUCGUGGCGUCCGGAUUAGGUAAUACUUUCACGGAAAUUGAAAGUGCAAUUCUCUAAUGCCACAUAAGUCUUAAUUAGGAAAUUGAUUUAUGUUGGCUGAGUUACCAAAUUUUGAUGCCUUGCCAAAUUUUCACACAAUCAGAAUCAUGACUGCUGCAUGUAUACAUUCUGCGUCUGUAGAUUAUUACAACUCUUUAAGGAUAUCAAAAUUGAAGAACCGGUCAAAUUUAAACCAAUUACACCUGUGCACGAGUUGUGCAUAUUUAAUUUGGAUUUGUCUCAUUUAUUAAUGCUGAACGAAUAAUUUACUAAAAUUUGAAACUAAAGAAAGCAGUAAAUUAAUGACCCACCAUGACCAGAUAAAUCACCCACUAACCUUUUUUUUUUUUUUUUCCUCAGAACACCUCAAAUUUCCGAAGAAAAAUAAAAUAAAAUCUCCUGCAUCCAUUUCUUGUGAACAUUUUAUAUUUUUUUUAUAUGCAACAAGCUUUCAUUAAAAUUUAAGACUCUAUCCUCUAGAAUAAACUCCAAAACAUAUCAAUUAAAAUCAUAAUAUUUUCGUUCUCACUAUAGAUUCGUCUAUAUAACCGACCAUUAAAGUAGGAAAAAAAAAUAACAAUAAGAGCUUAAAUACUACUUCGUAAAUAAUCAAGAAAUAUGACAAGCAACAAGAACAACAACUACAAAUUCAUAAAGAUUUUUACGAAAUUUUAAGUCACAUUUUAAUGCAUAUAACAUUGUAAAAUUCUUGGAACUGAGUACAAACAGUAAGUUAGCAUUUGGUUAGAAAAUUGUACAGGGGAUUUUCUUCUUCAAGUGAUGACCAAAUUUUCUUCAGUUUCCAAACUACUCGCUAUCUAAAACACAAACAAAAUGUUUUCGAGAAACCAGGGAAAAAAAAAAAAAAAAAAGCAAAACUCACCAGUUUGAGCAAAAGAAGGAGCAAUUUGGCAUGACCCAACAGGUAUCAAUACUUUAUGUUUCAAUCUCCUCAAGUCAGGCUUAUAAACCCAAUAAUCCCCUGCAUGCUCCACAAGAUCAUCACACCUGAACAUCUCCACCAUGGCCCCACAAGAACCCACAAAGACAACGUACACCGGCCGAUCAACAUCAGGUUUCAACCACCCACUCUCCACCGCUAGAUUCGCCACCACGAGAUUCACUUGCAACCUAAACACAUCCCUCAUCCCACCACCUGCAUCUCCAUCUCCUCGGCAGGGAACCCAUAGCCACUAUCACGUCGAGGUACGGGUAAUCCUGCGCCGGCAUGGGUAUAUCCGGGCACGCCGGUGGGGCCCACUUGUGAUCUUCAUCAAUCCACUCCGGGAAAAAGUCUUCCCACUUUUUAUCCUCACCCACAUGGUCGAAACGUACGUGAACAGUUUCAACAUGCAAGUCACCACGUACGCUAUUAUAAUCAUCAUCGUCGUCGUCGUUUAUAUUUACUAAACCAACUUUAAUUUUGUGACCGUUGAUGUGUUUUUCGACAAUAUCGAGCCAUUUGGGUCUGUGUAAUAAGUGGUUAGUAUUAUAUUUAUCAUUUGGCUCGUAAGCCAAAUGGGGUUGUUGUUUAGGUUUGAACGACAAAACUACAAGGAAAAGCGAGAAGGAGAGGAGAAGAAGAGAGAUUAUGAAGAGCUUUUGACUGAAAUUUGUGGGUUUGUUAGAAGAAGAUGAUGAUGAAGCUGCAGCCAUUUGAUUGAAUUUUGCUUCACGUCUUUGUUGAAAGUUGAAAGAUUUGUUUUGAGUCGACAUUGUGUUUUAAGUUAUAUCCAACGCAUCGAAUUGGAAUGAAAAGAUUGCAUUGCAGCACGUUGAGCGUUGUCAAAUUGUCUUCUUAUGUGUAGGUAUUUUAUUUUCACACGCAUUUGAUGCGCGUGGGUAGGUUUACUAAAUGUAUUUCCUUUUUUAUUAUUAUUAAGAUUAAAAUGUACUUCUAAGUUCUUGAAUUAGGCUUCUGUUAUCUUAUAUAACAAGGCAACAAACAUAAUACACUUGUUACCCAUUUCCAACUCUCCACAAAUUUUAUUAUUUUUAUCUUAUAUUUCCGCAGCCAUUAGAUUUUUAUCAAACAAUUGUUAUUUACUUAUAUUUGUUACCUUAUUUUGCAAGGUAACAAAACCCGUCAAAUUAUGAAUAAAAUCUUUUACGCUACACAAAAAAAUUAUUUAGUGCACGUAAGAGAAAAGUUAUUUGUAUAAGAUUAGAUAUACAUAACUUGAUCGAAAUGAAAUAAUAUAAUUGUAAAAAUUAACAAAGUAAAAUAAAUUAUACGCAACUAUCUAAGACUUAUAAAUUCUUAAAAAUUCUUACUCUUUGUAUAUGGUAAGGUAAGAAAUUUGAGAUCCAUCUUCAGUUCUAAAAAAAAAAUUAUGUCCAAACUCAAAAGUCUUUCCUUAGUGAAGCAAAGAAAUUCGUACCAACAAUAUGAUCAUAUAAGCAAAUUAUUCGUGACCAAUAAUAAGAAAAUUAUGUAUCAUACAUAAGUCAAUAAUGAAUGGUAACUUAAUUUUCUCCUACCCAUGUGAGCUAAGUGGUACAUACGAAUGAGGUUUUUUGAAUAAUAACAAAAAGUGCAAUAAAAUAUACUUAUCUAACUAAACGCUACAUAAAAAGUUCCUUUUAUAUACUACUCUCGCUCUCUCUCCCCCCUACAAUCUAGGUAUUUUUUUUAAGUUCAUUUUUUAAAAGAUUGGAGAGUGGAUUAAAUCUAAAUCGAUUUUUUUUAGCCUUUACCUCCCUUAAAAUUCAAAAUCUAUUAGCUAGUUAAAUAAAAGUACUUGAAAAUUAUUUGACUAAAUCAUUGAGGGCAUAAUUUAGACACUGAUAAAUCGUUAAAAAAUUUCAAUUAAAUAUGAUCAUCUAAUGGCGUUCUUAAAGUUCCGUAAUCGCAGCCAGUGCAAUGGUUCUAUCAAAUGAAAUAUUUCUAUCCAAAAUCAAUUUCUUUUUUAUCAUAUGGAAUUAAUCGAUUUGGAAUUGUAGAUUUUUAAUAGAUAUAAUAAAUACCCCAAGUAUUUUGAUAAUAUUCUAAAAUUAUCGUUGAGUUAGUGUGUGGCUUCGGUAGUACUGUCAUGAACUUGGUCAAUCUAACAAAUAUAACGUAACCCAUGGUAUCAUCAAAAUAUGUGCAACCUUGCUCAGUAGAAACCAAAUCAGAUUAGGGAAAUUAUCUCUGUUGUCUUGGUCAAUCUUUUGUGACUUCAUCAAUAGACAUAACAUGUAGCCACGCCACAAUUUUUAAUUUUAAUUGGAAUGCUUAGAAGUCUAUUAAAAAUUAUAAUGUAACCUAACUAAGAAUAAUAUCAAUUAUUCUAUUUUAAUAUAAUAUUUAAUUAAACUAUUGCCAUUAUUGUACUUAGUCAUGGCUCAUAUGUGGAUCCACUAAUUGUUUCACACCGUUGAUUGAUUGAGGGACGGUCAAGAUUUGAUUAAAUAUUGGAAUUGGUAUGCGAUCUCAUUAAAGUUGACUUCUAAAAUUGCAUUCUCAAUUAUUCAGAUUUAAAAAACGAGAGUGAUAAUAUGAUAGUUACGUUUUAAUAUUCUACGUUUGAAAUAUUAUGUUUCUUCUCAAAGCUGCAAAUCUCAUUUACAUUACCUGGUCAAAGACUUCUUGAAAUAAAUUAUUUAUGCUAUUAAUUCAGUUAGUUAAGGAUAUACUUUAAAUGAUAUGACAUUUAAUCAACCAACGAUACAACAUAUAUCGAUUUAAUAUUAAGAUAUAUAAACAUAAUGAGACGACAAGAUCAAUACUCAACAUACAAUUUAUUUUUAAUACAAUUUCUUUCAUAAAUAUUGAUACAAUAAUAUUGAAUCAAUGUCAUGUCACUUGGUUUACUUUAUUUACUUAUUACUUAACUCUUUUAGUACCCAUACGUCACUCAUUAAACUCGUAUGUAUUUUGUAUGCAUAAAAUUAUUGAGAAUAGAAUUCAUAGAGUUCAACUCUUGUGCACGAACUUAGGAUUUCUCUAUUAAGUUUACUUGGAUAUGAUUAUAUUUUCGAUUACAUAUGAUUUUCAUUAAAUCACUACUCUAGUUAGCAUUUCACAUCAACCGCAAUUGAUUAGUUGCUUUCUAAUCCAAAAAAAUUAAUAUGGAAAGAAAUAAAUGGCAACCGAUAAAUAUUCCAACAUUAUGUAUUACGCUGAAGAUUAAGCCAUUCCCACUACUACAAAACUGAAUUUCUUUGAUAGAAUGCUUUUUCACAUGAUCAUGUAUGUGUCAAAGUUUUGUGACAGAUAUAUUAUUUUGCUGAUGUCGCAAACACAAUCCUUUCAAAAUCUUUAGAGGCCUUGAAAUUUUGAUUAUUCUAUAAGAGAAUAGUUACAAAAUUCUGUCACUAAUAGUAAGUUAAGUGAUUCUUGAUAGAAUACUACCAAAACAUUUAUAUAAAAUCUCACAUUUUAAUAUUUUACAAAAAUGUGUUUUAAAUAUUUUCAUUUUUUUGACAUAAUUCUAUCAAUGAACUUUCUUUUUAAAUUUUUAAUUCCACUUAGGCAUUGAAAAUGACAGUCUUAAAAGAUUUCAAUGACUUAACUGAUGUGAAUAUAUCUUUAAUAAGUCAACGACAAAAUUCUAUCAAAUAAAAUUUACUAUUUUAUUUAUUUUAUGUUGCCACAUCAAUAAAUUAAAAUGAUGACAUUUCAUACGCUCAAAAAAGAAAAACUUAUGUAGGCUAAAUUCAUCACCUUAUCAGAUAAACAAAGGCCUGCUCAACCAAUAAGAAUUUGCCAUCUAAAAAGUUUAAUGGGUCUUUCAAAAAGCCUGACUUGAAUCUGAGCUUGAGUAUUUCAGGUCUAAUCUAAUAAGCAAGUUUAUAAAUUAUAAAUUUAUGAAAUACAAUGAAAAAGGUUUAAAAAAAAAAGAAAAAUGUUUAAAAAAAUUAAAGUAUAAAUAUGAGGUUUUACAAUUAAAAUACCAAAUAGUGGCAAAAUGAGCGCCCAAAAAGUGCGGCAAAUUAAAAUUAUUCAAAAUUCAUCUCUUCAAUCCCUUUUUUUUAUUUUAGAGGUAAAAAUUUUUUAUGUACCACUGAAAUAAAAUUAACCCAAAAACAUUCUGUAAUUGAAAGCUUGGAACGAAUUUCACGCCUCUCGCCUUCUCUUUCACGCAUUUCGCAUUCCUUUUUCGCAUUAACACAUGAAAGGAGAAACAAAUGGAAUAAUUAGAGAGAGGGAUGAGAUUCCAUUUAUUGUUUGGUUAUAAGUACUGGAAAUGAAACACGAGAAAAUAAUUGAGUGUUUUUUUUUUGUUAACUUAAAAAUACGUAUUUUCUGUAUUUGAUAUUUAAUAGAAAAUUCAAAGUAAAAUCAAAUCGAUUUGUAAUAUAAGUUCACUUCAUUCAUAAAAUUAAACAUAUAGAAUAAAAUUUAUAAAUGUUACUUAUACAAAUACAUAUUACUAUUCAAAAUAAUAAAAAUUUUGCAUUGGAAACAAUUUUGAAAAAAAAAAAAAAAGUUUUUAAUGGAGAAAGGAAUUGUGGAGGGAAAGUUUGAUAGAAGAUGCACACUAGCUAGUUUUGGAAUUAUAUAUACCGUCAGUCAUUUUAUUAAAAAAAUGAAAAUAAUUUGAUCAGCCACAAGAGUUUUACUUCAGUAAUUUUCUCAAUACGAGCGUACGGUCAUCAAAACCUUAUCAUGAUGCAUGUAUAUUCUAAGCUUCACGACAUCAUAUUAAAAACGUUUAGCUAUGAAUGUAAUUUGAAAUUUGUUUUAUUCAAUGAAUGUUACAUUUACUGGUGUGUUAACAGCUAAUAACUGAAUUUGACUCAUUUUUAUGUAAAUUUUAUAGACCAACCGAUUCACCAUUUUUUAUGUUAUGAUCAUUGUAGGCAUGUUAUUUUUUAAAUUAUGACUCCAUGCGAAAUCAAAAUUAAAAUUUCACCGUCUUUUAUUGGAUUUGGUUAUGAUAAUCAAAUAACACAAUAAUCAAACAUAAGGCAAAAAAAUUUACGUGAUUCGACAUAUUAAUUAAUAUGCCUACAUCCACGGGUGGUGAUACUAAUAAGCCACUAUAUAAUGAAAAAGUGUACAAAUAAUAAUAAGCUCUCAGAUGAGCCAAAAAAGAAAAAAAAGAACACCAAGAUCAACACUCAAAAAUCAAAAUCAAUCAAUCCCCAGCGGUUUGGCCUCACAAGAGCUCUCUCUGUGUUGUGCUUUCUCUCAUUCAUUCUCUUUACAAACACAAGGCUCGCAAAAAAAAAAAAAAAACGAAUUACUGAAAACAUACAUAACGGAUUAAAAAAGCACGCGCCGCGCCCGUCCCCCAAUUCCUGCUUUGCGACGCCAUUUCGUAAUUCCUUUUUGGCUGAAAAAUAUCGCUUUCCCCAAAAAGACAAAUGAAUCAGUUAGACAAAUAUAUCUAAUUUUAAUGGACAUUGUUAAAUUAAUGAAGAAGAGUAGAGAGAGAGCAAACGAGAAGGAAAGCGUAUACAAAUUAUAAUUACUAACCAGAGUUAUUAGCACCAUUACAUAUAUAUCCCUGCUGAAUCCCCCCUCCUCUGUUCACCAUUCGUUUCUAAAAUGGAUUAAAAAAUAACUACUAAUUAAUUUUAAUUAAAAUAGAGUGAGACACGCAAUGCAUGCAGGAGAUCUAGAAAUAAAUUACCCGUCGCGGUGGCCGUGGGUGAUUGUAAUUGACUAAUUGCAGCCGCGCGCUUUCAGUAAAUGAUGAUUUUGGGAAUGUGGCGUAUCUUAGGCCAGUCCUCUCCUGUCUCCUUUCUGCAACGUUCUCCUAAAAUAGGACAUCCAUUCCAAAUCUCCAAUUUCUGGAGCGUCGACUUCUGAAGAAGGUGAUCGGGCAGUGCUUUUAAUUUACGGCAACUCCAAAUUUCCAAGGAGGAAAGACGUGGCAUGAUUAUGAUUUCUCCCUUUAUUGCAGUCUCGAAAUCCAACUCUUCCAGUUCUUUCAUAAGACUAAAUGCGAGCUGUUUCAAUUUGGGAAAGGCAAUAACUGAGGAGCCAUCCGUAUCACUUUCUACUCCCAGAAAUUCAUUACCCACUCUUUUCACACUUUUCAUUCCUUCAAUAUGAAGAGAUUCAAGGGAUGGCAAUUUUCCCAAAGGAGGCAAAUGCUCACAAUUUCUCCACCAGCAGAGAUAUAAGACCCUUAAAUUGGUUAAUGACGUGAUCCAAUUUUUGGGGACAACAUUCCUCCUGCCUCUGUAUUCAUCUAUCACUAAUUUCUUUAAAUUAGGAGGUGGUCCCAAGGCUUCAAGAAGCCGUUCAUCUUCAUCCUCCUCAUUCUCCCUCCUCCCAGCUUGAUCUUCAUCCCCAUCUCUUAAAUGAUCAAAAUGAAGUCCCAACUCAACGAGAUAUUUCUUUUUCUCAAGUUCAGCCCUCGCAGCCUCACCCGCAUCUGACACACCACCCAGCCCACGUAUACCACAUUGUUGAAGGAAGUUAAGCUUUUUAAGAGACCCAAGGCUACAUGCUCUGUCAUACCCUCCGCCCACAACAAACUCUCUCACUCUCCGAAGCCUGAUUAAUUCCCCAAUCCCUGCCGGCAAGUAUCUUAAACAACCAGUGUCUUCAUUGUGUAAAUACAUCAGCUUUCUUAACUUUCCAAUCCCUCGAGGUAAUUCUCUAAGAUUUUGACAAUCAUCAACGUUUAAACGUUCUAAAUUAUAUAACUCACACAACGUCUCGGGUAAUUUUUCUAUCUUCUUUUGACCUUUCAAAUUAAGGUAUUUCAAAUGUAACAAUUUUUCUAUAUUUGUUGGAAUUUCCUUGAUUAAAUUGUUACGCGGCCACGAUUCACGCACCUGUAAUUCUAAUGCCCUUAAACAAGUUAAUUUUUCAAAUAAUUGAGGUAGAACUUCACUAGACCAUGAAUAUUCAUCACUUUUAACUAAGAGGCUCCGCAAUCCUCGCAAUCCUGUAACAUUACCCCAAAUGGAAAUCGGAACCGAAGCCCCCCUACGUAGAGUUAACAGUAAAUGAAGGAUUUUUUUCUCCACGAAAGAGCUAAUAGCUAACUCUUCACCACUAUGAAUUUCUACUGCUAAACAUUCAUUACUACAUAAAUAUUGGGCAAAGUCGUGCACUAUAUCAUGCAUUUUGCACUUAUAGAUUUCACCAUCAUCAUAUUUGUUAAAAUCCUGAAAGAAUGAACGGCUAGCUAAGAUGUUGAAAUACUCUUCACCAAUAUCCUCCAUCUCUUUGGCUCCUUUCUCACUAAGAUAACCUUGUGCCAUCCAUAGUUCAAUUAACUUAUGCUUCCGUAUUCCAUAGUCUUUCGGAAAGACGGCACAAUAUGAGAAACAACGCUUUACCUUGGAGGGUAAUUCAUUGUAACUCAACAAUAGAGGGGCUAAAAGGCCUUUCUCAAUUGCUUCUAGUUCCCAUAUCUCAUUCUCUAAGAUAUUUUGCCAUUCUUUUUCAGUGUUUUUAGACCGCAAGAGACUAGCAAUUGUCUUUGCAGCUAAAGGUAAGCCCUUGCACUUUUUUACAAUUUCUCUACCAAUUUUUUCUAAAUUUUCACGUUUUCCUAUGGUCUUACCAGAAAUUGCCAACGACUGAAACACCGACCAGCAUUCCAUUUCAGACAAUACAUUGACAGAGAUAACAUGAGUUGAUCCCAUAAUACAGGCAACUGUUUCUUUACGUGUGGUAAUUAAAAUUUUACUUUCAUGGAGACUAUUCUUUAAACAUUUGUAGAAUGGUUCCCACUUAUAGUAAUCUUCAUUCCACACGUCGUCUAAGACAAGAAGAAAUUUCUUCCCGGCAACACAUUCUUCAAUAUGUUGCAUGAGAGAUUGAAACUCUACAAGGUCUUUGGCAGAACCUGGCUUCAGAGACUCAAUGAUUGCUCUGGCGAUCCUGAAUUCAUCAAAUGGCUCUGACACACAGACCCAUGUUCUUUUCUCAAAAUUUCUUUCAACAUCACCGUUGUUGUAGGCAAAUUGAGCAAGAGUAGUUUUGCCUAUUCCCCCCAUCCCAACAAGUGAGAUGAUAGAGGGGCCUUCCUGUUCUUUACUACCCUCACAUAACAACCUAUCAACGAGUUCGUUCUUCUCUUUUUCUCUACCAAAUAUCUCGGACUCAUCAAUUGAGGAGAUACUUGGUACUCGUUGAUCCGCUCUCUCAUUAGUAACAUUCACAACAAAACCAAACAUGUCUUUCUGUUUGGCAAUAUCAUCAAGAGUUUCGUUGAUUUCUUUUAUCUUCAGAGCAAUGUCACGACGUAAGACAAGUGGUUUGCAGGCAAAGCAAGAUGCAGUAGGAAAGAAGGAACAUACCUUCUUCUUAGGCACUCCGUCGAUCUGCAGUUUGAGCCUUGCAGUGUUCCACUCACCCAACACGUCUUCCAUGUCGUAACAUGUGCAUCUGAGUUGAUCGAGCCAGAGUCUGACAGUUUCCUCCUUCACUUGCCUUUUCUCUGCAUCAUGGAGCACAGCUUCAAUGACGCGGAGACUGCUGGUCAGCUUCUUCACUUCCUUUCCGACACCCGUUACUAGCCUCACUUGUUCCUUCGCCUCUUCAACAGCCAUUGAAGUCAGCUGCUCCAAGAUAGGGGAAAGGAUCGCAUCAACCAUGGUGAAAAAGAAAAAAGAGAGAGAGAAGAAAUUGAUGGUGAAUUGUUGCAAAUGUAAGUAGCUAAUGCUGAAAGAAAUGAAGGAGCUGAUAAUGUGGUGAAAAUGUUGCCGUAUUCUUUCAAUUCUUAUAGUACUGCAAGCAAAAUUCUAAUUUAGAAAUAUUUCAUUUCAGCCCCUUGUGAAAGAAGCUACGGUUAUUAUUAUUACUUUUUUUUUUUUAAUAACAGCAAAGAGUGAAAAUGACGUACAGUUGUGGACAGGAAAUAAUAUAUAUGAAACUGACAAAUUUUUCACGCGGCGAUUCACGCGGUAUAUGAAACAGACAAAGUUUUCUAUGAUCUCUUUUUAAAGAAUUGAACAAGUUGUUAGAUAAUAUUUUUGAUCGUGUCGUCAUAUUGAGAUUUGGAAGCAUUUGCUUUACAAUCACCCAUGAACU
rnacentral:lncRNA from 1 species